rnacentral:lncRNA from 1 species
CACCAUUUUAUUGUUAAGCUUUUUAAACUUUCUGGAAAUCAAAUUUUUAUAAUUUUUUAGCAUUAUUUGUCCAGAAUUUAAGUAGUUUCAAAAUAUUAACAAUUGCAGUGGCUAGUAUAUGGAAAAUUUGAGGCUGUUAUUGUAAAAUUGUAAAUUUUGAUUCCUACAAAAUUUAAGGGGCAAUUGCUUAUAUACUCUGGAUAAGUUUCUGAUUUUUUAAUUUACUCCUUUUAGAAGAUUAAUGUUGAAAAUACAUUUUUUACGUUUCAAUCUAUUUCCAACAUACUCCUAAAGUUAAAUUCUGUUAAUGAAUUUUUAAAAUAACUGUUAUCUCUAUGAAUUUACUAUUUUGCCCUUUCAAAUAUAUCAUUCUACUGUCACCAAUUUUUCUUAUUUGCUUUGAUACAAAAAAUAUUUUAGUUUUUGGUAUUUUCAAAAAUACCUUCUCACCAUCACCAACAUUUAUUUACCUUUAGGGUGCGUUUGGUUCGAGUUAUCCUGACAGAAUUACAGGCAAUCCUGGCAGGAUAACUGUGUUUGGUUAAUCCGCUAUAUAAUCUAGUCGUUAAUAUAGCAUUACAAAUCGAGCAGGAUUACAUCAAAAAUAUUAACGGGAGGGGGGUCGUGUAUCUUACAUUACUGAAAUCCGUUAAUACUACAUAUUAUGUAAAAUGACAAUUUUACUCUCCAACAACCCUAAAUCUAAUUAACAAUAUUAUUUUUAUCUCUCUCUUGCCUUCCCUCUCCUCUCUCUCGCACGCCGCUUUCUCUCGCUCUCUCUCUCUCACGUCUCUCUCUCUCUCUUGCGCGAGCGCACGAACACCUAUCAUCUUCUAUUGCGUCGUCCUCCCAGGUCUUCCCUCUAUUCGUCAUUUCUGCAAAAAAUAAUAUUCAAAUGACCACAACAAGAGCAAUUUUGGAAAAAACUAUACUUUUAUGUUAGGAUUACUAAAUUUUAUAAAUUGAACCAAACGUAUUAAUGCUAUAAACAUUGUAAUCUAGUAUUAUAUUACUGUAUUAAACCAAACGCGCUAAUGUAGCAUCAGUAGUAAUCUCACGUCGAAAUUCAAAAUACCUGGAUAUGUCGAGAUACUUUGUAAUAUUACAUAACUCGAACCAAACGGGCCCUUAUAGGGCAAAAGAGGCAUUUUGAUUUUUUUAACUCUAAUAGAUAUUUAACUCACGUUUAAUCCAAGUUAACUUAACAUAUGAUAACUGUAGGGGUAUUUUGAAAUAACGAAGGAACAUAUGAGUGUUAUAUUAGAAAGGAAAAAAAUAGAAGUAAAUGAGAUAUACAACUUUUAAAUUUAAAUUUAAAAAUUUAAAAAUUUAAAAGUUAUAUAUUUCAAUUUAAAAAUUUAAAUAUAAAAUUUAAAAAUUUAAAUUUAAAUAUAAUAUAAGGGAUAAUAUUAUUAUUUUCUAUUUAUAACUAUCCACUAUCCUUCUUAUUAUAUUUUAUCUAUUCAAACACUAUUUUUUUUAUUUUGAAAAAUAACUAAAUUUUCAUCUAAACGCAAAUUAAUCUAUCUCCAGAUUUAUAUCUGAACUUAUACAUAUCUCUGGAAUAAACAAUUAUUGCUUAUAUCGGAACUAAAGGAAGCCUACAGUUUAGGGGCGGCUCAUUACGAAACGUGUAACGUUUAGGGAUCUUUGUGCAUUUUUUCCAAAAAAAUUUAAACGUUAGGUCUUAGAAACUGUGACCUAACUCGAAACCCCACCGUUGCGCACUCCUCUUGCAACAGAGAAGAGGCAACAAUGGCGGCGGAGCUCUCCGAGGAGCUCAAAUCUUUCAUGGAGACGGGCAUCUACCGCUUGGAUGGAUCCAACGUCGUCUUCAUCGAUCCCGUCCGAGUCCUCAACGAGUCCUACUCCCGCUUCGCCCUCUCCCCCUCCGAUUACUACUCCCGCAGCUUCGCUCCUCCCAAAAGCGCUUUUCCAGCAGAAGCCGUUCCCAAGAAGCGGAAGCGGAAGCCGAAGCCGCACCACGAUCUCAAUGAGCGGGAACGCGUCGCGGAGAAGCGUCAUCAGGUUAUUGCUUCGUAGAUUUUUAUGUUUUCUGGUGCUCGUUGUCUCUUUUUCCUGUCUCUUAUUGAUCGAUGAUGACGAUAGGAAGCUAGGGCUUUGUUGCUGAGCGCGCACAAAGCGCUUCUUGCAGCAGCCGAUCUGUUGGGGCUUCUUCCCCAGGUAAUGGGAGGUGAGGGGUCCUCUCAUGGUGGAGAAAGAGCUGCUGAGAAGAAUUUUGUUGAGCUCGGAAACCACUGGAAAGCGCCUUUUUGUGAGAUCACCCUCGGUCUCCGAGCGUCGAACGAGGUUGAUCAAGGUAAAAAUUAAGGUAUUUGGCUGAUUUCUGGGUGGAUUUGAAGUUCUUGGGUGGAAGGGCAUGAAAUCAUUAGGUUUAAUUUUAGUUGGCACUGGUUGUGUUGUUCCUAACUGUCUAGUUAUGAAUUUGGUAGAAAUGUAUGGAGACCCCCUCAACUUUUUUUUCUUCUUUGAAAUAGAGUGCCUCUCAACUUUAACUUUUGGAUUGUCGAGCCCUGAAAUUUCGAUCUUUUUAAUGAAAUCGAGCAAUGGUUUUGUUCAAUUUGAUGGUUCUGAUCACUUUUUAGCUGUUGAAGUGUGUAAUUAAUGAUUAAUUUAACAAAAUCCUCGCCUCGAAUAAUGAGAAAAAUCCAAUUAAAGUGUAAUACAACUUGCCUAUGCAGAGAUAUGUUUGUAUUACAUGUGCUGAUCUUGGAUCCUUGAAUUUAUAUGAAUGGCAUUAUAUGGGGUUCUCUAUGCUUUACUUUAUUUCAGCAACAUUCUAAUCAUUAUUUAAUGCUAGGUUCUAGGCCUCGGCAUGAUGUUGGAAGGGCAGUUGUUUCAUUAUUUAAUAAUCUAAUCGGUAAUGAAACAAAUGAUGAUGUAGAAGCUGAAUUUCAAAAUUGCUGCUAUAUUUUACCUCGCAGAAGCUCCUUCCACAUGGUAUGAAGAUCUUGUUUUCUGUUUAAUUACUUGCAGUAAUCUACUCCUAAAUACUUUUCCUUUCUAACUUUUGGUAGAAUUUGCCCAAAACACUUUUAGGAUCCAACUUUUUGUAGCAUUCACAAAGAUUCUGUUAAAUUUACGAUUACUUUAUGAUUUCUUACUUGGUUUUUUUAUUUUUAAAUGUUGAACGUUAUGACAAAUGACAUGGAAGUCUGACUUGAGACAAAUUCGUGAUCUCGUUCCUGGUAAGUUUAAGCUCAUUUGGAAUUAUUCUGAGAUUUAGAUUUCUUGCUAAAAAGUACCAAAUAAGUUUUUCUUCUAUUUAUUUAUGGAUCUUGCCCCUUUCUUUCCCUUCAGCUCAGUCUAGUCAAGGGUUUAAUUUAAUAGUAAUUGAUCCCCCAUGGGAGAAUGGAAGUGUUCAUCAGAAAGCAGCGUGAGUUUUCUUAUGCAUCUCCUGGUAACUUGGCACAUGGAGUAAUGUUGUGCUGAUUUGUCCAAUGCAUUGAGUUAUUAGCCAACAGUAGUUCUAAUCUUCCAUUGCUGAUUUUUCAACAAGUUCAGGAAAUUAAAAGUUCUUACUGUUAAGUUGGCGAAGCCCAUAGAUUUUAAGAAGCAAUCUAUUGAAUGCCUACUUCAGUCGGUUCAAUUUGCAGAAUUUCACAGUUCUUUGAAUUCCACAGAGACCUUUUUGAACCUCCAAUAUAGAAUUCUCCUCCUCCUCCUCCUCUUCCUCCUAUGCCAGUAUAAAACUACUGUUAGCGACAGCCUUUUCUUUUAAGGUUGGUCAAUUAGCCUUUGAUUUGAUUCGUGCUCAAGUAUUUGGAUGAUCAUGGUACUGAUGAACAUCAAUAGCUGUUCCAAAAGGAUUCAGAUAUCCACGCUAAGCUUAAAAAAGGGCUUAAAUGAAAACAAAUGUAUUUUUUCCAUUCCAAACUACUAUGACAAUUUUUAGUUGAAAUGUCAAAACACUUUUAAGUCCACAAGUUACAAAAUAGUUACUGUUAUCUUGGAGCACUUAUGCUUGUCCAAUGCCAAAAAUGAGAACACAACUUUUGUGUGCUGUUUGGCUAUGGUUAUUGGCUAGCCACAUAAGUUUUCUCUAGCAGCUUCGAAGACUAUAUGUUACCUCUGACAUUCUAUUUUUCACAUUGCAUCAUUCCUUACUUUUGUUAUGCAAUAUUUAAAAGUGUGAGUGUUGUGAAAAAUCCUUGUUACAGGUACCCAACAUUACCUAACAGGUAUUUUUUUAAUCUGCCUGUUAAAGAACUUGCUCACGAGGAUGGUGCCCUUGUGGUGUUGUGGAUGACUAAUCGGGAGAAGUUGCGCAUGUUUGUUGAGAAAGAACUGCUUCCUGGUUGGGGGGUGACAGAUGUCACUCCCUUUUACUGGCUAAAGGUAAGAUGAUGCUGUGCUCUUAUUGGAUUCCACUGCUUUUUUUUCUUUCCCCUAGGCAGCAGAAAAUGUUAUUGAGCUACUUAUGAUUUUCCAAUAUGGUUGGUGAAAAUCUAAUGUUGAUAUCAAACAUGAUGUAGGUUAAACCAGAUGGUUCUUUGAUUUGUGAUUUGGACUUGUUUCAUCACAGACCAUAUGAAUGCUUCCUCAUAGGUUACAUUAAUGUGGUGAGUUUUAGUCGUUAUGAUCAAUUUAUGGCAUAUACAUUUGGCUUUCUACUUGGAUUUUCUUUACUCAGGCAGAGUUUUUUUCUUCUUUUUUUCUCCCCAGGAUGUUGAUUUCCAAUGCACAGAAAAAUUUAAGUACUUAAAAAGCAGCCAAGUCAUCAUAAGUGUUCCGGGUGCUCACUCAAGGAAGCCUCCAUUAGAAAGUAUCCUCCUAUAAUGGCUUUACUUGUUGUAAGAAAUAUAAUUGCAUAACCUCUCAGUAUCUCCCUAGAACAUUUGUGGCCAUGCAUCAACUAAGUGCACAAUGGCUGGAAAAGAUCCCUUGCUGUAUCAGCCCAACUGUGAUUUGGUCCACAUAGAACAUGAGGACCUUGAACUUUAGGUUCAUAUCAAUGGUCCUCAUAUUUGCACAAAAUUAUUUCUUAGAAACUUACACUUUUUGAUCAAGCAGUCUUUUGCAAAAAGCUAUUAAUCUAGAGUAAGAAUAUGCUAGUUCAGCAAUCCAAACAUAUUUGUAUUUUUCAUUAAAAUUAGCUUUGUUUUUAGAGGGGAAAAUUUCAUUUCUUUCUAUCUAGCGCAAACUUCUUUGUCUCUUUACCCUCCAGACCAGUUCACUCUCUCUUGUUUGAAGCAGCGUAUAUAUUCAAAAGUUUUUUAUAUAGUCUAGCUGUAGUAGUGUUCCUUGUUUCAGCCCUUAACCAUCUAAAGAAUUACUAUUGGAACAUAUACCAGGCCCCAAGCCUGCAAAAUGCAUUGAACUUUUUGCUAGAGAAUUGACGGCUGGAUGGAUCUCUUGGGGAAAUGAACCACUACGUUUUCAAGAUUCACUGUAUUUUCUGAAAAAGACAAAUAACUGGUGCUCCUAGGUACGGAAUUUUGCGCUCUGCAGAAAUUAAUUUGGCCGAGAUGCAGCUGAAAAUUAGGUCGACUCUUUUUCACUUUCUGGAGCCUACCCUGCUGUAUUUUUCUUUAUCUUGUCCUAGAUCAAUUAUUUGUUUUUGAAGAACUUCCAGAUGAACUUGUCCAUAUUUUGAGUGUAAUUUUUAGAUGUCAUACUUGAACUCCAUUAGGCUUAAGUGAGACCCUUUAAGAUGGCUUGGAUCCUAGGAUCCUGUGUCCAUUGAUGUCCAAUGUGGCUUAUUUGGUGUAAAAAGAAUCUUAUUAUGUUACUACAUUGGUCAGGAAAGGUUUUGAAUCAAAACUUGUAGGUCAAUUCAGUGCUUUUAUGUAUAGGGCAAUGUAGUGAUCCAUGAUUAGAGUUAUUCUGGAAAUUUGGUAAUGAAAAUCAUUACUCCUGUGGUUGUUUCUGUCUACUCUCUUUCCUCUGUGCUUGGAUUGGCGCCUUUUCUUCUCUCUUUAGUCACCGAAUUGGGCAUUUGCCCUUCUUUUUCCCGCUCCAUUAUGCCUUAUGUUCUCCGUCUUUGCCUCUAUUUGGUGGCUGUUGUUGCUAAAUUUUCCUGCUUUUUCUGAUCUGCUGCUGUGUUGUUAUUCAUCUUCUGUAUUGCUGCAGAAUUCAGAUCGAUCACUGAACUUUGUUAACUGUUGUCUCUUGAAAAUGAUUUCUUCUCUUAUUCAAAACAGUUUUGAAUCAUUCCUCUUUUGGGAGGUGAAAUAUUUAUAGCUCGGCAGAGUUUGACGAUGAAAUUUUUUAAUUUUGGGGGCUCUGAGCACACGCUAGGGACAUGUUUGUUUCACCGAAACUGAAUUUUGGGUUGAAGUGAACUUUGGGUUGAAGUGAAGUUCGGUAAAAAUUAUUUUUUCCCUGUUGUUUGUUUCGUAGUUGUGGAGGUGAAGUUUCAUUAGUUCUGCUGUUUGUUUGAUAGGAAGUGUAUGAUGUAAAAUUAUAAUUUAUAUAUAAAUAAUAAAUAAUUUAAUAAAUAAAAAUAAUAUAGGUAUUUUUUUUAUACAUAAAUUAUAGUAAUACAACAAUAAAAUUAUAAAGUAAAAAAUUAUUAAUACUUAAUUAAUCAAUUUCUAUCAUAUUUAAUUGUACAAACUAAAUAAAGAAAAUAUUAAAACUUAAUUAAUCAAAUUUUAUCAUAUUUUAAAUAUGCCAACUGAAUAAAAGAGUAAUUAGUACCAUAAUUAAAUAUAUUUAAAUGUAACUAUCUUUACCUAUUAUAUUAUUUUAUUAUUUUUUCUUCUCCUCCCCUCACCGUAAUUGAUUUCGGCCCACGAUGGGCGAAGUCAAGUACGCUGUUUUAGGUUAACUUGGGUUUUGACCGUAACUUUUUUACGGCGAACCAAACAACGGAAGUGAUCGUUUAUGGCGAAAACGACUUCCCCCCCUCUGCACUUCCACCCAACUUCCUCCCAAACAAACAUGCCCUAGGUUGUCUUUCAGUAAUUUUGUGAUUUCUUCUUCAAUUGAUGGCGGUUCGUGUAGGAACAAUUAAAUCCAGAUUAUUAUUGUUUUAUUUUAGUUAUAAUACUUUCUGUAAGGACUGAGAUUUUUUUUGACAGUGCAACUAAACUCUCUGUUGAUGAUGUUUAUGUGUGUAAUUUAAUUACAUAAGCACUCGUCAAGUUUCGGACGAAAAUGAGCUAAAAUGGAGAAGAUACGCGAUUUUUAGUUUUCACUUAAGUGAAUAGUAACUCCGGUUUUCCGGAGAAGCCACGGAGUAGAGUUGGCUUCUGGUGCGUAUCGGACUCCGUUCAUAUCAGUCCAAUAGCUCGUUUCUACCGGUUCAGCUGUUCUGGAACUAAUGACGCUGAUGGAUUUUGAGUUUGACGCACGGAUUUCGAUAAAAUCCAAAAAUACAUGUUUUAUAUGUAUUUGUGUGUAUGUUUCCUUCUAUUGGAAGAAGGUUGGAUUUUGUUGUGAAUCCGUGGUCGAUCGAGAUGAAUCGAAAGUGUAGCUUUGUUGUCUCCGAGGUGCUGAUCGCACUGGUGCAAUCCGUUCGCAAAUCUGACGGACGGAUCUGCGGAGAUCGCGCGUUGAUCGAGGGAGUUCGGUGGAUUGAAAACUGGUGAAUUUCGCAAAGAGUCAGCGAAUUUUAUAAUUUUAAUUACCGAAUCGCAGAGAUCAACUGGAGGUGCGCUACACGCAGAUUUACUCGCGAUGUGAAUGGAACUGGUUUAGGAAAUAACCAGUCGGCAGGACUUUGGUGCAAAGUGGCAUAUGGUGAUAUAAUAGGCUUAAGAAGGUUUCUAUGCACGAACCCUAGUUUCGGCCAACCUAUCUUCCAGCUAUGCCCAGGUAGCUUCAGCAGGCUCUUACUAGCCGUGCUCGCCGCUCCGGGCCGCUCCAGGCGUGCGAAUGCCGGCCGCCGCGUGCGACUGCUCGGCCGCGGAAAAGCCGCGUUUGCCUCUUCCUCCACCUCCCUCUCCAUCUUGCUGCCUCUUUCACUGGCAGUGACCACCUGGGGACAUCACUCGCGUCGGGCCUUCAUCUUAUUGGCUGCGGCCGACCCCGUUCAGCCUCCCCCACCAGUCGCCAAGCGGUGCUUGCUGGCUUUUAUGGCGAGCUGAGCCAUGAUCGGGCUGAGCCGUGCUGGCUUCCCUCUCUGUUGCGCUGCCGCUGCCUAGAUCGGCCGGGCCGCCCUCCCCCGAGCCCCGGGGACCUCCGCGCCGGCCCCACGGUCAGCGCACGCGCCGGAGCCGCCCAAGCUCCUGCGCGCACCUGCGAUCACCCAGGCGAGCCUGGUGCCGAUCUUGCAUGCGCGCGCCGCAUCCGCUCGCAGGCGCGGCUGCCCCGCCGUCCCUUUGCUGUCGGCGAGCUCGCGGCGUGGUUCCGGGUUACCCGAGCCACGCCUGGUCGCGCCUUGAAGCUCCUGAGCUGCCUCCUCAGACUUUGGUGCGGGCCGAGGCUGGGCUUCCCUCCAAUCCAGCUAUGUGGCACCGCCUGUGGUGGGAGCCACCACCUCCCCUCGGCUUCCUCCGCCGGUUCGUCGCCGCCCCGGACUCCUGCGGCCCGCCGCCGCGCUGCCGGGACGUCGAACCCGAGAAGAGUGGGGUGGAGGGUGCGGAUCUCCUCGGCCCUGCCACGGUUGCUCCCGCCGCCGGCGGGUACCUAGCACCUCCCGACCUCUCGACCGACUGCUUCCAUCUCGCGGCGGACCGCCCGUCUCGCCGCGGGCGGCAAACCUAGCUCCCCCCUCACUGUGAGUGUCAUUUAGCAUUCCAGCACUGCUAUAUUCCCACUUCCGGUAACUUUUCCGCUAUUCCGAAUGGUCUUGUUUGACUCGGGAAGUGAGCACAUGAUCCUUAGGUCGGUGCUGAACAUCCGUGCUCCACUUCCGCGAGCCGUCAUGAGAAGCCUUGGUUGCGCGGAGCCAACGCCGAUCUCACUCGAGUGGCGCGCUGCUCUCUCGCUUGACCUCUCGCGUCGCAUUGUGUGCCAGCACGCGGCACGUCGCCCGAUUGGCUCCGAAUGUGAGCAUGGUCUCCGUUCACCUGAAAAUCUAUUAGUCGGGUGGCGAACGUUGACCCAGCAACCUCUUAUUCCGCAAGGAUUCGUGGCCAUAAAAACUUGUCGAAAAUGCCACUAAAAGUGAUAGAUUUUAAGGUUCAUGUUGUGCUUUCUUGCUUAUAACUUCGACUCGGUCGCUGUGGACAGCGUGUUAACGCUGAGGGUAACCUCUGGACUAAUCGUCCAAGGCCCCAAGCCACUGCGGAGAUCGAAAAGCCUUGUUUGGGGCGUUUCACGGCGAAAUCCGUCGACGGAACGCGAUCUUAGUUCGGUUUUUUAUCCGACGGUGCCUCGGGAUCUGUUGUGAUGUCGCUAAGCCUUCUUGGCAGGUCACCCGUGUCGUUUCGGGUGUUCGGAAACGACGGGUGAGCGACUGGUGGGUCCCGGUGUCAAAAACGACACUUUCGGGAACCCGGUUCGAGACGUUUAGUCAACGAUGUUUGUUCCGAGGCGAAGUGUGGUGUUUGCUGCCAAUGUGGGUUAUUAUUGAGUAUUAGUGGCAGCGGUUGACUCCCAGUUGGAGUUGGGGAGUUCCGGGACGAUCAGUGGACCCCGGCGAAGCCCCGGUGCGAUAUUUGGGACAUCCGGUGUGAUUCGGCAAUCGGUCUUGGGAAACCGAUUUCCGUGGUUCCUUGUCUGGGGAUUUUAUUUUAGUUGCUGACAUUAGGGUUUCCUUCUGAUCGUGUGGACCCUUUGUAGGUCCGGUCGCUCUGUUCCCCGCCGUCGUGAGAUCUGAUCCAGACUUGUACAGGUGGGUACUUCGAUCCGACGUCGGUACAGUGGUGCACGCUCGGUGAUGGUUUCUUACCUCUGUUCUCUCGUUAUUAUCUGGCAUAUAUAUAUAUCUUGAUAUAUAGUAUUGAGCUUGCAUCCCCGUUGUUUUUAUUAUACUCUACUCAUAUGUUUCCUUGCUUAGUAUCAUGUGUAGGAGUAGAGUAGUUUAUCCAUACGUGAUCCCGGUGACCUGAUUGGUCGGUUCUCGUACUUCGUUUCGGUGACCUAGUUGAUCGGUGCUUUUAUCUUAUAUCUGUUGACCUGGUUGGUCGGUUGUUGCAUUAUGUAGUGAGUUGGUCUAUUUCUUGACUUCUGUCGUUCGAUGACCUUGAGGUCGGUGUACCCUGAGGGGUAGGAUUGUCAGCUGGUGCUGACGGUAGUUCUGGACUAUAUCGAAUACACUCCUGUGACCUAUCGGUCGGGUCUUGCGUUCGUACUUUUAGUUGACAUCGAGCAGUAUCUACAUACCAUCUUUAUUUACUCUGCCUAGUUGUUCUAUGUGUAGUAUCCUGUAUAGGGGUAGGGUAGACGACAUUCGUGUAUACUACACUUGUGACCUGGUUGGUCGGUUCUCCUAUUUGCAUCGGUGACCUGUUUGGUCGUUCGUUACUUUCCGUACAUUGACCUAUCUCGGUCGGUUCACGUUGUUACUUGAUGACCUACACGGUCGGUAUGCCCAGAGGGGCAGUGAUUGUCGGCUGAUUGCCGACGGUUGGCUAUUGAUCAUAUCCGCAUUGAUCGCCACAGCUCGAGUGCAUUUCACGUACACCAGCGGGUUGAUCCCCUGCAGGAGGGUGUUCUUUUCCGGAAAAGUGGUCGUACAUCCGACCCGUGAGCCCAGCGGUGUUCUCUUGUGCUAGGGUUACAUGCCAGGUGUGAGCAGAUAGUGGCUUUUGCCUGAGGUCCUUAGACCGACACGGCGGUUUAGAUUGGGUACGUUUGGACUUCUCGUCCGGUUGACGCAUAUAGCUAUAGUAGCGGUUGUUGCAUAUAUACUUCUAUUUCUUUCUUUACAGUUGUCUUGCUACUAUAGUUUUGAUAUCCUUGUAUGCUUGCAGUUGUACAUUACAGUAGCGGCAGUUGUGCUUUCAUAUAUAUAUCUCAUUCGUUCAUUAUCGUUGAUACUGUAUUUUACUUACCCAUACUGUUGUUUAUCUCUUCCUGAUCCGGUGAGUACUCCUCGCCUUCUUCGGCUUGCGGUACCCACUGGGAGGGGAGACAUGUUUACAUGUUCUCACCUCCCCCACUGUUUUUCAGGUAUUGCUGGCGUUGAGUUUUGGGACGAGACGUGAGGUACGUUCGUAGUGGUCGAUAGAGCUUCCGACCCAGGUUAUCGGUCUACUUUCUUACCCUUCUUAUUUUGGCUGCAUGAAUAGUUUAGUUGGUUUAUGUGGUUCAGUAUUUAUUUACAUUUGAAAAUGUGGAUUUCUGGAUUUUGUAAAAUAAAAGGUUUCUACCCCUCGUGGUAGUGUUUUUUUAAAAGAAUAAAGGUUUCUGUGUAAAAAACAGUUUUCAAAAGAUUUUUGUGGAUUUCUGUUUAAACCUUGAAUGUAAAACUGUGAUGUGAAUGGUGGAUGUAUGAAUGUAUAGUUAUUUUUAUAUUCAUCUGGUUGUGGUUGUAUCCUGGUUGUACUGUGUAUUGGAUCGACGCCGUGCAAAUACAGGGGAGACUCUGUCCGUGUGAACAGUGGAUUCCCUGUAUUUGUGGCGGAUCUGGCAUACUCUGGGGUCAGGUUUUCAAAAAAAAAUUCAGACGCUUUUCCGCUUUGUUUUAAACUGAAAAGGGACCCCGGGGCGUGACACUUUCGGGCUACAUCGCUUUGCCUUUUAGUUCUUCCUUUCCUAGUCGUCACCUCUAUGCGAUCAACUCGCCAACCCUUCAGUGACAAAGGGUUGGAACUUUCGAUUCUAAUAUGUAAAAAAUCUUUUUUAUCUGGUUUUGAUUGUGCCUUCAUAAUCCCAGGUGAGCUUGUUCUGGGUGUUCAUCUGAUUCAUAGGAGGCCGAAACUAAUGAUGGUAGUUUCGCUGGUAACACCCUCUUUUCCUAUAGGGGGCAUUCCAUUAGUAGCUUUCCAUACAUAACUUUCUUCAUUACCUCUCUUUUUGAAUGCGCAUUCUGUUCAAAUACUUCGAUAUUUUCGCGCUAUUUUCUUUUUGUAUUCUUAUUUCAAUUUUCCUGUCUCAUUCUGGUUAUUCCUUGUUUCCAAGUCGUAUUCUUCACAAAGCCCUUUAGUGGUUAUAGAUGGUCAUUUCCUAUUCUUGGUUUUGGAAAUCUUCAUUUACUUCUUGUCCAUGCCUUCAUAAUCCCAGGUGAAUGUGGUUGAAGUGUUUAUGUGAUUCGUGGGAGGCUGAAACCCAUGAUGGGAGCUUUGCUGGUAACGCCCCUGUUUCCCUGGAGGCGCUUCAUUAGUAGCUUGCCACACAUAACUCUUUCAAUCAAGACCACUGUUUUGAGUGUGCUUUCUGUCUGAAUGCUUUACUAAUUUUCUACAUUCUUCUGUUCGUGUACUUAUUUCUAAUUUCGAUUCACAUUUCACAUUAUUUCUUUUUAUUUAUAAUGGUGUGUAUUUUUGUAGCUUUGUGUUACUGUUUUAAGAGGUAUGCUAGCAAUGAGGGUGUUAAUUCCAUCUGAUUUUUGAAUUAUGAAUAGUCUACAAAGCUAUAUGGCCAUAUCGCCCGGACAAUGAGUGUCAGGAUUAGGGUUUGCCUUCUCAUUCUUCCUUUCAAGGUCAUUAUCUCCAUGCCGUCAACUGGUCAAAAGCCCUUUUGCAGCUAUAGAUGCUAGCUUCCAGUUAGGGAUGCAAACGGGGCGGAUCUGGGGGUGGGAGGGGUCUCCUACCACCCCUGCCGUUUUCUUGGCGGGUUGGGGCCGAUAUGGAGUUGGUUUUUUAUAUUUUUGCCCUCACGUAACGCUUCAUUCGGGGCGGGGCGGGGCGGGGCGGGGCGGGAGUGGAGCGGAUUUUUGGCGGAUUAAGAGGGUCUCCUGCCUCCCGCUCCAUUUUCUUAGCAGACGGUUGGAAAUGGGGCAGAUAAUUUUUUCUUUAUUUUUGGCCCUCACUUCCACAUUCUGGGCUGAUCGGGACAGGAGCUCCACGAACCCGCCACUUGCAUCCCUACUUCCGAUUGUAAUAUGCAAAACAUCUUUUUUACCAUAUUUUUUAUUGUGCUUUCAUAAUCCCAGGUGAGCUUGUUCUGGGUGUUCAUCUGAUUCAUAGGAGGCCGAAAAUAACGAUGGUAGUUUCGCUGGUAACACCCCCAUUUUCUAUGGAGGCGUUCCAUUAGUAUCUCUCCAUACAUGAGUCGCCUAAAUCAAUACGUGUCUUUUGAAUGUGCAUUUUGUUUACAUGUUUUGAUACUUUUCCUCAUUGUUCUUGUUCUUGUUUUUAUUUUCAUUUUAUACACUCAUUUUGCAAUAUUUUUCUUUCUUUAUUGUGGCAGAUAUAUUUUUGUAGCUUUAUUACUUGUAUAGGAAGCGGUCCAACUACAAAACUUCUUUUUGAUCAUAUUUUUGAUUGUGCCUUCAUAAUCCCAGGUGAGCUUGUUCUGGGUGUUCAUCUGAUUCAUAGGAGGCCAAAACUAACAAUGGUAGUUUCGCUGGUAACACCGCCAUUUUCUAUGGAGGCGUUCCAUUAGUAUCUCUCCAUACAUGAGUCUCUCAAAUCAAUACAUCUCUUUUGACUGUGCAUUUUGUUCACAUGUUUUGAUACUUUUCCUCAUUGUUCCUGUUCUGUUUUUAUUUUCAUUUUAUGCACUCAUUUUGCAGUAUUUCUCUUUCUUUAUUGUGGCGGUUAUAUUUUUGCAGCUUUAUUACUCAUAUAUGAAGCGGUCCAACUCUUGAAGCAGGGCAACUUCUUACUUCUUUCUAUGGUCGAACCUUAGCAGUGAAAUAUUUCAAAAUUUUGGUGUUGGCCAACUUCUUACUUCUUUCUAUGGUGGAACCUUAGCAGUGAAAUAUUUCAAAAUUUUGGUGUUCUUUCUAUCUGAUUUGAGGCUUAGGAAUGGCCUUGGAAGGGAAUUCUUGAACGCAUACAUUGAUGCUUGUCACAGUUUAAAUCCAAGCCGUACGAGGUUGUUGGGUAUGGGUAUCUUAGGACCCUAUAUACCCUUACACGGCAUUAUCCAAAUCUGAGUUUCGCUGUAAGGUCACCUUGUUCAGACAAUGAACAAAGUGACGUUGGUGGCUUUAGGGUUUGGGUUUGUUUGCUCAUUUUUUUUUUCCCCAAGUCAUCAUCUCGAUGUUUGAGUUGUCCUCAUAACUAAUUAAAAGCCCGACAGUAGCAAUUGAUAGUGCCUUCCGAUUAAAAUAUCUGGAAAUCUUUUUUUCUUGUUCUUGAUUGUUCUUCAUAAUGCCAGGUGAGCUUGUUUUUGAUGUACAUCUGAUUCGUAGGAGGCCGAAACGAAUGAUGGUAGAGCUUGUAAUGCCCCCUUACUGUGGAGGCAUUCCAUUAGUAGCUCGCUAUACAAAACUCUCUGCGAUGAAUACAUCUCUUUCGAAUGUGUAUUUUGUUCAAAUACUUUGAUCUUUUCGUGCAUUUGUUUUCGUAUUUCCAUUCUCCAUCCUCACUCCGCAUUAUUUAAUAUUCUUUAUUUUCAGCACAUUUUGUUUGCAGCUUUGUUACUAUUAUAGGAUUAUGAUAUAAAGCUUCCCAGUGUGGAUGCUCGGGGACUAAUUUUAGUAUCAAGAGACUGCUUUUUCUUAUAUACAGACUGCACUGUUGCAUAUUUUUGUUUACUUUGUUCCUAAUGUUAGAAAGAACUUUGUUUCUGCUUGCACUGAGAGCCUUGGCUUUGAUGUUCUCUGCAUGGAAGUUGCGGGUCUACUUCUGUUUCUUGCUUGAGUUGCUGUGUUCUAUUUAAGUUAUAUCAUCAUUGUUGUCUACUCGCUUGACUUAUGUUGAGUGAUAUGCACUGAUAAUGUAUUCUUAUGUAAUACUCCAUUUCCUGCAGGUCCUUUUAAUCCCCAACAAAGAGAUUCUGGAACAAGGACCACCACCCCCUGUACGGUGGUGGGUGUUCCCUUCCAUUGAGACCACGAAAUGACGAAUGAUUGGAAGCUCAUUCUUAGUUAUAUCUCGAGUCGUCUGCUCUGAGAGGACCAUCCACGGUCCGACAAAGAAACUAGAGAGCGUUUCUUAAUUCAUCCAUCUUUACAGCUCGCACGGUGAAAUCCUCUCUCUUACUCAUUCCAGUCAACUUUUGUAUAUUUGCUUAGAUUUGAUCGGUGCCAUUUUUUGGUAACAGCUUCUUCCUAUGCACAGGUGAUUUUUUUUUCCUGAGCAAAUAAGCGUGCAUGAAAGCAUACUGAAUAUGCUGUUGAUCUUGAGGUAAUAGUUAGUUUCUCGAGAUGAACAACUCAACGAAACUUCCCAGUUCUAUCCUUGAAAUCAAUACCUAAUAUUCUAUGGGCAAUUGGAGUUAGCAUGCACACCUGCAUAUAUAAAGCCCCACAAAUGUUAACUCUCUCUCUCUCUCUCUCUCUCUCUCUCUCUCUUUUCCAAGAACAUAGCAUAAUAUUCUGUUGGGAAAGAAAAUGUAAUUGUGUGGCGAAAAUGUACAUUGUGUAUGUAAUGAAGGGGAAGGGUUAUGUUGGAUCAGGGGUGAAUGUCGGGAGUCUCCAGGCCUUUGGAGCUCAUGGUAUUUUUCUUAGGGGUGUUUGGUCCUACGUAAAAUCAUAAAAUUUAGUUUUCUGUAAUUCGUGAAAUCAUAAAUUUUUUUUUUACAUUUUAUAGUUAUUGGUUUAUAGAAAAAAAAAAAAAAAAAAGUUUUCUAGCCGCAUUUGUUUGGUUGAAAAAAAAGAGUCUAAAUUUGUUUCGUUGGGUCAAAAAGUAAUGAAUGAAAAAUACCAUAUGUUUGAGUCUUCCUUUCUCUCUGAAAAAUAACAAAAAAUGACAACUUCAAUUUUUUAUUCCGGGAUAACUUUUGGGGGGUGGGGUUAAUGGAAUUGGGGUUGCAUUAAAGUAAUCUCACCCUAAUUCAAUUUUUUAAUAUAAAAUUUAAUUUUUAAAUUUAAAUUUAAUUUUUAAAUUUUUGUUUGUAAGCUUAAAAUUGAGACAUAUAAUUUUAAAUUAUUAAUUGAAAAUUUAAAAUUAUUAUUUUAAAAUUUUAAAUUUAAAACUUGAUUUUUGAUAUUUUUAAAAUUUAAAUUUAAUCUUAAAUUUAAAAUUUAGAAUUUUCAAUUUUAGAAUUUGAGAUUUAAAAAAUUAAUUUUUAUUUUAAUUUUUUAAUUUUUAAAGUUAUAUAUUUAAAUUUAAAAUUUUAAUUAUAAAAUUUAAAUAUUUAAAUUCAAAUAUAAAGUUGUUUUUUAUUUAUAGGUAUUUACUAUUCUUUUUAUUCUAUUUUAUUUAUCCAAAUGCUUAUCAUCCAAAUACAAAAUUGGUCUAUUUCAGGCUUAAUUCUAAACUUAAUUUAAUUUCUGAAAUAACAAGUUCUUACUUAACUCCGAAUCAAACGAAACCAGACGGCCAAAUUUUAAACAGAAUUAAUUAAUAAGAGUAAUUUAGAUAUUUUUAUGAAAUUAAAAAGAUAUUUUUGAUAUAGGGAUAUUUAUCUAAUUUAGGGUUAGCGAAGGGUGCUUAGAAAAUUAACACUAUUUUUAAAUGGUGCAUUAUAGUUUAUAAUUUAAAAUUUCAAUAUUGUGUAAUAUUGGAGUUUUUCGAUUUUUUGUAUUGACACUUUUUGGUUAUUCUCGUGUAAAAUAUUUUUUUUAGAAAAUAAAUUUAUGAAUAUUUAAAAACUAAACACAGUAAUAAAAAAUAGUCUACGCUAAGAUUUUAAAUGCCUGUCGGCACGGGCCGUAUUUACCGUGCCGUACUGUGCUAACAAGAUAUCGACACGAUAUAGACCCCGUACUGAUGGUACAGCUCAAAACUCUCUAUUCUUUAAAUUAGUAAGUAAUUUUCUCAAUAAAGUUCAAAGACGUUAUAAAAAGAUAUAAUAAAUGGUUAGAAUAUUUUGUUGUUAAAGAAAAUAAAUAUUUCAUGCUAUUAUGUGUCAGUACAUAAGAAUUUUUUUGACCGGCACGCAUCGGCACGGCUCGGCACGUACCGUGCCGAUAAGUUUCCGGCACGACCCCGUGCCACGACACUUAAAUCCUUGGUCUAUGCAAUACCUCUUUAAACAGAGUAAUGAAGAUAUAAAUAGUAUAACAAAAGUAUAAAUAGUAUAGUAGUUUAAUAAAAACAAUAUAAAAAAAUAAAAAAUUUUAAUGUAUAUUUUAUAUGUAUUUUGUAUAGGCGAUUUAUUUAGUAAGGUUCAUAAAAGAAAGGGAUCGAUUCUAUAAAAUUUCAAAGAAAUAAAUUAAUUUGUAAAAUUGUAAAAUUAAUUUAAUUUUUUAUGCAAAAGAGACCUAUAAUUUUUUUUUAAAAAAAGAGUCCAAAAGUACAAUGUUUUCUAGUGCUAUUGAGUCUUUACAAAUGCAACAAUGUCUCUUCUGGGAAAAAGUAGUUUAAAAUCUAGCCCCUCUUCUUCUUUUUUUUUUUUUGUUUGUUCUCCUGUUAAUAAUUUCAAUUUGAUAAAAUUAUACAGAAUUUAUUUAAAUUAUAGUUAAGUUAGUUAUUUAAUCUUUUAAAUUUGUGAUACUACUGUUUAAUUUUUUAAUUUAUUUGAUUUGCGUCACUCAACAGUAGUUUAAUUUUAAAAUUUAAAUUUAUUAUUUAUUUUUAUAAAUUUAAUUAAUAUAUUUCAUACAAUCGGUGCAAUGAUAAAUUUAUUAUAAUAAGCAAGUAGUUUAAAUUUUAAAGUUAAAAUAUUAUUGACUGAUUCAAAUUAAGUAAUUAAAUACUCGGAUAGUAAAUUAAAGUUUUAAAAAUUGAAUCAAAAAAAUUUACAGUUUACAUAAGUUUUGUAUAUUUUUAUUUUUAAAUUUUAUGUUUUUUUUUUUAACUCCCCCAUUAUAUCUUUUGCGCAAUGCUCACGGUCAAACCAAGGACGAGGGCCCACCACCACCACCGCACCUGUCACGCUGCAAAAAAUAAUUUUUUUUUUUUUAAAAAGCAUAAUUAAAGAGGAGGGGAUUUUAGACUGCCUCAAAAUUCGUGAACUGGAUCUGAGAAUAAGACGACAAAUGGCGCCACUGUUCCGAGGACUAGAAACAGAAGGGCAUUUCCGUCAUUCUCUCGCAUGUUGCUACUCCGCUGUUGCACAUUGCGUCAUCUCCUCAAAACGACGAGCACGGAGUCCGAGGAGGGAGAAAUGUGUAAAGUUGCAUUACUUGUCCUGAAACUUUACAUUUUGAUCCUCACACUUUUCACUUCGCGACAUUAGUAGUUUGUAAAUUCUUAAAAUUAUUUUAUUUCAGUCCUUAUAUAUAUAUAUAUAUAUAUAUAUAGAGAGAGAGAGAGAGAGAGAGAGAGAGUAGAACUAGAAUACUUCGAAAAACACCGAGUGGGUGGUGCUUUAGAGUUUUUAGCUCUUGGAUGGAGAAAUGUGAGGUUGAGAUGAUGGUAAUAGGUGAUGGUAGGUGGAAUAAUAUUUGAUCCAAGAAAUAUUAGUAAUUAUGGAGUGGAUCCAAGGGUUAGAAACUUAAAAGCACCAACUGGAUGGUGCUUCUAAAAAUAUCCUAGCUCAACUCAUAUAUAUAUAUAUAUAUAUAGAGUGAGCUGGUAUGCUUCUGGAAGCAUGGAGCCUUCCGUGCUUCCAAAUCGUUUUUGAUGUUGGGACUUUCGAAUCAACGAUCGGCUCCGUUAAACUUGAUCUAAAAUAUUUGAAGUACUUAAAAAAUAAAUUUUGUAAAUUUUCGAUAUCAUUUGCCAAGUGAUCGAAGGGGCUCAAAAUCAAUAAUUUUAAUAGCCGUGGUGAGCCGUUUGCAAAUUUAACGGUGUAGAAAUAUUCAAAUCACGUGAAAUUUUGAUAGAAAAUUCUUUAUACUAUAUAAAACAAGAUUAAUAUUUUUUAUCUAAAAUUUUAAUGUCAUAUCAUUAUAUUUUGUAAGAUUUUUAUUUUCAGCCGCUGAUUUUGAGUCAUUUCGAUCAUUAGGCAAUUGAUAUAAAAAAAUCACAAAAUUUAUUUAUAUAGAAGAUACAUUAUUUGCUACACCCAGUGUAUCUGCAUAUUUAUUUACCAUAAAUUUAUUAGCUCUUUUGCAACUUAUAUUUCGAAAAUUUCGCUCAUUAAGUUAAUUUUUAUUUUCUAUAUAAAAAAACUAGAUUGUUGGAUUAAAAUAAGAGUUGAGUGAAAACUGAUGUAUAUUUAUUAGUACACAGAUAUAUAGAUGAAAUUAAGGCAAGCAAUAAUUUUAACUCUAAAAUAAAAAUUAAGAUAUAAUAUAAUUAAAAUUUUAGGAGCUAAGAUGAUGUCUUAUUGAAAGUUUAGCAUAUACGAUUGUCGAAAUCAAAAUAAAAAUUUAAUGUUAAUUUAGGAAUUCAAGAAGAUAAAUAAGAGAAAUAUACUAUUCUACCCAAUUAUAAAUAUCAAAAUUUUUUAAAAAUUAAAAAAUAACUUUUAAAUUUUACGUAUCAAAAGAAUAUUUAUAUAUUUUUUGAGAGAAAGAUAAUAUGCUAUCCAUAUAAUUUAAUAACUUACUUAAUAUAAAUAUUACUGACCGUCCCUAAUACAAGUGAUAAAGAAUUUGAUGAUUGGUAUCCGAAAUUUCAAGUUCGAAUUCUAAUUAAUUCACAUUUCUAGCUAAGUUUUAUAUUAAAUAAUUUAUUUGGAUAUCUAAGCAGUCUCUAACAAUGAGGCAUGAGUUGUCGGAGCAGUGGAUGAAACUUUCGCCGGACUGACUCAACUGUAGUGUAGUAGUUUUUUUUUUUUUUUUUUUUUUUUUUUUUUUUUUUCUGGUGCCUUCUCGCCCCUUCCGAGGCCUUGUUGCCUCACCCAUAUAGCUUAAUUCAUAUUUUUACUGAAUGAAGAGGGUAGCGUGCUACCCUUCUCUCAAAAAAACAAUGAGGCAUGUAUAUAAUGCGGACGUGUACACCGGGUGUAUGCAAGAUUUUCUCGUCCCAAAGAAAGAGGAGAGAUAAGGAAAGGGCCCUCUCCCUUCGGGUCAGAGAAUAGGGAAUCGAUUCCAUCAAGUUGUAGUUACAACAACAAAAAAAAAUUUAAAAAUAAAUUACACAUGUGGUCCUCAAUCUAUGAAAGGCAUAAUAUUUUGAUACUGAAAUUUUAAUUUAUUAUUAUUUUUAUUUAAAAUUUUGAAAUUGUUAUAAUUAAUUUUUAUAGUUUAAUUUAAUUGAUUAAAUUUUGAUAAAUUAUUGAUAUAGAAAUAAUAUGAAAGUUGAUUGUCAAUAUUUCACCGACUAAUUAGGUUAUUAAAUUUUAUUAUAAUAAUUCAGAAAGUUCUAGGUAAAAAAUUAUAAUAAAUUAAAAUUUAAGGUCCAGGACACCCCUGUAAUUUAAGAAUCAAAAGCUUAGCUACGAUUUGGUUCGGGGUUAAGAAAAAACUAGUUAUUCCAGGAAUUGGGUUAAGUUCAGGGUUAAGGUGAGGUUAGAGUAUUUUUGUGUUUGGUUGAGAAUUGGAGUUAGUUCAGGAUUAACGAAAAUAAUGUUUGGUUGGAGUAGGUGGAAUAAGAAGGAUAGUGAGUAAAAUAGUGUUUUCUUUAGUUGGAGUAGUGGAGUGGGGUGGGAUUAACUGGGGUUAGCUAACCCCACUUCAAAUGGGCUACCCCGGAUUAACCUAUUUGGGGUGGGGUUAGCUAACCCCAGCUAACCCAAUCCCCUAAAAUCAUGUUUGGAAAUAAAACCGGGGUUAAGGGGUUAUCCCACCCCUUAACCCCGAACCAAACAUAAGCUGGCAUCGUUUGGUUCGGGGAUAAGAAAAAAGUGGCUAUUCCAGAAAUAGGUAUAAAUUGAGAUAUAAGCGGGAAUAGCAUCAAUUUUGCGUUUGGAUGAAAAUUAGGUUAUUCCUAGAAUAAAAAAAAUAGCGUUUGGUUAGAUAAGAUGGAAUAAAAAAGAUAAUGGGUUUUGUAAAUAAAAAAUAAUGAUAUUAUCCACUUAUUAUAUUUGAAUUUGAAUUUUUAAAUUUUUAAAUUUAUAUUUCUAAAUUUAAAAUUUUAACUUUGAAAUUUAAAAUCUCAAAUUUUAAAUUCAAAAUUUUAAAUUUUAAAUUUCAAACUUUAAAUUUAAGAUCAUAUUUAAAUUUAAAAAAUAUAAAAUAUCAAAUUUUAAAUUUCAAAAAUUUAAAAUAUCAAAAUUUAAAUUUAAAAUUUAAAAUUUAUAAUUUAAAUUUUAAACUUUAAUUUUGAGAUUAUAAAUUAUAAAUUUUAAAAAUUUAAAUUUUUAAUUUUUAAAAUUUUAAAAUAAGAAUAGGGGUGGGAACAAUUAAUAAAAAUAAUUUAUUAUAAUAAAUUUAUAAAUUUUUUUAAAAUUCUACUUAAACUUAAAUUUAAUAAAAAUAAUUUAUUAUAAUAUUUAAAUAUAAUUUAUUAUAAAUUUUAUUAUAAUAUUUAAAUAUAAAUAAUAUGUAUUAAUAUAGUAUAAUUAAUAAUUUUGUAAUAAAAAUAAUAUAUUAUAAUAUAUAACAUAUUAUAUUUAUAUAAUUUAGUUUAAUUCAAUUUAUAAUUUUAAUUAAGUUUGAAAUUAAGCAUUGGAAUAGCACUAUUCCACCAAAAUGGUGGAAUAGCAAAUCUCUUGCUAUUCCUGGAUAACCGGGAAUAGCAAGGUUUGACCGGGAUAAAAUAUCCCGGCCAAAUUUCACCCCGUUUGGCGGAAUAGCCGGGAUAACUUUCGUUAUCCCCGCUUAUCCCGCGAUCCAAACGGGGCCUAUUAAUAAGGAUUAAUUGCACAUUUGGUCCCGAUACUAUGGGCCUAGUGAUAUUUUGGUUCUUAAAUUUUAGUUUGUUAUAAUUUCUGUUUUGAACAUUCAGAAUUACUAUAAGCAAGUCCUAUAAUAUAAUUUAGUUGGUUAAAUAUUAAUAUUAACCACAAUAUAAAAAUAACGUAAUAGUGUUAUAAUUGAUGAUGGGCCAAUAUUAAAAUGCCGCAUCAUUUUUACACCCGCAAUGUGUUUAUAUUUAAUCAACAACUAAAUUGGAAGGUGAGAUUUGAUUGCAAUAAUUCUGAAAAUAGUUGGAGCCAGAAAUGAUAAUAAAUUAGAGUUUAAAGACCAAAGCGCCACCAACUCAUAGUUUGAGGCCUAAAGAUGCAAAAUUACCCAAAGAGCUUAAUUUAUCCCAGAACUAACUAAAGAAAACGCACCCGUGUUCGCUUCGCACUUUUUUUCUGUGGGUAGAUGAGGUAGAGAGAGAAUAGAGAGGGGAGAGAGUAGAGAAUAAUAGAGAGGGGGAUGAGAGGGGGAGGGGGUCGGGUGGCGACGUGGAGGGAGAGGGAGAACAACAAGCGGCGGGAGCGGCGGCGGCGGGCGAUCGCGGCGAAGAUAUUCGCGGGGCUGCGGGCGCACGGAAGCUACGCGCUGCCUGCCAACCACUCCGACAACAACGAACUCCUCAAGGCCCUCUGCCGCCAGGCCGGAUGGACCGUCCUCGACGACGGCACCACCUUCCGCACCACCAACGUUGCUUUUCAUUCCCUCCCAUUUUAAAUUAUGUAUAGUUUGAUUAAUUAAAAUAACAAAUUUAUACCCAUCCAUCCCUUGAAAUUACCUCACCCUUUUCUUCGUCUUCUGCUUCUUCUUCUUCGACCUUUGCCGACAGGGAUGCGAACCACCACCGCCUCCGGAGCAAAUCGCCGCCACCGCCCCCCCGUCGACGACGAUGAGCCCCUGCUGCUCUCUACCACGCCACCCCCUCCUCCUCCUCCUCCUUCCCCAGCCCUACCCGCCCCGAGAACCCUAACCCUAGCUCGGUCGUGAACCCCGCCUUCCUCCUCCCCUUCCUCCGCAACCUCUCCUCCCUCCCCCCGCUCCGCAUCUCCAGCAGCGCCCCCGCCACCCCCCCGCUCUCCUCCCCCACCGCCGCCGCCGCCGCGAGAGCCCCACCCGCCGCCGCCGCCCCCGGCGCGACGAGCCCGACGCCUCCGCCGUCGACUUCAGGCUCUGGGGCGGCGCCCUCUCCACCGCCCCCGCGUCCCCCACCUUCAACCUCGUCCACACCGCUCCGGCGGUGGGGGUCGGGGAGUUGGAGCGCGGGGAAGGGAGGGUGGUGAAGCCGUGGGAGGGGGAGAAGAUCCACGAGGUCGGAGUCGACGAGCUCGAGCUCACUUUGGGAGUGGGUCGAAAUGGUGGUGGUGGUGGUGAUUGUGCCUCAAAUUUUGAGGGAUUUUUCGUAUUAUGAUUUACUUCUCUCGUUUUGAUCAGAAAAUUUUUGGUUCUACUGCUUGUGUUGUGUUUCUUCUAACUUUCGUGGGGGAUUGAAGGGGGAAAUUCUUUCAUUGGAUUGGGCACAUUGAUGAGGGGAGAGAGAGUUGUCACGUUUGCCAGGUCGGAAGAGGUUGCAGCUUGCAAGAUUCCAAUUGUACGCCCGAUCUCUACUCCACUGCAGUAGGAGAUGAAGGCGCGCUCUCAUAUUAUACACGAAGUAGGCACUGAUGUUUAUAGAUUGUACGCUUUCAAACCGCUCGAUGUUUACUGAUUGUACGCUUUCAAACUGCUUGGAUGUUUACGAACUGCUCGAUGUUUACAGAUUGUACGCUUUCAAACUGCUCGAUGUUUACAGAUUGUACGCUUUCAAGCUGCUCGAUGCUUACAGAUUGUACGCUUUCAAACUGCUCGAUGUUUACAAACUGCUCGCUGUUUACAGAUUGUAAGCUUUCAAACUGCUCUAUGUUUACAGAUUGUACGCUUUUGAUCUUCAAAUUUUGCCCCCUCAAUUCGACAGAGAUGAGGGACUUUGUUGUCGGAGAUCUGGCGAAAUGAACACGGCUUUAAGAUUACAUCUUACCUUAUUAUGUAGUUAGCAAUUUUUAUUGGUUGCUUCUAAAUUAUGAGAAAGCAUGAGGUGGAGGUAAUUAAGCUUUCAAAGUUCUCGUUUCUCCUUGCAUUGCAUUCUAUAGAAGAUUUUAGUAAACUUGAUCCGGUUUCCAUAAUUAUUGGAUGUACUUCAUUUAUGAUUGCAUUGAUAUGAAGCUGUUAUUAUGGCAUUGAUUUAUCACUUCAUCAAUGGCUGGGGCAAAUUAUGAAUUUAUGAUGGAAUUUUAAUUGAACUGUUCCUUCAAAAUCAAUAUUUAAGUUUUUCGCCAAUUUUUUCUUAAUGAAAUUACGAGUGUUGAUUUAGCCGCCAAGCCCUAUCUUAAUACUGCUAAUACUUGAUUAUAAGAUCAUUACAUCAUUUCUAAAUAGCAAUGGAUCAAUUAUAAAUGUCCCCUAAAAACAGUGUUAAAUACAACACCAAAUGGGGAAAAAAAAUCUGUACUUUUAUAUAUUUUUUUUUUUCCUUUUUUGAGAGAUAGGUAGCACGUUAUCCGCUUCGUUUAUUUUAUUUAGAAAUAAACUUAGCUAGAAAUGUGAAUCAACUAGGAUUCGAACUUGGGUCUCAGGUUUCAAUCAUUUGCCACUUGUUCUAGGGACGGUCGGUAAAUCUGUACUUUUAUAUCAAUUAAGGAUUUUGUUGUAAUUAAAUAGGAUCCUUGUGUGGAUGCGUGAAUAUCUUACAAAUAAAUUUAGGGCCUGAUAAAGGGGCAUAUGAUCAUUUCCUUAGGCAUGUUUGGUUUGAAUUAUUCUGUCAGAAUUACAGGUAAUGUUAGGAUUAUUAUGUUUGGUUCCUCCAAUCUGCAAUUUAGUCGGUAAUAUAACAUUACAAUGAUGCAAGAUUAUUUCAAAGAGUUGGUAUUUCGUAUUACUGAUGGCAGGUUAUCUUACAUGCUAUAUAAAGUUGUAAGUUUACUCUUCCAAACCUCUCUCCUUCCAAAAAAGAAAAAAAAAUUUCUUUCAACAUGUCAUUUUUAUCUCUCUUUUCUCUUUCUCUUUCUAUCUUCGCACGAACCCUUCUCUCCUACCAAUCUUAUCUUAGCCAAGCGCUGAUCGCCGCCACCUCAACACCCUCUUAGUCAGAAAUCUCAGUUGUAUAAUUAUGUCGUAAUAACGUGUAAUGCUACAUAAUCCGAACUAAACUCGCCCUUAGAGGCAUAUCAAAUCCUGAGCAUAAUAAAUGUUGUUAGUUGAUGGGUUCCCAACCUCCCCUCCAGAUCUCCAUUGGAGAGGGAGUUGCCUUGGUGUGGGUCAUGGACACAUUAGGGGUUUGAGGGGCCACAUUCCAUGUGAGGGUUCUCUGCGUUAGGUGUUUGUACAACAGGCAAUGUCCAAUCCUUACAAUUAUAUAAGGUCCAGGGCACAUCCAUUCAAAUGCUGCAGCACAAAUGCACUCCCAUACAAUUAUAUUUGGGCCCAUCGAGAGUAACACAUCAGCUAAAUAGGCUCUGCUCUGUGUGAUGCGCACAGUGUCUAGCAGAAACCUGCAAGUGGUUUGCAGAGUUUGACAGUGGACUCUGCUUUAUUUGAAAUCCUGCCAUUGUGAGAUCAUUAAAACUUAACAUGAAGUGCUCUCUUCGACGUUAAAAGCUGCCAUGUAGGGCUGCACGUAUCUCAAACUGUGCACGUCAUUAAAGACCGUCAGAUCAGCCACGUGAUGUUGUGCGAGAAAUUAUUUUAAACCUAUAAAAUCUAUUGAUUUGAUGCAAAAAAAAAAAAAAAAAAAAAAAAAAAACUAUUGCUGCAAAUUGGGCAUUAAAAGUUUGAUUUCAAGUAAAAAUCACUUUACUAGGUUUAAUUUGAUCCAAGACCAAGAACCUAAUUUUGGCCCAUGAAGUUUAAUUGGUGCAAGGCCUACUAUUAAUGUUAGAUAAUUACUCAGUUUGGACAAAAUUAAGCUUACACUGGUGAUAGGAUCGCACAUUUUGCAGAGGGACAUUUCCAAUCAAAUGCACAAAAUAAGAAGGUGAUUUUUUUAGGAUCCAUUUGGUUGGAUUUAAUUAGAAAGGAUAAUUGCUUGUAUACCUGUCAAAACUUCAAAAGUAUUUUAUUUACCCGUACUUUUUUUUUUCUUUUUAAUAUACCCCUCAUAUGUUCCUCCAUUAUUUCAAAAUAUCCGUACAGUUAUCACCCGUUAAGUUAAUUUGGGUUAAACGUAAGUUAAAUAUCUACUAUAAUUAAAAAAAUCAAAAUGCCUAUAUUGCCCUUAACUGAAGGGUAAAUAAAAAAUAUUAAUGAUGGUAGAAGGAUAUAUUUAAAAAAAUAAAAAAUCAAAAUACUUUUUGCACCCCUAACUUACGGGCAAAUAAGAAAAGUCGGUGAUGGUGGAAGGGCAUAUUUGAAUGGACAAAAUAGUUUUUUCAUACAGAUAAUAACUAUUGCUAUCAGUUCAUUAACGGAAUUUAACUCUAGGAGUAUAUUUGAAAUAGUUGGAACGUAAAAAUAGUAUUUUCAAUAUUAGCUUUCUAAGAGGAGUAAAUCAAAAAGUCAAAAUUUUUUCAGGAGUAUAUAAGCAAUUACCCUUAAUUAGAAAUAUGGUAUAGUAGAAAUAAUAUGCAAUUGAAAAUACAACAGUUAUAACUACAUGCAUUUUGUUUGGUUUGAUGAUACAGUCACACAUUUCGCAAAGAGACAUUUCCAAGCAAAUGCCCAAAAUAAAAAGUCGAUAUAUUUAGGGGCCGUUGGUUGGAUGUAAUUAAAAAUACAAUGUAGUUUAAAAUAUAUGCAGUUGGAAAUGCAACAGUAACAACUACAUGCAUUUUGUUUGGUUUGUGCAAUAGAAAAUAUUAUAACGGUAAAUAAUUUGUUUAGUUUCAUACUGUUGAGAAGUACAUUUUUAAAAUUUUAUUAUUUUAUAUAUAUAUUAAGUGGUGAGAUUAUCUUUAAUAUAGAGAAAAAAUUACUUUUUGCUUAAAAAGUAAUUAGAAAGGUAAACUUAUCUUUGUUUAAAUUUACUUUCUUCUGUUGCUGCAAUUGGAACUACUAUCAAUUCGGACAUAAUUCCAAUUGUUGUAAUUGGGCCUUUUAUACAGUCCCAAUUACAGUAGUAGAGUUCAAAUAUAUCAAACCAAACACUAAAUUUUACUAUGCAUGUAAUUACAACUGUAAUACAGCUGUAACUAUAUGCAAUCAAACAGCUCCUUAGGCUUAGUUUGGUAUUGAGGCCUAUCUCUAAUGUUAUUAGAUAGAAUGGAGUUGAGGAAAAGCAUAUAGGAAUAUGCUUCUGUGUUCUCCGAUGGAACCGCAAAAAAUAUAUCGUAACCGACUCAUCGUGAUAUGCGGAACGCAAUAUUACGUACGGAAAUAAACAUGAUAUUUUUUCAACAUACUUUUUCACCGCACGUAACGCAAUCUCCCCGCAAUCCCAAACGAAGCCUUAGUACAGAAACUACAUUUGCAAAUUAAGCAUCCAAAUCUCGAUACUUUGCGUCGGAAGACUCGGAACAAUGUGUUAUCAAAGUAGCCACAAUUAGAUAGGGGCAUGUAAUGGGCCAAUCCAUUGGAAUAAGAUCUAAAUGGGCUUAAAAUAGACGCAUGGUUGGAGUUGGGCUUGGGCUGGGGCUUGGGCUUGGGCUUAUCGCUCGGAUUUUAUUUGUUGGUAAAAUUUAAAUCAAGUUUUUUUUUUUUUUUUUUUUUUUUUUUUUUUUUCCUUCCAUUUUUUUUUCCCCACUUCAAGAUGAUUAUUGAUGUUCGAAUAAUCUUUGAUCAAAAGUAUUUUACUGUCCAUGAUUAUUUUAGUAAUUAAACAAUUAUACAAAAUUAGUAAUCAAUCAAAUCACCCCAAUAUGUAACUAGGUUAUAAUAAAAAGCGUGCAUCUUUACAUGAUUUUCUAAACCUAGAUGCUUUUAUGUGUCUUAGCACGAAUAUUUCUAAUUAAAAAAUUUCCCUUAUGUCUCCAAAUAACAAGCACACCCUCCUCGUCCCACUUUUUUUUUUUUAUCUUAUUAUUUUUUUUAUUAUAUGUAACUUUUAUUAUUAUUAUUAUUAUUAUUUUAACUGUGCGCGUAGGCCUCAAAAACAACGAAACUCCUACACCAUUGACGCAUUAAAACCUACCAAAAUUGAAUCACUCAUUUAGUAAAUGAGCCAAACACGAACUAAAUUUUACAGUUCAUUUUAUAAACGAGCCGAAUAGGAGCGGGAGACUGCUCGCUCAUGUUCGGUUCCAUAAUAGCUCGAAUACAUGCCUUUUCUAUUUAUAUGAUUUAUAUAAUUUAUAUUUAUAAUAUAAAUAAAUAUAAUAAUAAAUAUAUAUAUAUAAUAUAUAUAGAUAUAUAUUAUAUAUAUAUAAUAUACUAUAUAUAUACUAUAUAAUAUUAGUAUUAGUAAUGAUUUAUUAUUUAAUUUUAGUCCAACCUAAAUAUAAAGUCCAACUCAAUUAAAAAAAAAUUUAUUUAUAUGUAAACUUUCAAUUAUUUGAUCAUAUUUAAUGGACAAAAUCUCAUAAAUUUUUUUAUAUAUAUCUUUUCUAAUCAUUUUUACUUGUUGUUCGUGUGCCAAUUCAUGUUUUACUCGUAUUAAUAGUCGAACACAAGCUGAAUUUUUUAACCGGAUACUUUAAUAAGCCAACUCUCCAGCUCGCUUGUAUUUGGCUUGUUGAACUCUAGAUAUUACUACAUCAAUAUAUAUUAAUAAUUCAUCAUAUUUAAUAAAAAUCUAAUUAUCCAGAUCGAAUUAAUUUAUAAUAAUUUAACACAAUUUAAAUAAAAAUUAUAAUAAAUAAAAUUUAAAAUUAAACUUUCACACGUCAAUAGUAUUCCAAAAAGUAUAAUUUUGCCCUCACUAACUUGAGUGUGUACGUCUACGCAGUCAUAUUUAUAUGUCUUUUAAAAAAAUUUUAAAUACUAACUCUGUGGUUUCGUAUUUUCUUAUUUUAGUCUCAUAUAGUUUAAAAUGUAUUAUUUUUAUAUCCUAUAAUUUUAUUUUUCUCUUUUUAUUUCCCUCUAAUAAUUUUCGUUAAAUCAGUAAUAAAUUUAAAAUUAAAGAAUAGGUGGGAUAUAUAAAAUUUUUAUAUAUAAUUUAAAAAAGUUAAUAAAAGGAUGAUAAAAAAAAAAUAAUUAUCACAGAAUACAUAAAUUGAUAUAUUUUAAAUCACAUGUUCUAAAGAGGAAAAAACGUAAACCCGUGUAUUUAAGGCCCGUUUGGUUCAGGGGAUAAUGCGGGGAUAACGAAAGUUAUCCCCGCUAUUCGCCAAACGGGAUCAUUUUUUAUGAGAAUAUUUUAUUCGGUCAAAUCUUGCUAUUCCGGUUAUUCCGAAUAGCAAGUUUUUACUAUUCACCAUUUUGGUGGAAUAGUAGCUGCUAUCUCAUGCUUAAUUUUCAAACUCUAAUUAAAAUUAUAAAAUAAAUUAAAACUAAAUUAUAUAAAUAUAAUAUAUUAUAUAUUAUAAUACAUUAUUUUUAUUAUAAAAUUAUUAAUUGUGCUAUAUUAAUACAUAUUAUUUAUAUUUAAAUAUUAUAAUAAAUUUUAUAAUAAAUUAUAUUUAAAUAUUAAAAUAAAUUAAAAUUUAAAAUUUAAAUAAAUUUAAAAUUUAAAAUAUUAUAAUAAAUUAUAUUUAAAAUUUAAAAUUUGUAAUCUCAAAAUUAAAGUUUAUAAUUUUAAAUUCCACAUUUUAAAUUUUAAAUUUAAAUUUUGAAAUUUUAAAUUUUUGAAAUUUUAAAUUUGAAUUUUAUUUUUUUUCAAAUUUAAAUUUGAUCUUAAAUUUAAAGUUAGAAAUUUAAAAUUUAAAUUUUGAAUUUAAAAUUUGAGAUUUUAAAAUUUAAAUUUUAAUUUCAAAAUUUGAAAUUUAAAAGUUAAAAUUUUAAAUUUUAAAAUAUAAAUAUAAAAUAUAAAAAUUUAAAUUUUAAUAUAAAUAAAAAAGUGAUAAUAUUAUUAAUUUUUAUUUAUAACUACCAACUUUAAAUCUUAUUCCAAUCUUACCUAGCCAAACGUUAUUUUUCUUAUUCCCAGAAAUAACCCAAUUUUCAUCCAAACGCAAAAUUGAUCUAAUCCCUGCUUAUACUUCAAUUUAUACCUAUUCCUGAAAUAUCCACUUUUUGCUUAUCCGCGAACUAAACGAUACCUAAAGUUUAGCCUAUUUUUUUAUCCACACAUAUUCUUGCUUACGUGGACUCACACGUCAUGCCAUAUGUCAAAUCCUUCCCAGGAAAGUAUGUAGCGAAAAAAGGUCCCUUGGGAAACGAACCCCCCCUAACCCGACCUAAAUAUUUAAUCAAAUUAAUUUCUUUUUUCUUUUUUCUUGAUAUUUUUUCCUCACCAAUAAAUGAAUAAAUUAAUAAUUAAUUAGCAGUCACAUCUCGGAAUCUGCGCAAAGCCUCCUCGCUUCCAUAAAGUAAAGGAGAUCGAACGGCCACGUUUCGCCCUACCAGAGCACUUACCCCCUCGCUAACCCUCCCCCCUAAUCACUUUUUUAAUCCUCUUUUUUAAUCACAAUUAAACGUGGAAUCAACCCCCCCCUAAUUUUCUUAAUUAAUUAUUAGUCCCAAGGGCCUCGAGUCGCGCGCCACGAAUCUGUUCCAACCACCCAAAGAGCUAUUCUCCCCCCACUUUUUAUACUUUUGGGGGGGUUCCCCUUUUUUCCCCUCACCAUCUUUUUUUGCUUUUGGGUGUGAAUGUUCCAAACAAGGCCCCCUACCAAUAUAUCAUGACAAAGAGCACUCCUUUUCUUUGUCUCUUCAAAGCGCAGAUUCUCAGCAGACUCGUUACUCAGAAAAUUUUUUAUAGUAUAGUUCAGGAACAUGAUUCUGUUAAAUUUUAUAAAAAUAUUAAAUCGUAUAUUCUGUUAUGAUUUUGAUUUUCAAACCCGAAUUAUAGACGGCGUUUCUUGCUUAUGGUUCGUUCUUAUAGUUUUGCGAAAUAUUUCGAGUCUAUUUCUUUAUCUCGGGAAAUAGAGCCGUCAUAAAAAAGUAGGAUUAGGAAUAGGCCGAAACUCCUAUAUGUUACAUUUAUUUAUAUAUAAUUUAAUGUAAGGAUGUUAAAUUAUACUGGUCCAAUAAGAACGUGUCUAGAUAUAUUCUAAUUGUUGAAUCGACCGUAUUUUUAUAGAUCAUCCUGAAUAGAUCGAUUGUAUCUUUAUAAAUCGUCUUGAAUAAACCAUGUGGGUCAUAUCUAGUGUGUCCAUCUAAAAAAAAUAGUGUAUCUUAGACAUUGACGGUGAUUGUGAUUGUUAGCUGCUGUAGUAAUAGAUGGAUCGUGGGCUCAGUUCUCGCUACGGCGCGAAUUCUCUGCAGAACACGUUGUGCGGAAAAUUUUUGAGUUGUAGAAACCUAAAGGCGCAGGGCCUUAACCAUUGGUAUUCUCCGUAGACCCAUUGUGCAGAAAAUUUCUGUCCGAUAGGAAUUGAAGUGUUUGUUUUUGUGAUCCGACUGUCUGUCAAAAUAGUAACAGAGAUAUAUUUUGUUCUUAGAUGGACGGUGAAUUGGUACACGGAAAAUUCUCUAUAAAGCCUAGACUCAAUUGAUAGACUAUUUUCAUAUAGUAGAUAUAUUUGAAAGUUCAUCCAAAAGUGUGAUAUAUCUCAACUAUUCAUAGUGAUUUGUUGAUUAGUCAUGCCUAUGGCUGGCAAUCCAGUCCGCGACUCAGUUCGUGCUUGGCUUGAAAUGAGUUCGGGAUGGAUCGCUCGUUUAAAUAAAUAAGUCGAAUAUGAGAUAAAUUUUUCAGCUCGCUCAUGUUCUUGACCCCAAUUCGUGUUUGGCUCGAUAUAUAUAUAUAUAUUAUAUAUAUAUAUAGUUAUUAUAUAUAUAUAUAUCUUCCCACCUCUCUUCUAACCAGCCAUCAAAUUUGAUGGUGGUUAGAAAGUUGAGUGAGCACAAAGGCUGCUGUGUUCCUAUAGCACAUAUCCCUACUCUCUCUCGUCCUCUCUCUCUCUCUAUAUAUAUAUAUAUAUAGUAUAUAUAUACUAUAUAUAGAGUUGCGACUGCGUACUAUAGUAGCAAAAUUUUUAUUGUUGGUACCCAGUUUAUUUAGCCUUGGAUCAACUCUUUUCAUCAUUAUAACAUUGAAUUAAAUACUAUAACCCAGUGUGAGAGUCAUCAACCCUAGCGGCGAGCACUCAACUCUAACUGACUAAUAUAUCCUACUCUACAAUUGUCAUCCAGUGUUUAAAAACUUGAUACCAAAAACAAGGGUUUUACUGUUAAUAGUGAUUCCAGUAAAUUAUAAAUAUAUAUAUAUAUAUAUAAUAUAUAACUAUAUAUAGAACAGAGAUGAGAAGAGAAAGAGAGAGGCUUGGGAGAGGCGCUGUCAUUGAGUGGUCGUGGGAGCUUCCUCGCGGAGCCAGUCCGCGAUGAAACUGAUCUCGGAGAGAGAGAGAGUGAUUGGAGAUGAACUACUCAAUAAACAUCGGAUGCUUACCCCGUUUGCGCCUGGGUGUUGUAGGGCAGUGAGGUCACACCAUUCAGUACGCGCACUGUCUGAAUGGUUUUGCAUCGAGAGAGCAAGAGAGAGAGGUCGGCUACUAUGCUAUUAAUAGCACGAAGUACUUUGUGCUACAAGUUUUCCGCCGUUAGAUCUACCCUUUUGAUCAUUUUCAUCCGUUAGAUCAUACUAUUCAACCAACACCACACAUCAACCCUAGAGGACCCACAUCAUCCUUAUCGCACAUCUCUUAAUCCAAUGGCAAAAAUUGGUAGCACCAAUGACUUGGUGCUAUUAAUUUUUAGCCCUUAGACUAAAAAUAUUACGGUUAGGAUGAUAUGAGCCCCUAGGGUGAGUUGGGUGUUGGUUUGAAUAGUAUAAUCUAAACGGAUAAAAAUAAUCAAAGUGAUUAAUUUAACGACAGAAAAACUUGAUAGCGCCAAGUUGCUUCGUGCUAUCCGAUAUAAUCAGCAAGCCAUCUCUCUCUCUCUCUCUCUCUCUCUCUCUCUCUCUCUCUCUCUCUCUCUCUCUCUCUAUAUAUAUACAUAUAUAUAUAUAUAUAGAGAGAGAGAGAGAGAGAGAGAAAGAGUUUUGCUAGAAUACUGUUGGUAGUAAACGACUUGGUUUAUUACCAUUUUAUUUUCGAUGGUAGAGGUUCCGGAUUGAUGAUUUCCACUAUUAAAUAUGAUCCAAACCAUUAAUUUAAACUAUUUGAAAAUUAAAUUUCACGUUUUUUCGUUAUUAUUCUCUUGUCCAUUAAGUGAAUAAAAAAUAAAUGACGGAAAAUAAAUAUCCUUCAAAAAAGUGAUGGUACAAUUUUUCUAUUCAACAUUUAGAAUCUAGAUAUUGUUUUAAAUAGUUUAAAAAAUUUUCUAACAAAACAUCAACUGAUUUGAAUUCGUUUAUAUCAUUAAACGAGCAAAUGUAUCAUACUAACUAUUAAAAAUUAUAGAUUUUGUGACUUUUUGAUCGUUUGGUUAGUGAUGUUGAAAACUUGUGAAAUUUAAUUUCUCAAUAGUUUAAAUGGUCUAAAUCAUAUUCAACGGUGCCGAUCAUUGAUUUGGAAGUUGUAUCAUCGAAAACAAAUUGGUAAUAAACCGAGCCGUUUACUACUGAUAGUAGCCCAAGCUCACUAUAAGUUUUGCUAGAAUCCUAUAAGUAGUAAACGGCUUGAUUUACUACCAAUUUAUUUUCGAUUAUAGAACUUUCAAAUUGACAAUCAGCACCAUUGCCGAUUGUCCCUAGAGCAAGUGGCAAAGGGUUUGGUGAUUGGUACCCGAGACACAAGUUCGAAUUCUAGUUGAUUCACAUUUCAAGCUAAUUCCACUACAACAGACUUAGAUUAUAGGGACACAUGUUUGGGACACUUUUGAGUAAGUGUCCCAUUUAUGCUAAAACUUAAAAAAAUAUCUACUAAUGCCUAAAUAUAAAGCCCAAUCCAACCAAAAAUAAAAGAUUACUCUACUCAACCCACCACACCCAGUCCAUUUGGCCCGAUUACAAACAGAAAAGAAAAAAAAAAAAGAAAAAUCAAUUGCCAUCUUUUCUUCUCUCUUCACUCAAUCCACUGAAAUUCUAAACGAAGAGCCUUUCCUGUCGUCCUCCUCUGCCACCGCAGCCAAAGAGAUAAAGUUUCGGCGGUUGCUAAAUGCUUAAAUAAGUGUUCGUAAAUUAGCAGCACUCUUUUAGGUUAUAGCGACACUCUUUAACUGUCACUAUAUACCUAGCGACCCCACAUAUAGCAACACUUUUUAAAAGUGUCGGUAAUUUUAGCUAGCAGCACUUUUUUAACAUGUACCUACAUUUAAAAGUGUCGCUAUAGACCGUUUUUGUUGUAGUGUAAAUUUAUUUCUAAAUGAAAUAAAUGAAGCGGGUAGCGUGCUACCUAUCUCUCAAAGAAAAAAGAAAAAGAAAAAGAAAAAAAAGACAAUCAACAGCAUUAAAUAUGAUCUAAACUAUUUAAGCUAUCUGAAAAUCACAUUUCACUCAUUUUCAGUUAUUGUUCUCUUGUCCAUUAAGUGAAUAAAAAAUGAAUGGCUGAAAAUAAAUAUUAUUUAAAAAGUAAUGAUAUAAUUUUUCUAUUUAACAUUUAGAAUCUAGAUAUUGUUUUAAAUAGUUUAAAGAAUUUUCUAAUAAAAAAUUACUCGAUUUGGACUUUUCUAUACCAUUAAAUAAGUAAACGCAUCAUACCGGUCAUUAAAAAUUACAGAUUUUAUAACCCUUUGAUCGUUUGGUUAGUAAUGUUGAAAACUCGUGAAAUUUAAUUUCUAAAUAGUUUAAAUGGUUUAGAUCAUAUUCAACAGUGUCAAUCGUCGAUUUGCAAGCUCUAUCAUCAAAAACAAAUCGCAAGUAAACUGAGGCGUUUACUAAGGAUAGUAGCCUAGUCAAGCUCUAGGCCUAGCUUGUAGUCGGCUUGAUAUUUUAAUGAGCCAGUUUGUAUUUGGCUCGGACCCCACUCGCUUGUGUUCUGCUCGUUGACAGCCCUAGUCACGCCAGUAGCCGCAAUGCAGUCUAUCCUUACUCGAACAGGAGGAUCAAACUGUAUGUAGGGAUUUUUCUUGCGCCUCGGGUAUGUAAAGAAUCUACACUUCUCUCUAUAAGCCCUUCUUUCAUUCAGUGACAGUGGUGAUUAAGACACUAGGCCUAGCCAAGUUUACAUUAAAAAGAACCCUAAAAUUUGGUAAAGGGUCCUCUUAUAUUCCAACACACAAGCCAAUUCGAGCCUUGGGCUUGGAGCCGAGUUCUAAAUUCCCUUAAAACGUGGCACGAAUCAUGGCACGUCCUUAGGAAUACAAAUGCACAAGCAAGGUAUAUAGAUAUGUAGGCAUCAAAACUAUAAUAGUCUAAGCCAAGCGCUAAACCUGUAAGAGCGAGCCAGAGAGAAAGAAUAUGAAAUUGACUACGAAGAAACUAGCAAGUUGUAGAAAUCUAAAUAGCUAAGCUUCUUUCAGACUAAGUCCUGCCCCCGCCCCGAGAAUGCGCGGGGCCCACCCACACGACUUGUCAGAGCGGACGAAACGACAGCUAGCCAAUCGGCGGCCAGGGUUCGCGAUUAGACAGCCGGAUCGCUUUACUGAUUGGGUGGGUAUGUGUUGGAUCAUCAUUAAUCUAGGGAUUAAGAUAAGCAGCGCGUGUUUCGAGGGGAUUGGGGUUAGGGUUGAGUCUAGGGUUUGCAUUGGGAUGCCAACAGUUGGUGAAUGGGAAACAAGGGGGAGGGGUGUCUGGGAUAAGGAUGGCACAAUUUGUUUAAUAUUAAUGGUUUUUGUUUUAAUAAUAAUGAGCUUAAUUUGUCAAAUGGGAGGGUGUGGUGUGUGUGUGUGUGUGUGUGGUGGCAAAAGAAGGGCUUAGGCAUGUGAGGGAAUCAAAUAACAAAGCAUGCGCAUCUUUUUUUUAUUUUUUUCCUCUCCUUUCAACUCAAACACAUUGCCCCAUUUUGUGGACUUAUUAAACAAGUACAAGAUAUGGUGCUUUGGAUCCAAACAACCUUAGUUAGCAAGCUUAUUAUGAGAAUCUCUCUCUCUCUCUCUCUCUCUCUCUCUCUAAAGCAUCAAUCAAUGAUCCUUAUCCAGUCUUUACCUUGGUUUAGAGUAAUGGUCCUCUUGCUUCAAGUGUUAAGUAAUAGAAGAAAGCGUGGCGCCACGUGACCACAAGGGAGAGAUCAUCUCCCACUACAACAAAUUUAUGAUUUAGCGGUAUUUAUUCCGCAGCAUUUAUUUAAAUAACGUUAAUUAAUAUAUUUAACAGCAUUACUUAAUAAGUGCUGCUAGAUUUAAUAAUUUAGCAGUAAUUUACUAUUAAUGUUACAAAAUAAGAUAAAUUAGCAGCAUAAAUUAGUGAAUGCCGCUGAAGUUUUCAGCAUUUUAUAAAAAAAAGACACUAAAUAUAAUAAAGUAGCAACACUUAUUGUUAAAUGCCGCGAUAUUUGCCCCGCAACAUUUAUUUAAAUCAUGCUAAUUAAUAUAUUUAACAGCAUUAGUUGAUAAUUGCCGCUAGAUUUAAUUAUUUAGCAGCAAUUUACUAUUAAUGUUGCAAAAUAGGAUAAAUUAGCAACGUAAAUUAGUGAAUGCUGCUAAAUAUAAUAAACUAGCAGCACUUGUUGCUAAAUAUCGUUACUAAUAAAUAUAUAAUUAUUAAUAUAUCCCUUUUUACUUAGAAUUAAAAAUUUUAAAAUUAAAGUUUAAAAUUCGAAACGUAUAAUUUAAAAAAUUAAACUUAUAAUUUAAAAUUUAAAAUUUUAAAAUUUAUAUUUUAAAUUUUAAACUCUAAAAUUUUUAAUACAAUUCAUAUUUUGCUGGGAACUAAAUUGGAAUUCAUUUUUCAUUCUAACUCACAAGAUCUAGUGAAAGUGCAUAUGGAUUUUAUAUGUAGAAUCGAGAUCACUGGGCGGUCCGCAGCUAGCGGUGGACCAGGUCCAAGAAGUAAUUUUUGAAUAGGGAUUGAGCAAAUUAAGUAUCUGGUCAAGUUGGUCAAGGCACAAUUCAGGUUUACUCUAACCAUAUAUAGAUAUUACAGGGACCACAUUAUGGUUCACUGACGUCCUAAAAAUGAAUGAUCGGAUCCUUCAAUUUAAGAUCAGGGUUAUUGAUCUUUAUCUAUAUAGUGAAUAGAAUUCUUUAUAAAAAAUUCAAUCGAUUUCAAUACUUUUACACCGUUAAACUAGCAAAUAUUCAAUACCGGCCGUUAAAAAUUGUUAAUUUCGAAAUCUUUUCAUCGUAAGAUAAAUGAUGCCAAAAAAUUAUAAAAUUUGAUUUCUAAAAGUUUUAAAUGCUCUAGAUAACAUUUAACGGUAUGUAUCGUCGAUUAGGAAGCACUAUCAUCGAAAACGAUUUAUAAGUACGAAAGCGAUCAUACUCAUAAGAGUAUAGUAUCCGAACUCUUGGAAAAAAUAUACUAGCUAUAAAUUGUUAAGGUAGUAGUAGUGUAUUAUUUGAAAGAAAAAUAAUUUCAGCAUGUGAAAUUAUUUAUCUCCCACACUAAUUUAGCAGGCCUAAUUAUAAUAUAUUGGAUUUGCAUCACAUGACAGCAGUGCUUAAUUAAACAUGUGGAUUUUACGUAAUUGCAUUGGAUUCGCAUGAUAUAGAUAUGCACCGCCUCAUGUACAGCAUGUGUUAAUGAGGGUGUUAAGCACAUAAUAAAUCGUGAUUUAUAUAUAAUGUGUAAAAAUGUCUCAACCUAGCAGCAUAAGCUCUUAUUAGGUUUGAACUCGAGCCUUUUAAUAUAUAUGAAUAUAUGAUCAUAAUUUGACACAUCAUCUGAUUGAUAAUCCAAUAUCAUUCUCCAUACCAAACCCCUUUAUAUGUAUACACACAUAUAUAUAUAUAUAUAUAUAUAUACACACACACACAUACUACCCCACAUCCAAGUCAUAGUUCCUAAAUUCGAUCCCUUCGAGGGGUCACACACUUCAUAUAUAGCAAAGACGUUUUCUCACGUAUGCUACCACUAACUCUCAUCUUCAAUAUUACAAAAAAAAACAAACACACUAUAUGAAGGAAUAUAUAAUAAUUCAAUAAUUAAUUAUCUCACGUUCAUGUGUAUGUAAAAAAAAUAUCCGAGAUAGAAACCAUAAGUAAGACGACACGUUGCAAAUUCCUGCAUAUGUUGUGAACUGGCCCGGAUACAACCUUUUUUCUUUUUUUUGGCACCAUUCCACAUGAUUCCCACUACUCUGACACAAACACACACACACACACACAUAUAUAUAUAUAUGACUACAAAUAUAGCAAUGGAUUAAACUUAACUUUUAAACCAUGCAUAUAUAGUUACAAACCUUGUUGUUGGAUAUAUAUAUUUAUAUAUGGUUGGGACCAUCUCCCGACUCCCAUACAGAUAUUAAUAUCAGAAACAUUACGUGUCCCUCUCUUCAACAUCCAUGCUCAUGCCAAUGUUUCAAGGGGUCCUACAUCCUCAAAAAGGGAGGUAAAAAUAGAAAAAGUGUAUUUAUAAAAAUAUUCUAUAGGAUGCAUCUCAUGUGGGACACGCCUCUUGAAAACCAUGCAUCAUUUGUUUUUGUAAUGUGCGCUUCAGCUAUAUAUAUGUGUGAUUUGAUUCACGACUGUAAUAUCUUGUAGAAAUUUUUGUCGAGGAAAAACUAUAAAGACUGGUUAUAAAUGGUUUAGGCUUGAACAUAUUGAAUAUUAAUAUUAAAAAUAUCAUUCUCUGGUAACUUAAAGUUUUAAAAAAUAACGAUUAUCUCAUUUUAUUUAACAUAGUGUAGAUAGGAGGUCUGAUAUAAUUGAUUUCUUUAAGCUCUUUUUUUUGGAUAUAUCGAAAAAUUUCAAGCCCAGACAUAAGAGAAAAUAUUGAAUAUAAAUAUUAAAGACACCGCAUAUAUAUGAAAAGUUUAAGAACUAGAAAUUUUAGCUGUACACAAACCUUUGUUUAAUUUCAAUCAACUACCUGAUCUAGCACAAACUUCAUCAAUGUAUUAUUACCUAAGCACUGUCAACACAUGGCUAUUAACAUAUGCCAAAAUCCCUUCAAAGUUCUUCACCCAUAUGAGAGGUUACUGCUUGAAUUUAAAAUGCCAGAUGACUAGCACGUACCCUCUUGAAUUAACUUGAUUACUAAUUAUCACUCAAACUUUACACUUGGGCACAUGCACCAAUAACCAAAGAACCAAGAUCAUGGAAAAAGAAGGAAAAUACUUGAGAUACUCCUAGUGGUAAGAAUUUAAAACAAAGUAUAUAUAUGUGAAUCCAGCAAGUGUAAUAUUAAUAGUAUGGAGGCCCUCAGGCUACCAAAUUAUUUUCGAUGAUGGGACUUUGAAUCGACGAUCGACCACAUUAGAUAUAAUAUAUCUUAUUGAAAGUAUCUAGAAACUAAUUUUUAUAAAUUUUAACAUUAUUCACCAUAGAACGAAUAUUCUCAAUAUGAAUGAUUGAAAAUAAAAAUCUUAUAUAAAAUAAUGAUAAAAAAUUUAAAAGUCAGAUCAAAGGUACUGAUCUUGCUUAAAUAGUGAAAAAAAAAUUUAUUAGAUUUGGAUUAUUCUACAUCGUCAAACUUAUGAAUGUAUUACAUCGGCCAUUAAAAUUAUUAAUUUUGAGACCUUUUGGUCAUGAGUCAAAUGAUAUCGAAAAAAAUAUGAAAUUUGGCUUCUAAAUACUUUCACUUAUAUCAUGCCUAACACAAUCGAUCAUUGAUUCGGAUGUUCCAUCAGUAAAAAAUAAUUUGAUAAUACGGAGGCCUCCGUGCUAUUAAUAGUACAUAAGCCAGACUCUGUAUAUAUGUAAUCAUGUAAAUGAAUUUUGGAGCUAAGAAGAUGAUGAAUUGGAUUGUUACAAUGAAUGUGGUCAACCGACGUUGCCACAUCCUGUGACACUAACCAAAUCUUUUACCUAGAAGAACCCUUGAGUUGUAGUAAGAGAGUUUGGUAAGCAAAACCCUACAUGCAUGUGAAAAUGGAGUUAGGCAUUGCUAUUAAUGCACAUAUGGAGCAAAUUCUAGAGAGAGAGAGGUACAGAAACCAAGUAGGAACUUCUAAAACUGGGUGAGGAUAAGAACUUCCACAAAGAAGCAAAAUCAAACCCUUCUUGCAACCUCAAGGGGGACCCCCUCAACUUUCCAUUUUGCUCUCCCCAACCCUCUCCCACCCUUGCAUUUGCUUCUACUUUCUGGUAUGUCCUUUUGCACCAAGACAAAACUAAUGUCGCUUGUUCAACGAAUGGAGUCCGAUAAAAAUCAAGUGUCCUAAUCGAUCAAAACCAACUUAAACUCACGAACAUCAGAAUGAUGAGUCAUCAGCGUGACAUGGGUCGGGGCGGCUUGAACCGACUAUAUAUGUUGGAGGUGAAAGAGUAUAUAUAUCAUGGCUACAUGCAUGAAUCUAGCUCCAUGCACAAAUAGAGCUCAUAAAAGUUGCUUGUGCAUUUGCUUUUAGAAAGCAAGCAAGCUUUUACACAUGCAAUCUUAUAGCACAAACUUCGCUGUCACGAUACCGAAUGUUGUAAUCUUAUUUAUUGGUUAAUUUGUAGCGUCAAUGUGCUUUUCACAUAACACUACAACAGAAUUAGGUUAUAGGGACACAUAUUUGGGACAUUUUUGAGUAAGUGUCCCAUUUAUGCUAAAACUUAAAAACACAUCUACUAAUGCCUAAAUAUAAAGCCCAAUCUAAUUAAAAAUAAAAGAUUACUCUACUCAACCCACCACACCCAGUCCAUUUGACCCGAUUACAAACAGAAAAGAAAAAAAGAAAGAAAAAUCAAUUACCAUCUUUUCUUCUCUCUUCACUCAAUCCACUGAAAUUCUAGACGAAGAGCCUUUACUGUCAUCCUCUUCCGCCACCGCAGCCAACGAGAUAGAGUUUCGGCGGUUGCUAAAUGCUUAAAUAAGUGUUGGUAAAUUAGCAGCACUUUUUAGGUUAUAGCGACACUCUUUAACUGUCACUAUAUACCUAGCGACCCCACAUAUAGCAACACUUUUUAAAAGUGUCGGUAAUUUUAGCUAGCAGCACUUUUUUGACAUGUACCUACAUUUAAAAGUGUCGCUAUAGACCGUUUUUGUUGUAGUGUAAGUUCUAAGUUAGGAGAGUUAUAGUAAACCAACAAUAUAAGUUUCAAGGACUUGCUUGUAAAGCUUUAUUUACUGGCGUAAUCUCACUAUUGUGGGCUAACCUAGGCUAGUUAAGAAUUGUGCAUAUAGGGGAGCUCCCUAUAUAUAUAUAUAUAUAUAUAUAUAUAUAUAUAGAGCUAGGCUCCUAUGCUUUCGAAAGUACAGAAGCCUCCGUACUUAAAAGUUGUUUUCAAUAAUGGGACAUCCGAUUCAGUGAUCGGUUCCGUUAGACAUGAUCUACGCUAUUGGAACUACCUAGAAACCAAAUUUCAUAAUUUUUUUACUUUGUUUGUCUAGUAAACGAGUAGCCUCAAAAUGAACGGCUGAAAAUAAAAAUCUUAUAAAAAACAGUGAUAAAGGACUCAAAUUUCAAAUCGGAAGUAUUGGUCUUUCUAUUGAUAUUAAGUAGAAUUUUCUAUUAAAUUUUCAUCUAAUUUGGAUACUUCUACACCGUUGAACUUAAAAACGUGCCACAUCGGCCGUUAAAAUAGUCAUUUUUGAGAUUUUUCGAUCGCUUGGUAAAUGAUGUCAAAAAAUUAUAAAAUUUGGUUUCUAAAUAGUUCCAAUAGGGUAGAUUAUACUUAACGGAACCGAUCGUCGAAUCGGAUUUCCUAUCAUCGAAAACAACUUACAAGUACGGAGGUCUCCGUACUUUCGAAAGUACAGAAGACUUACUCUAUAUAUAUAUAUAUAUAUAUAUAUAUAUAUAUGGAUUGAUAAUGAAUAAAGCGAUGCUAUAAACUAGGCUGCUUGAGUUUUAUCUAUUAGCAACCUACACAGAAUUAGUUAUAGCGACACAGUUUGAGACAUUUUCAGUAAUGUCCCCAUUUAUGCUAAAACUUAAAAACACAUCUACUAAUGCCUAAAUAUAAAGCCCAAUCCAACCAAAAAUAAAAGAUUACUCUACUCAACCCACUACACCCAGUCCAUUUGGCCCGAUUACAAACAGAAAAGAAAAAAAAAAGAAAAAUCAAUUACCUUCUUUUCUUCUCUCUUCACUCAAUUCACUGAAAUUCUAGACGAAGAGUCUUUACUGUUGUCCUCCUACGCCACCGCAGCCAACAAGAUAGAGUUUCGGCGAUUGCUAAAUACUUAAAUAAGUAUUGAUAAAUUAGCAGCACUCUUUUAGGUUAUAGCGACACUCUUUAACUGUCACUAUAUACCUAGCGACCCCACAUAUAGCAACACUUUUUAAAAAUGUCGGUAAUUUUAGCUAGCAGCACUUUUUUAACAUGUACCUAUAUUUAAAAGUAUCGCUAUAGACCGUUUUUGUUGUAGUGUAGUAAAUAAAUUCUUUUUUGGCAAAAGAUGUAACAUUAAUAGUAUAAUUUAGGAAAGUAGAUUUAAGAAGUGAUUAGCUAUGCUAGCUUUAGAUGAGGUUUGGCCAAUUCAGGAGUGUAACCAAGUUUUUUCUUAUGGCAUGAUUAAGAUAACAAAAAAUCUAUCUAAGUUUGGAAAGUGAUUUGACCAUAUCAUUAUGGUUUAAUUGUCUAAAACUGGAAAAUAAAAUAAAAUAAAAGUUGUUGAGUUUCACUUAGAAAAGAAGGUUUCUCCUAAGUGCCAAUUAUUGUGCCAUUGCAACUUUUCUACUCGACAAGCAAAAAAACAAGUACAAUUAGCCAAACAUAAUAUUCAAAGUUUUAUGCAGUAUUGAGAAAUUGAGAUGAGUUUCGGUUUAACAAUGCACGUUUUGUGCUCAAACUUUAAGUUUAAUUAAAUACCUUAGUUAUUAACUGUUACUACUACUAAAUGAUAAUUUAUUAUAUGUAGCAGUGUAUCCAUAAAUUUGUACUCAUAAAUCCAUCAAUACGUUAUCAAAUUCUCAUGAGUGUUUUUAUCCACCUCAUAGUUUCUUUGCAAUGAUCCAAUUUUUAUAUAGAAAAAAAGUUCGUAACUCAGUGGAUGGUCAAGUUGAAAUAUAAGAUGGAAAAUGAGUCAGAUGUAAUAAAGCUAUUUUAAGAGUGUAGACACUACCGACUGUCCAUAACGCAAGUGGCAAAAAACUUGAUGGUUGAUACCCGAGGUCUCAAGUUCGAAUCCUAGUUGAUUCGCAUUUCUAGCUAAGUUUAUUUCUAAAUGAAAUAAACGAAGCGGGUAGCAUACUACCUAUCUCUCUCAAAAAAAGAAAAAGAGUGUAGAGACUGCCAAUAUUGGUCUUAAAAUGUGUGAGGAUCAAUGUAAAACUCGACUAAAAGUUGGAGGACUAUUAGUACAAUUUAACCAAACAAUUUAGAGUAAUAUUACUGGUAUACCCAAAGCGGGUGUACAUCUUAUACUCACUUCAUUCAAAAGCCAUUAAUUCUCUACUUGUCAUAUCAAUCUUUUUUUAAUUUUUUUAUUAAAAAUUAUUUGAAUUUUGUGAAUCUUAAAAUAAAAAGUGUACACUACAACAAAAAUGGUCUAUAUAUAGCGACACUUUUAAAUAUCGGUAUAGGUCAAACAAAGUGCCGCUGGCUAAAUUACCGACACUUUUAAAAAAUAUUGCUAUAUGUCGGGUCACUAGGUAUAUAGUGAUAGUUAAAAAGUGUCGCUAUAAUCUAAAAAGAGUGCUGCUAAUUUACCAAUACUUAUUUAAGCAUUUAGCAACCGCCGGAGCUCUAUCUCGUUGGCUGCGGUGGCGGAGGAGGACGAGAGGGAAGUCCUCUUCGUCUAGGAUUUUUUUAAAAGUUUUGGUAUAAAUAAAAUACUUACAUAAAAGUAUCUCAAAUAUGUGUACCUAUAAUCUAAUUCUGUUAUAAUGGUAACAUCUGCGCUCGCUUUUAAAAUGUACAAAUAGAAUUUCUCAACAAUUUAUCCAUACAAGUUGUUAAAAAGUAGUUAGCUCUACGUGCAAAUCAUUCACACUGACAUGGUCAAACUGUGCCCCGACCCAAAAAAGCAGGCCAGGUAAAAGCAGAAGCAAAAGCCAACGAGAGUGACUUCCCCAUCCGCAGUACUACAACAAAAAGUCAAAUCUUGGGACCCCUCAAUCACCACCCUCGAGUGGGAGGAGAACCACCAAUACUAUUGAGUGCAUGAAAUGAAAAUUUAUUGCACGCAUGCGCCUGUUGUUUCUGCAUUUUCCAUGCAUCGCACAUUAUAGAUGAUAAGAGCCUGAACAAUAGUCCUCUCUUGAUUCACCUACUUAGUCUCUGCGAAGUUUUAAUCGUGUUGCCUAAUCUUUCGACAUCUUUGAUUUCGGCUAUCUGAAUGCUUAUUUUAAUAAAAAUUAUACAAAAAAACUCAAAUCAGACCUAUCGAUAUAAAACAUGCAUGCAAAAAAUAAGAUAAAAUGUGUAGAAAUUUAAAAUAAAUCAUAGUUUAGAUUUGUUCUAAACAUUCGUACCUACCUAUGCAAAUGAAUAUUCUAAUAAAAGUUAAAAUGAUUUAUAAUAAACAGUACUGAUUUUGGAAUAUUUGAGGUGUUAGGAGUAGGGAAUAUAUUUAUACACCGGGUGCAGGGAACACUGGGCGGAUGGCGACUGGGACGCGCGAGAGGGGUUUGGAGUGCCCAGUGGUCGACGCGUGGACGAACAGGGCCUACGGGGCCCCUCAUGGGAGCUCGUAUUCGGUCGACACGUGUCGUGAUCGUUUUGUGCGCCCCAUGUGCCCCCACCCGUCCCCAAGUUUAUCCUAUUCUCUCCACCCCCUCCUUGUCCAGUCAUGCAUAUGUCUCUCUCUCUCUCUCUCUACUAUUUUCUCUCUCUACCACUUUCUCUCUCUACCGAUUCCCAAUAUUGGGACCAAAGCUGGGGGUGUUUUAGGGCUUGAGUAAUGUCUAAAAUAAGAUAAUUUUUAACAAAAAUUUGGACCAGAAAAAGCUUUUUAAGUGUUUUGUUUUGUUUUUUUUUUCAAAAAUAUCGUUGAAAAGUGAAAAUUUACUUAAAUAAAAUGAGAUAAUACAGAAAUGAAAAAGUCCUCCAAAAAAAACUACACAGUACAUUUUUUGCUAGACAGAUCCUAAUUGGCUGGUUGAUCAGCUUACAUAGCAUUUCCGAAGAAGCGAGAAUUCCAUCCAAAAUAGAAGGCGUGACAUUCGUCGACGAAGGACUGAAGCGUGUUGAGCUUCAUUCUAUCGUCCGAAGUGAACGACUCGGAUUAGUCCGAUCUGAAGCUUCUUAAGUGUUUUGUUAGUCAAAAUGAUUUCUAAUCUUUCUGUUGACACAUUUUGUGUAGAGUUGAAUUUUGUAGAGGUUGAAAGCAAUUUUUUUUUCUCCCUUUCCUCACUCUCUCCUUCUAUUUUCUUGAACCUUUUUGAAAUAAAAGAUUUUUAAGUUGAAAGAGAGAGAAAAAGGUAGCAAGAUAUUCGGUUCGUUCACAGCUAGAGAUGUAAGACAAAUAAGGUUCAAACCGGAGAUCUUGGAUACGAUUCAUUAAGUUUUUAGCUAACUGUGUUAAAAAAGGUCGAUAUUAUCUUAUAUUUAAUAUAUAAAUUAAUUAGUGUAAUACUGAAGUAACUAUACACAUCAGUAAAUAUCAUAGUGACCUAUAAGGGUGCCCAAAGCAUUAAUUAUUAGGGUUAGAGUUGGAAAAAGUUUGGUAUUUGCUUUCUUGGGCAUAUACAGCAAGGUUAAGUCUAUGGGAGACUUAAAUUUAUUUGCUUGAAUAUUAUAUCUUUUCAAUUCCUACCUCCAAAUUCUAUAUAGUUGAAAUCUCAGCAUCAAAUCUAGAUUAAUAACUAUUAAGAAAUCAAGAUUGUUACCGACCGUUCCUAGAGUAAGUGACAAAGGACUUGGUGAUUGGUAUCCGAGACCUAAGUUCGAAUCCUAAUUGAUUCACAUUUCCAGCUAAGUUUAUUUCUAAAUGAAAUAAACGAAGCGGGUAGCGUGCUACCUAUCUCUCAAAAAAAAAAAAAAGAAAAAAAAAAGAAAAGAAUCAAGAUUAUUUUCACCCGUCUUAAUUCGUUGUGCCUACAUCAUAUGCAAUAAAAAAAGAUUUGUACUCGAGACCUCGAACUCUGAUGUUACUUUAACUGAUAACAUCUUAUAUUUGGUUCUAGGUUUAUCGAACUUGAUCAAUGACCAAAUGAAAAUUUGUCUAAUCAUCUACAAAUUAAGACAUUCUUAGUUAGAUUUUCCACAUUAAUUUAGAGAGCAAACUCUGUUGCAAACCUUAAUUAUCUGCAUGCUAAAAUCAGACGCGGUUAAUGUAAUUUAAGAACUAAACUUAGACCAUCAUGCAAAAGAAAUUAAUUAAUGCUAUCGAUCUCAAAACGCUAUUCCUUUUAAGCAAGUAUAUUGUGAUAAUGAUAUGUAAAUUAAGCCUAAGUUAAAUAACACACAUGCAACACACAUUACGUAUGUACAUGAACAUAUAUAUUAAAUAAUGAAAAAAAAUAUGGGAAAAAUCUAAUAAGUAAUCACUUCAAAUAGGAGGGAGUUUAUAAGUGCACGGCACUUAGUCGACCAUGCUCGUUACUGCAUAUAGUAAUAUUGAAAUGGGGGUGUUUCCCAUGUUGUCCUUUUGUGUGGGGGCAUUAUGGGAAGAUCACUUCUUAUAUUAUUAUUAUUAUUUAGGUAAAGAUGCAUGGAGAAGCCCUCAAUUAAUUAUAUGCAAUUUUGGAAAAAAAAAAAAAAACAUUAGGUCUUGUUUGGCACAGUAUUUAUUUUUAAUUUUUAUAAAAUAAAAUAUUAUACAGUAGAUUAAUUACAAUUAUUUUAUCCAAGUUAUUUAUUUGGUAACGAAAAGUAAAAAAUUUGAAAGCAACUAUAUUUUUACUUAUUGAAUUUUUCUAAAAUAAAUAAUUAUCAUAUAUUACUAAGCCGUAUAUAUUAUAAACUAGCCAAUAAAAAAAUUUUCUUCCAACAUAUUAAAUUAUAGAGGAUUAGUAUUAAAAAAAGUAAAAAAUAAACGUGAUACCAAACAAGGCAUUAACUUUAAUUUAUUUAUUUACUUCUAUUGAGAUCCAAAUCAAAUUUCAAUUUUUCUUUGAAUUUAGUAAUUUUGGUAAAAUAAAUUGGAGAUUGUAUUAAAUCUAUCUAUGAUUACAUCAAAUUUGACAAUUUUAAGUAUUUAAUAACUAAAAUUAGAAUAAUUAAUGAUUGAUAGUUGACAAAGCAUUAAAUUUAACAGAUUUUUAGUUGAAGUGACAAGAUUCAUUCAAUUUUUAAACAUUAAAAAUUUAAAGGGGUCUCGACAAAAAAGUUAAAGUUGAGGGUCUAUUUCACAAUUGCCCAUAGCCAAAGGGAUUUGCAAACAUAUUUAAUUCCCUUAAUUUUUAGAUUAAAUGCACUAUUGGUCUCCAAAUUUUAUUUGAUUUUUCUUUAUGAUUUCCAACUUUUUAUUUGCAUUUAGAUUCGUAAAUUUUAAAAUUUAUUCUAACGCUAGCUGGUCCCUAACCUUUUAUCUAUUUUUUUAUUUAUUUUGAUCUGAACCUUUUCUUUUAUAUCCAUGUCCAUCACAUCAGGUCUAAUCUCACUAUCUAUAAUGUUGUUCCCACAUGCCUACUGUCACUUUGACCUCGCUAGUGAUGCAUACUAUCUAUUUUGAAGCAUUCGAUAUUUUAGACAUCGAACUGAGUAUACCACCGACUUGUUCAAAAACUUUAAUAAAAUUCAGUCCUGAAGUCGACCGACGACUGCAGAAUUAUAACUGGGUCGUCUACACAGAGUAGGCAUGACUUUAUCUAAGCUAACGCUGCCUAUUUGGUCAAAAUUAAUCAAAAUCUUAAUUGUUGGAAAUCAAAUUGAAAUAAAAUUUUAAAAUAAAAGAUUUAACAGCCAAAAAAAAUCCUCAAUUUUUAUAAAGCUGGCUCAAGCCGAGCUGUAUUCGAGCCGAGCCGAGCCGAGCCGGGAAAGAAGGAGUGCACGAGGGUGAACAGCGGUGUGUCCGUACGACGUCGUUUAAGGUGGGGGUGAGUUGGGAUCCGGGCCCGUUUUGGGAAUUUUUUAAAAAAAUGCAGUAAAAUAAAUUAUUUUGUUUUUGUAAAUUAACAAUUUUAUUUAUUUAUUUAUUUAUUUAAUUUAUUUUGCACUAUGCUCCAAUAGAAACAGUGGUUUACAGCUUGGCAGUGCCUUAAAAAGAGGAGUGGCAAAUUUUCCAGAAUAAAAAUUAUUGUGUGGACCGUCUCCUGUGGACCAUUUUUACUUUUUUUUUUUAUCGUAAAAAAGUUUGUAAAUGGAGACACAAAAACUCUUAUCAGAUAUAAAUAAAAAUCAUAACACUUUCAAAUUUUUUUUUAUUAAGAUUUUAAAAACUCGAAAAAGAUUAAUCAUCAAAAUAGCUGUUCUCUGUUGUAUAAAAAAUACUAAAUAUCAUAAAUCUUAACGCAGAACCUCGAUUUUGUAAAUUAUAUCUAUAUUUAGAUUUAAGGCAGCAAGAUUACAAUUCAUUAAGUAAUUUUCUACAGACCCUUUGCAUUGCAACAUAAUAUUUAAAAUUUAUUGCCUAUGCAAAUGAGUAGUCCUAAAAAUUACUCUAUUAUUUGUUGAAUAAUAUAAGAUUAAAACAUAUUAAAAUUAUAUAUAUAUAUAUAUAUAUAUAUAUAUUACUAUAAAACACUAAAUCAUUUCUAUACAAUUCGCUUUUAGAUUUUUAAGGUACUUAGCACAGAGUAUUAUAGACAGAAAAUAAUUUAGUUUCUACAGAAGAUUUUUAUUAUGUUAUUCAUGCAUCGGCAAACCUAGAAAAAAUUUUUAAACUGCAUAUACAAAUUAACUAAUUUAAAGGCUCAUCGUACAUGAUAACAAUUACAACAAAUAAAGAGCAACAUUUAAAGAGAUUAGUAAGAUUAAGUUUUGAACUAAGUUUGAGGUUGCAGUGUAUAAACACAUCCACUUUUACGCUUUGAAAGUGCCGAAGAAUUUAAAAAAAACUCCAAAAAUAAAAGGAAAAAAAAAGGACUUCAAAGUAUUUUCAAAUUUUUAUUUUCUAAAAUAUAUAAUAAAUAAAAACCGCGGUCCAUGUGAUUUGUUCUUCUUUUUUUUUUUUUUUUUUUCUCUAACCCUGGUUAGUGCUGCAACUAGUUGCUUAACAAUUAAUACAAAAUUAUUAUAAUUUUUCCCUUUUUCCCAAAAUGCCCCUGCGGUCCCCAUUCGCCUUUACACGGAAAGCGCCACCUCUCGCGACACGUGUCGGUUCCUGGUCCCCCCUCACCCAAAAAGAGCAGCAUAAAUUUGUACCGAGGGCAUUUUGGUCAUUUCACGUUAGUAUUCACAUAGUAUACAUCUGGUGGUAAAAGAAGUGAGUGAACUGCACUUUUGGUCCCCAACCUAUAAGUUGUGUAAAAUUCUAAUUCUUAAAUUUUAAUUUAUUAUAAUUUUGAGAUUAAAUUUUUGUAAUUGUUGUAAUCAAGUUUUACAAUUCGAUUUAGUUGGCUAAUUAUCGAUAAAUUGUUGGUGUAGAAGUUGACACUAAUUUAUAUUACUUCUACGUUACUGAUUUGUCAAUAUUUAACCAUCUAAAUUGGUUUGUAGGAUUUGAUUGCAAUAAUUAAAAAAGUUCGAGAUAGAAAUUAUGAUAAAUUAAAAUUUGAAAAACUUAAAGUGUCAUGCCAUGCGCCUCGUAAUUUGAGGACCAAAAUUAUAAUUUACCAUAAAGAAAAGUAUGGUUUGUUACAAUUUUUUAUUAGAAUUUUGUGAAUUAUUGUAAUCAAAUCUCAUAAUAUAAUUUAUUUGACUAAAUAUUGCUUUACUACUUAUGUUGAGAUGAUAUAACAAUUUAAUUAGUGUUGCGUUACAUUACUCACAACAUUGCUACAUCGCUUUCAUAUUAAUAGCAUAUACAUAUUUAGUGAACUAAAAUAGAUUGUACAAACUGAUUAUGAUAAUUCAGAAAGCUCCAACAAGAAAUUAAAAUAAAUUAAAAUGUGAGAACUAAAUUUUACUCGUGCUUUAUAGGUUGAGAACCAACAAUAUAAUUUGACCAAAAAUAUGUACGCAAAUUAGAUAUAAAUAAUUAGAAUUGAAUAGUGAUUAUUAAAAGUAAUUAAAUAACAUAAAUCUAAUACUACUGAAAAAAAAAAAAAAAGUGACUAUAAAAAUAAAAUAAUAAAUGGUGUUUAAAUUUAUAGAGAAAAACAAUAGUAAGUGUCCCCCCCACCCCCAAACCACAACCACCAAAAAAAAAAAAAAAAAAAAAAAAAAAAAAAAAAAAAAAAAAAAAAAAAAAAAAAAAACGAAAUACAUAUUUUAAAGUGGCAUUUCAGCUAUUUCUACCCAUUUCCGAGGGCAUUUUCGUCCAUCAACCCUUCUACUCCCUUAUAAAUGUAAGGGGAUUUCCACCAAGUCAUCUUGAAGCACUUAGCAGUAGCCGACCUUUUCUCUCUCUCUCUCUCUCUCUCUCUCUCUCUCUCUCUCUCUACAAUCCUCUUCUUGAAAUCAAAACAAAACCAAAAAAAAAAAAGAAAAAGAAAGGCUUUUCUCUCUCUCUUCAACUCUAGAGAUAGAUAGAGAGAGAGAGAGAGAGAGAGAGAGAGAGAGAGAUUUAUGCUACAUAUAUGUAGCAGCUAUAGAGAGAUUUGGCCUAAGAGGAAGUAGAGAGAGAUAGAGAGAGAGAGAAAAUGAGUGAGGUUGGCAUGAGCCAAGGAGAUGAGGAGGAGUUACUCUUCUCCUCCGCAGCUUACAUAUCCAGCAACCACAGCAGCUUCUACUCCCUUCCUCCCAGUGGUUGUGGUUCGUACAUACACACUCCAAUUAAUUUCAAUUUCAAUUUCAAUUUCAAUUUCAAUCUCUUUCUACUAUAUAUAUAUAGAUAUGUAUAUAACGUUACGACGUACGUACGUACGUGCAUGUUAAAGAUCAGUAGUUGUUACUUACGUUCGACGUGCAUGUAUGUAUGUGUAUAUGUAUAUGGACGACGUACUACGUACAGGGGAGACGAGGAGGAGGACGCGGCGCAGGCGGAAGCGGGCGAGGGGCGAGGGGUCGGGGGAGGCGUCGAAGAAGCGGCGGCUGAACGACGAGCAGGUGAAGUUCCUGGAGCUGAGCUUCGGGGAGGAGCGCAAGCUGGAGACGGGCCGCAAGGUGCAGCUGGCGGCCGAGCUGGGCCUCGACCCCAAGCAGGUCGCCGUCUGGUUCCAGAACCGCCGGGCGCGCCACAAGACCAAGCAGAUCGAGGACGAGUACUCCAAGCUCAAGUCUGCCCACGACGCCGCCGUCCUCCACAAAUGCCAUCUCGAGAACGAGGUACUCGCGUCUGCCUGCCUGCCUGCCUGCCUGCCCACAAUUCAUCAUAUUAACACUAAUACAACCGACCGUCCCUUGAGCGCGCAAGUAGUAAAGGGCUUGGUGGCUGGUAUUCGAGACCCAAGUUCGAAUUCUAGUUGAUUCACAUUUCCAGCUAAGUUUAUUUUCAAAUGAAAUAAACGAAGUAGGUAGCGUGCUACCUCACUCUCAGAAAAAAANUCUUAUUAAUGUUUUUUUCACUAAAAAUUAAAAAGAGUUGUUUAUACCCGUAAACCAUUGAAUUAAGGAUUGUAAUGAUUACAACCAUUUUGAGUUGUACACUUAAUAUUUCACCAUAAAUAAAUGUACUUGAAAAUUAAAAGUUAAGGUAAUUUACUAAAUUAAAUAUACGAAACAGAUAGCAUGCUACCUAUCUCUUAAAAAAAAAAAAACAUUAAUACAACAUUAAUAAUUGCAGCUUAAUUAAGCUUUAAUUUAUUUGAGAAAAUCAAAUUAAUUAUUAUACUUGUUAUAAUGGGCCGGAGCAGGUAUUGAAGCUCAAGGAAAGGCUAUCGGAAGCCGAAGCGGAGAUCAGGAAGCUCACGGCCGGCAUCACCGGAGCUUCGGGGGGCGGCGGCGGGGGUGGCGGAGGAAGUAGUAGUCCGAGCUCAUCCUUCUCCACAGUCACACACCGGCCUUUGGUUAAUGGAGAAUUUGGGGUGGAGGGAGAAACUGAUUUUAUGUACAUAUAUAAUGAUUACACCUACAAUAACUACAUGAUGGAUUUGGUUGGUCUCUAUGGGAUGUAGAGUUUAGUGGGGUUUUUAUUUUUAUUAUUAUUAUUAUUAUGAUUAAUGUGAUUAUUGUUGAUGUAAAAUUUGUUGGUAUGUUCUCCCCCUGCUGCUGCUGCUGCUGCUGCUGCUGCUGCAGUAGUGCUAACUAAGAGCAGAGGUAGUAUUGUACGUAGUGGGAGGUAUAUUUACCCACCCUUGUAAUUGUACACAGUAGGGUGUUGUAAGAUAUUUUUGUUCGCUCUAAUAAGGUUUCAUUAGUACUUAUUAUUACUGUUCCUCUAUUUCCUUAACAUGGGUUACAGCUCUACAACAAAGGAUUUGAGCAAAAGUAGCAGUAAUUAACCUGAAUAUUUUCUCCGCUAUCAUACUCUCCGCAUAUUGGCCAACAUAAACAUAGGAUGAUCUAUCUAUCAUUGUUCUCUUUAUACCCUUAUCACAAGUUAAGAUAAAUAAUGAGUGAGAGGUCUCAAGAGAAUUAAUUGUACCCUUCUUAGUUUUCAUCUGAUAAAAUUGCACUAGUCCUCAGAAAGAAACUUUUUAGCGCAGUUUCAGAUUGCUCCUAAAUCUUUAAACUGUCCCGAUGUUUCCAUCAUCUGAUUCAACAAAAAUAUCGCCGUAAUCGCCUGUCUAACAACCACACAAAAAACUUUUGGAGUUUCUUUAUAUGUGGGUGUUCCAAUCCAGUUUAAUGAAAGAAUCUGAUGGACAAGAAUAAUACUGCAUUAAUUAAAUGCAAAUAUUAGGAGCCCAACCCCACUAAAAGCGUGGGGACCCUCUGUGCAACAACGCAGUAGGAUAAUGCCAUGAUUUGAUGAAGCUAAGAGGUUGAAUUAAUAGAUGAAAGAGACCAUCAGACAAUGCUUUUGUGCCUGGUUUGGAUGUAAAGGUGUUUUACUGACCAUGUCUUUUCGAUUUACUCUACAAGCAUGCAAUGUAUAGUACAUUAGGAGUUUAUUAAAUGUCCAAAAUAGCUAUCAUAUUCCGCUUUUAAAUCAUUCACACGGAUUACAAUAAAUCACACUGUAGGUAAAAUAUACUAUCUACUGAGCCUUCGUUUGAAUGUCAGAAUAAGUUAUCCUUGAAUAACUUAUUCUGUAUAAAAUUUCUUUUAGUACGGUUCUAAGUAACGAGCAUUUUAAAUAUUUGAUCAUACUAGUUAUCAAUCAAAUUUAUAAACUUUUUUCAAUAAAUUAAGAAAAUAUACAAACAAGAUAUUCAAGAAUCCAAAUGGGGACUAAGUCAUGGAUCUCAAGACCCUUUAAAAAGCAAAAAGUAACUCCUAAAAAACAAAAAAAAAAUUAUAUCUAAUAAGUUAUUGUUGGAUAAGUUAUUCCGACCUUCUAAGCAUUAUUCUAAAAGAGAUUAGUGGAAAGCCCAUAUGCUAUUUUAUUCUAGACAUUUCACCGCACUCGAUGAUUUUUAACUACAGUAGAAAAUUCUUCUACCGAACAAAAUUAAUAUCAUUCCAUUUUAUUCUAGACAUUUCACCAUACUUAAUAACUUUUAAUCAUCACAACAAAAAAAUUUUUAUACCGGACAAAGUACCGUUAGAUAACUUAUUCCGACAUUAAAAUCGACGUUCAAAGAAGGCUUCAACACUCUCCAUGGGAUAAAUAAUAGAGAAGUCAAAGACAUUUUUUAGAUGGGCAAAAAAAAAAUCUUUGUAUGUUUUUUUUUGAAAAAAAAUUCCAACAUAUGACAAACCUAAAGUGUCCAUUGGGGAUGCCACGUGUGUCACAACCCUACUUGUGCUUUAUUUCUAGCAUGCUUUCACUUCCCCUCCAAAGAUUAGUCCCUUUCCUAUUACCCUAUUAUUGUCCAUUUAUCUUCACCCCUAUAACUCAAAUCACUUCAGAGGUGUACUAAGAUGCCAAAUGUUGGAAACACCAAAAGUUCCAAGCUUUUCACGCUUUGGAAAGCAUGGGGCCUGAACCUUAUCCAGUGCUUCUUGUUGCGGACAAAGCAGAAGCGGAUUAAGUGACUUCCAAAACAACUUUUCAAGUAAGUUCUUUCGCAAACAAGAACGAGUAAACAGAAGUUCCGAAAUAAACCUUCUACUUUUGCCCCAGAAGCUUAUCCAACCCGAAGACUCUCGGUCCGAGAACAGUAAUGUAUAUCAACACAUUUGAUUCCUUUGAUAUUAUUCUAUAUAGAACUGUUUUCGCGGCUACACCGCUCAUGAAUUUUCAACAUUACAAACGUUUUUCAAACCAAUUAAACAAAGAAGCAAGAUGAUGGACUCCAGCUCACUAAUUCAGCAGAUCAGAGGAUAAUAAAUUAUCUAAUAGAGUUGAAAGGAUAUAAUAUUGUACGACACGAGACAAUUUUUUACUUGUACGAAAGUGUACAAAAAGAAAAAAUAAAUGGGCGACGUGUAGCAAAGAGAUCAUACAAGGAAUCUCUUAGCCACAACUACCUCAGGACGAUAAAAAAAUUCAGUUGAUCAGGGACAUACAGGGCCCUACAACAGCUAAGACAAUAUUCCAAAGUUGAUUGCACCAUUGUGCACAACUAUAUCGAUACAAGAAAAAAAAGCUCAUCAAGCAUUUGGUAUCUCAGAGAACAACCAUUUAAUUCAACACUCAGAUGCAGCAGCAUGAAUACAGAGCGAAAAAAGAAAAAACAAAGCCACUUCCCAUUUCAGCCACCUGAACAAAAUUAUACAACAAACAAGUAUCUUGGCAUGGGGCAUCAAAAAAGAGCAUAACCUAGAGUACAUUCAUUCUUAACCAAAUUCAUUUUGGAGGGGUGAAAAAGAUACCUAAAUCCGCUUUUGCUUUUGCAGACACGAUUGAUAGGAUACAGGGACUCUAUUGCUCCUUCAAAGGGCUAGUAUUGGAUCUUCUCAACUCCCAUGGUGGAAGGCACCCAUUUAAAGGAAACGACAGGAAGAGGGAGGACGACGACAAGUGCCUCUGACGCAUGGAGAAUGAAGACAAGCAACUUAGAGCACUUGUUAGCCUCAUUUUCUCGCCGUCUUCGGCUUGGUAAUCCGGAUCAUGACGAACCGCAUUAAUCUUAAGGGCCUCGGGAAGAAGGCAGUUGCAAACAGCACCUGAGGGGAAAGAGAUCGAAGAACAUGUUCUAUCAUGUCAUAUUUACUAACUUAAGACUAUGCUAGUGAGCAAAGUUAAAAAUACACUAAACACAGGAGGGAGACAUAAUUGUAAACAAUAACAAGGGUAGAUAACACUGAUUUCCCAUGGCAAUCCAAUUAAAAUAUAGACCAAUUACAUAUGUCGGUUUUUGUUUGGCCAAGGCAAGAAUAAAAAAAUGUGUAUGACAAUGAUAGCUCCAGCAACAAUAACAACAAAGUUUUAGUUCCAUUGACUAUACUAAGCUUUAGUCCCGGCAGUUUAAAAACAGAGCUGUUUGCAGAAUUUUCAUUUUUCCAGGACUCCGAAAAUCUGUUCCAGAUUCAAGAAUGUGACUGAGUUUCCAUGAUCUGUGGUGGAAACUGUAGAAGUCUAGACUUCUCAAUCCCUUGAGGUUCCUUUUUUGAUGUGUUAAUAAUAGAUGUUAGUGCAAUAUGUUCCUCUCUUGAUAAAACUUUGGACAAAUCCGUCUUUUCCUUGAUAAAGAAAAACAAGUUAUCUGUUUGUUGUUGACAUUUCAUUUCUACUUUCCAAACCAAUCCUAUAAGCAAAUCUAACUUGUUAGUAACAACAUUGCACCAAAUAGAUUCAAAAUAGAAAAUAUAUCAUCUUGCAGUGAUCCACUUAUAUCCUUAAAACAAUGUGACCAUGAAAUCUUAUAAAGUUCCACCUGAAUUUUAGCUCAUCCACCACAUUCUGCAACAUAAGUAGCAAAAGUGCGAAUAUUGAUCACUACAUUGUAAAGUCACUAUCAAAUUUCACUCGUCCAAGGUCAUGCAAAGUGCCUAGUGUGGUCUCCUUGGUGCUUAUGUGUCCUAGGCAUCAAGCUUUUUAGCAACUUGUGUAGACUAGGUGCCUAGAAGAAUGAGAGACCAUCUGAAAAACCAUUUAUCCACCAUAUUCAGCAGGCUACGCACUUAAUAGAUGACUAGCUAAUAUUUCACUUAGAAGAUAAGUCUUUUUUUUAACAAUAUUUUACUUGUUCUUUUUUUUUGGAAAAAAAGAUAAAAUAUUAGGAUAAGAUAUGAUCAAUAAAAUGAGAUCUCUCUUUGCACUAAUAUUUGUUAUAAAAUGAGUAUUUUUGGUUUUUAUUGUUCCACAAGUUUCAUUCAACAUAAAUGACACCACAAUUCUGAAGUCCUCCAGUAACUGUACAAACAUACAAAAAUCUGUUAGGUCAUGUUUCAUGUUGGACAUAUAGUCAUAGUAUCGAGUCCAAACUACCUAAUAAUUUCUUUAGAAAAAGAACUCUGAUGAGAUCAAAACUUCCUCACAUUUGUAGUUUAAGAGAGACUCUCUACAUACUAUCAAAAUAUAUAGAUGAAACCAUGUGAUAAAUUACCUAAUAAUAUAAAAGUUGACCCACACUCCCAUUUGUUACAUCCAAAAACUUGUUUUGACCGAAAUGGAUUAUUUGACUUGCUAAUUGGACCCAAAUGAGUCAAUUAUGAAUUUGACCCUUCAUAGACAAACUGACACAGUUUUAAAAACAAUUGGACAACGUGUUCUAAUCUUAUCUAAUCUUAACAUAAAUCAGCAUUACAUGAUUUGGAGUUAGCAGACUACUUGACUACUUGGGAAAAUCAUCCAAUUAUCUUUUUAAACCUCCCUCCACUUCAACAGGCACCGUGAGCUUGUACAUUCUCUUCCUGCUCUCUUGUUCUUCUAGAUUCUUGUUCUCUUCUCCUACUUAUUUGCUAUGUGCAGAUGUUGAAUAAACCAUUUCAUGCCAAGCGGGAUCACGUUGAGAUAAUCCGACGAAUUUGCCAUAACUUGUCAGAUUAAGACCAAGGAUCAUCGUAUUAUUUAUUAGGCUCCUGACAUCGAACAGACAUGACCAUGGAAUGACAGAAUGGUUUAUUUUAAUAUUUUUCCAAUUAAUAAGAUAUUGUUUGUUAUGUUAUUCAUGUAUUUUCUUGACAUGCAUUAUUUGUUUUGACCAGUCUCAAAAGUGUGUAUACCAUCUGCCCGGCCAUUGGUUUAAGGUGUGACGGACAUAACGAGAGGCAGUUUUGCACAUAAAGGGCAGAUACAGGAUGAAUAACAUCCUAUCCUUCUCAAACAUAAUUGUUGAUGCAAGCUAGCUGCAUUACGUUAGGACUUUUAAUAUUUGAAUUUUGAAUUUUGAAUAUUUGAAUACUUAAAAAUAUUUAAAUUUUGAAAUAGCUUGUUAGGAUUAGUUAGCAUUGGUUCUUAGGAUAGGUAUGACUUUCUUAGUCAUUUUGAAGUUUGAAUUUAAAAAGGUGGUUGUUUUUCAGGUGAUUGUUUUAUCUUAGAUUAUUAAAUAAGCCCAAGAGGGCCCGUUUGUAAGAAGUUUAAGACGGAAUGAAAAUUUGUUUAUAUAAUUAGGGAGUUCCCUCGAGUUUCUCUUUCCUCUUUCUUCAACCUGGAUUGGCUGGCUUUCCUCUAUUCUCCAUCUUUGUUUCUUCUCUCUCUAUUUCCUCUACCGUACUACUCUGAUCUACAUCAAGCAUGCAGUUAGAUUAAGUGUGAUUGUAUCAGUGCCAACAUCGCUAGUUGACUACACAAUAUAACUCGAGGCUAAGUAAAUUAAGAGUUUGAUAAAUUGUAGUGCCUACAAAACAGCAGGCUCUAUGCCAACUAUAGUAACAUAGUAGUUUUAAUCAGGUAGCUCUACCUUUAUUUUUAAUAACAGGAAUCAGAAAGAAAGCACUAUCUAUACCAAUCUAUCAUAUAUUCAAAUAGAAAUAGAAAAAAUCAAACAUUAAAACCUCAGAUAAAGCUGUCUUGGUUAAGCUGCUUUAGCCAAGUCUUCAUCAAUCAAACUAUGCCAGAAAUAAAGAUGACAUAUUAAACAUAAAAAGGAACAUCAAUUCUCUUAAGUGAAUUAGGACAUUUAGGCCACUUCAGGAGGGGUAAACACUAUUUGCAAGGGAGUUGCAUAAAGCUGUCAUUCAAGUAGUUCAAAUUAAUUUCAAUAUAAGGGCACUAGAGUAUGAAAUCAUGUGCAACAAAUACAAAUAUAACAGCACUACAGAUAAUUCAUGAAUCAGAACAAUUAAAUGGUAGUCCUAAUAAUCAAGCAUGCCAUUAAAGGAGAUUACCUAUCCUCGCAAGCCGGUUCACCCACUUGGGGAUUGAAUUGCCAGUCAGCUUAUAACAGAUGUCAUUGCAGAAAUGGUUGCAGUUCUUGACGAUCAAAUGAUAUGUAUCUCCAUUGUAGUUUACCGAUUGGAGCUCCAUAAACUCUCUAACCUGCAAAGGAUCUAGGCAAGUUGUGCCGAUAAAUAUUGAUUUCCUAAACCUGAAGCCUGGACACUGACGAGGCUCAACCUCGAAGACUCCACUCGAGGGGUAAUCAUGUGCUCCAAAUGCAUAUUCUACACCAUGAACUACAUAGACACAAAAUAUAGCAUUCAGAAACAUUUUUAUUUUUUAAAUAAAAAGAAAUUUUCAUAUUACAAAUAAGAGCUCGUUAUCAGGCAUCCAAAUCUUGUAAUACUUCAUCACAUCGCAGUUGCUUUGGAGAAAAGGAAUAGCAUGGCAAUAGAAUUUGUUGUUUCUGUCGACACUUGAAUUUAUUGCUCUUGGCUAAUAAAUGACAUUGUCAUUUACUAAAUGUCUGGAUAGUGGAUAUUCGUCCAAUUCGAUCAUGAUGUAUUCCACUUAUAGAUAGGUGAGAUUAGAUAUGUCUAAGCAAGUCAAUUUGUGUCUUAUUGCGGUUAGAUCUAUGUUAGUCCUUUUCAAUACCAACUGGAUCUAAUUAAAAAUGAAGCCCAAUAUGAGAUUAGCUAAAUAUUUUGCACUUGGCAUGAAGAUUGUCGCUGUUUCCUUCGCAGAGACCAAAGUUGACAGAGAUACAUUUUGAAGAGCAUUCCAGGUUAGAUAGCUUAAAUUGGCAAAAGAUGACUGUUUGGUGAGACAUAAAGGGAAAGACUGGAAGAGUUUGGUAACAAAUGAAAAUUUGUAUGGCGUAAUCUUGUAAAUGAAUUUGUUUCUUCCUCCUAUUUCUUCCAUGCUUUCCUAAUCCCCAUUCCGAUACCUUUCAUGGUGUAUUUAAAUGAAUAUUUUUGCCUAAUUUUCCUUUUAGUUGUUAAUACGUUGCUUUUCAUUGGCAAUUGUUCAAAAACCACGGAUUUUCUAAAUAUGUCGCUUCUUAAUGAUCAAAAUUCAACAUGAUUAUGACACUACAACAUAUGGCAAUACACAGUAUGUUAGCCUACAGUAUAUUCAUUGGUAUCAAAACAAAAAUUAGUUUAAUGAACGAAUUUCUUCAAUAAGAAAUCUGCAGUUGUUCAUCCUAUCGAGGCUCGAGCUAACAAUUCUAGACAAAUAAAUCACCCGCCAACAAAAGCAAAAGAUUUGGAGAUAUAUACUAAGAAACAAACAUAAAUUAGUGAAGCAGUAAUCAAUUGAAAGAACAAAAAGAUACAACCUUAAACAAAAGGCAAUGAUGCUAAUUCAAAGAUAACAUAUUUACAUGUUUAUCUAGAUCAAUUAGUGGAGGUGACAACACAAACAGAAAUAAAAGGAAAACAAUACCUUCAAUCCCAGAGUGGAAAAUCCCAAGACCAGCCCAAUACAUGUAGCCAUUCACUGGGGUCAAAUCAUACACGUUCAGGUAAACCGGCGCAUCGCCCGGCGUUUGGCCGGCCGAGCGGACCUUCGGGAACAUACAGAACUGGGUCCCGGAUUUCCGUCCCAUUCGAAUCGGCACCAGGGAUUUCCAUCCCUUCUUUGUCCCCAGCUUCAUGUUCCUUCAAUCAAUCAAGGAAAUAACCACACCAUCACCCCACAUUUUACAACAGUGAACAUGCGUUCCACAAGAUGUUCGCGGAAAUGCUUGUGUGAUAUAACACCCAAAGAAACCCAUGAUGGGAACCCCCAAAUGAGAGCAAAAUGAGCUCAGUUGGGUUAAUCCAUGCCAAAUCAAGAUCCCAUCUUUCCAAACUCCUCCCACAUUUCACAGAUCCGAAAGGGGAAAAAAACCUAAAAAUCCCCAAAAAAAGGGGGAAAAAUUGCAGAACACAAAAAAAUAAAAGAAAACGAAAAAAACAGAGGUCUUGAGAGGGGAAACCCCAUUUACCCGUGGUCGGAGGAGAAAACCCAAAUCACAAAACGCGAAGAGGACGAAGACCACCUCCGCCGACGCGGGGAACCGCCAUUGUUGGUCCCAAAAGAGCACCACCAACCCCACCACGUCCACGGCCACCACCACCACCAAAGAGCCUUAGACCACCUCAAUUAGAAGAAACCCUAGAGAGAGGAAGAGGACGAAGGGAGGAGAUCUCAUUGCGGACAUGGAAAUGGCGCAUCAGGGGGAAGAGGAAGAGAUCUACAGAGAAGGAGAUCUCUCUCUCUCUCCCCUCCUCUUCUCUCUCUCUCCUCUCUCUCUCUCUCUCUCUCUGUCUCUUCUCGUACACCGAUUUGGCCUGUUCCUUUUUCUGUAAGGGCCAGUAAAAAAGAAGAGACAAGCUUUCUCAGAAGGCGCGCUUUUAGCCUCUUCUUUUUUCUUUUCUUUUUUUUUUCGUUUUUUGGAUUAAUUUUUUAUUAUCCCGGCAAACAUAAUAAAUGAUAAAUAUAUUUUUAUAAAAUUUAAUUUUUAUAAAUUAUUUUUAUAAUAAUUUUAAUAUUUUUAAAUAUGUCUCACCGUUAGAAAAUUUUAAUUAAUUAUAAAUUAAAUAUUUAAUUCUGAUUAGUUUUUUGAUAUUUUUAUAUUUUUUUAUAUUAUACUGUUAUAAUUUUUGAAUAAACAUAUUUGUGAUGAUAAAAUUAAAAAUAUAAAUAGUUCUUUAAAUAGGUUUUUAACGGUAACAAAGUAAAAUGACAUAUUUGAAACAAUUAGGACAUUUAUAGAAACGACAUAUGAAAGUUGAAUUUUAUAGAGACAUAUUUAUCAUUCGCUAUAUUUGUAGAGAUCUGUAUGAAAUUAAUCUAUUUUUUGAUAAUUUUUCGAAGAUGUAAAAUAUGUAGUGGAAAUUACUGGCAGGAAUAAUUGUAUAAACGUCCCUGCAAAGUGAAAAUAUUGCAUAUCCAUCCCUCUAUAUUUUAAAACAUUUUAUACAUCUUGUAAAAUUUCCAAGCAUUUUGACUUGGAAAAAAAAUGAUACUGAGAUUAACCUGAGAUUAGUGACCUAUGAUCUUAUUUUUAUUUGGGCAAUUUAAAAAGUGUCUCUCAAAAAGUUACAAAAUAAUUGUCACUAUCAUUUGUUGCAGGGUGCAUGACUAAGAUUAUUGGACUAUAUUGUUCUUGGUUAUACCUAAUUAUAAUAAAUAAUAAUAUGGUAUUAUGCAGGGUCAACGAAAUUAUUUCUCAUCAAAAAACGGCAUUAUAUAUAAUUUUCUCUGCGGUUUUUUUUUUUGUUUUGUAAUUCAAUAUUAUUUGGUUCACCUAUUAUUCUUAAAUGAAAAUAAUCAAUUAAAAGCCAAAAUAUGUUAUAUUCUUUGUGAAUGUAUAGUAUGUUUUUUAUUUAAUAUUUAUACAGUUUUAUUUGUUUAAUUAAUUAGUUUUCAUUAAGUUGGUACUCAAUUAUAUUUUAUAAAAUUAUAAAGUUUGAAAUUUUUGACUUAAUUAAAAAGACGUUGAUGAUAGAUAAAUGAUAAAGUGAAAUUUUAAUAAAGUUAGAACAAAUUUUCUCCAGUGUAGAUAUUUUUGACAACUUUUUAAAUUAAAAAAUAUUUUUAAUAUUAACGCUAUGUAAUAACGACCGGAGAACAGACGCAUAUGAAGAUAUGAUCUAUUUAUUAAAAUUAAUAUAAAUUCAGAUAGUUGAUUAUUAACUUUUUUGGGUAUAAAAAUGAAUAGUGCAAUUAACUUUUUUUUUUUUACUGCUACAGUGAUUAGCCAUGUCAAAGAAUUUUUUAUUUUUUCUAAUUCUUUUUUUUUUUGAGGGAUUUUUUUUUUCAAAAUUGGUGGGCAUUGCCAAAGCUUCAUUUAAAUUAGUUAUGAAUUAUUUCUAAAUUUUCAUAUGAAAUAAACUAAUGUGUAAAAUUCAUAAAACUAUAUAUAUAAAUUAUAAUAGUUAAGAAAAAAAUAUAAAUAAACCAAUUUGUGCAGGUAUGAUUUGUCAACUAUCCAUAUAUUUUGUAAUGCCCAAAUAGUCCCAUAUCGCAUUUCUCUAUUUUAGGUUCUGACAAUUGAUUUUCUGCGUAAUUUCGACUGGAUAAUUUCUUAUUUUUGAGGCUGCAUUAAGGUAAGCGGCCGGACACCCGUUAGUUUUUCGCUAAAUAAUUUAGAAAAAUACUUGAUUGUGUGAAAAUCUUUAUUUUGUAGAUUUUAAAAUUAAGUGUUAAAUGUAUAUUAAAUAUUUUUGUAAAUUGAAUUUCAACUGUGAUUAAAAAGUUUUUUUAACAGAAGAAUUUUGAAAUUUGAUUAUCUGUUCUAUAAGUUAGUGAUUAAAUAAUUUUGAAUUAUAAUGUUUCUUAAUAUUCUGUUAUGCUAAUAUUGGCUAUAUCGACAUGUAUUUUGUUAUAGAAGCAAGAUUCGUCUUUGUAUUGCGCCUUCCAGUGCCUGCGCCUAUCCGUGCCUUUAUUUUGUUUGCGCAUUCGGGUGUCUCUAUUUUGUACAAACAUAUUCGGUGUCUCUAUUUUGUUUGCGUCUUCGGUUGCCUCUAUUCUGUUUGCGCCUUCAGGUGCCUUUGGAUCUCGCUAACGGAUCAUAUGAUAUAGUUAGUUGCCGGAGUCGUUUAUUUGCUGAAAAAGAAAUGCUUUGUAAAAUUAUAAUUUCAAUCCGAUUUGAAAUUUUAAGUUUUUGAUAAAUUCUUGUUUACUGAAAUUUUACAAAUUGAAAACCAGUCGCUUGAAUUAAUUUUUGUAUUUAUUUAUUUAUUUAUAUUGUAUACUUAAUCCUACUAAUGUGGUGUAUAACUCUCCUAUUUAGACCCUGAUAUUCUCGUCGGAUCCAAACCAGAGGUCCUUUGUAACGCCCAAAUAGUUCCAUAUCGGAUGGGAUACUGAUUCCGAUCAGUUUAUAUGAGACAUACACGCUAGUAAUAAUAACUAGACUUAAGCAUUUUGAGCCGGUGGUUUGGAUCGAACGAGUUAUUGUUACUAGCGAGUCGAAUUGUUACACUUAUUAUAGCAAUGAUUCUUUUAUAAAAUAUCUGUUCAUACAAGGUGUAGAGCUAAUAUUUGAAUUGUUCUUCUAGGUCUAUUAUAAAUUUUUUGAGUAACACAACUAUAUUAAAAAAAAUAUUAAAUUAAAUUAUGAGAGUACGAAUUAAAAUGUUAAAGAGAUUCUCUUUUUUUUAUUAUUCAAGCAGAAUAUUUAAAUUGAAAAGACUUUAAUUUAUUUGCAUUUUAGAACUUGAACACAAUAAACUAAUAGUAAAAUGAAAUUUAAAAAAAGCCCACCACCAACCUCAUAUAACUUAUCAAAAUAGAAAUAUAAACAAUGUCAAAUAUGCUUUAAACAUUAAUUCUGAGAAUACGAAUCAAAUCAAAUCGUGCUCAAGAGGUGGGAGCAUCCUAGUAAUUAUAUAUAAAAAAAAGUUUAAAAAACAAUUUAGAGUAAAUACUAUAAUUUGUUACACCAGAAGAAAGUGCUUUUAAAAUAAUUCGAAGAAAAUAUCAAUCUUAAUAAUAAUUGAGUGAUUAUGUAGUAAUGUAUCGCGAGAAAGUUUUAGACGUUGAAUAUAUAAUAUUAAAAUAAAAUGUUGUUCUCUAACAGCCUAUUUUAAAAAAUAAUAAUAAUUUUAUGUUGUUUAACAUGAGAUUAAAUUUCAACAUUUAACCCUACCGAAUUUUUCAGCUUUAUUAGUUCCUCCUAUUUAAUCUAAAAUAUUAUUCUAUAAUAGUUAAAACUUUUGGAGAAUAAUUAAUGGUCGUUUUACAAGAUUUAACAUUAGAUGAGGAAUCAACGAAGUUUAAAGUAAAAGUAUUCCUGUACCACAAACAAAAAACUAAAAAUAUAUAUAUAUACAAAAAUAGGCAAGUUACAUUGUUGGUUUGUAAUUUUUAUUGGAUAUUUCAAUCUGAUUUUCAAUUUUCUAAUUUUUAUAUUAGCUCUCUAAUACGUACUAUUUAUUUUAACUAUAUCUUACCUGUCAUAAAAAGCCUGUUAAAUUGUACGAAAAUUGUGAAGACAUGGAUAAUAUUUUAUGGUUGUAUAAAAUAGUAUUUCGGUCGAAUAUGCGAAUAUUCAGAAUACUAUUUUAUGGAAGUAUAAAAUUUUAAAGACAAGUGAUUAUUUCUUUGAGUGUUAAACCAAGAUAUACUCGGUUUGAAUUCGCCAUACUAGCUUAGUUUUUUAGUAAAAAUAUUUAGUGAAGAUACCUUAGGUGUAACUUUUCUCUAAAUCUAGUUAAUGUACAAUUUUAUUUUAUUUUUUUUUGUUUAGAAAAUUUACAAAGAGGAAAGAGAUUUUUUUGAGAAAAAAAAGAAUUGCAGUAAUAUGUACUAACAUGUUCGUCAUUCAUCAAAAUAAGAGCAAUGUUAUAUGUCCACUUCUAAAUUAGGUGUAUAUCUUACAUUCUGAUCUAUUCAAAGACUAAUUAUUGUUCUCUAGUUUUAUAAACAUUUUGUUUAGGAAUAAUUGCAUAUGGUUUUCUGCAAAAGUAUCAAAUAGAAAAUAUAUUUCUAUAAAACUUAAGUUAUUCUAUUUAUCCUUCCAAAAGUAUUUUUGGCUAUAAAUAUAUUCUUCUUUUAAUAAAAUUUAGAUAAUCAUGAGUUAACAAAGCUAAUCACUGUUAGCUAAGGAAUAAAAUGAUAUUUUUACAUUUCAUAUAUAUAAUUUGUAUUUUAAUAUUGAGUCCUAUCAUCUUUCUCACUCUCUCCUCUUUACCCACGACGGCAGCAAAACCUACGGCGGCGACGUCGAAGGUGGAGCCUUCAGUCGCGGCAAAGAAGACGUACACCAAAUGUGCCACGGUGAAGGCGAGGAGAGAGAGGAAAAUAAAGAUAGCUUUUUGUAGGGAUAGAUUUAUAAGCAAAAUAGUCAUUUUACGCAUUCACCGUUAAAAAAUGAACGGUAAAUCAAAUGAUAGGAACAUAUAUAAACGAAUCAGAACUUUUGGAGGGAUAUAUUUGUAAACCAAAGAAUUUUUGAAGAAAUAAAGUUAAUAACUUAAGUUUUGUAAGAAUAUAUUUGUUAUUUGAUAUCUUUCUAGGGACCUAUAAGAAAUUAACUAUUUUUUAAAACUAAAUAUUUAUUUAAAUUGUUGUGAAUCAUAAGAUGUAAAUAGUGUAAGAUUUACCUCUAUAAAUAGAUGCAAACAUGAUAAUUUUCUCAAAAUAAACAUAUUCUUUUUAUCCCGAGUGAAAAAAUAUACUGCAUUUCAAUAACAAAUAUAUAAGUCAAAAGAGAAAACUAUUUCUUGUUAGAGAGAUAUAUAAUUAAGAAGCUUUAUAAAUAUAAUAUAAAUGUUUCUAAGUACGACCAAGAUCACAUGCAACAUUGGUUUUGCAUUUAAUAAGUAUAUAUUGUACCAUUUUCCAACUAUUAAAAUAUUAUAAUUGGAAUUCCAAAUCUCAAAGCUCAAGCAAAUGGACUACUUAUUUAUGAUUGCGUACGUUGGUUUCACUUCUUUUGAUGCACAACGAAUUCAUGUGAUGAAACCAGGAUUAAUUACUCCAUUAUUCCUUCAACUAUUAAACAUUUUUUUUUUCUACUUUGGUUAUUAAUCUUCUUUUACUGCUAUUAGAUUAAAAAUCUUUAUAUUUUAUUUCAAGCUAGUUUCUCACUAUUCAAAUUCUCAUUAAUUUUGACGAUAUAGAUUACAUUAACUCUAAUAAAAUCAUAUCUUUUUAUAAACAUCACGAUAAUAAUUUAGUAGUUUCUAGCUAAUCUCAGCAUCAACAUGUUUAAGUUUUUGAAAAAACUUAAUAGCACGUCCCACUAAACUCUAAAACACUGGUUGUCUUAAAAAAGACAGUAAGUAUGCAUUGUAUAUAAGGUCAAAAUAGUCGUAGGGGCGGAAUUAAAAUGGUGGCGGAAUUAAAAUGAUGUGAGAUUGGGUUUCAGGGACCUAAGGAAAAAAAAAAGUUUAGGGACCAAUGAUGUAACUAAUUUUAAAGAUUAAAUAUCUUAUUUACGAAAAAAAAAAAGGGUUGUGUAGGGUAAAAGUUAGGGACCUUAAGGUGCAAUUAACCCUUCUAAUAUUUAUAGUAAUCUCUCCUCUUUGACGGGGAUUCUCAGAUGCUUAUCAUUUAAAAAAAAGAAAAAAGAAAAAAGAAGGGCAAACGUGCAACCAUGAAAGUUCUUUUAAUUUUAAUUUUUAAAACUUGUUCUAACUUCUACAAGCUAGUUUAUACCUUUUUUUUUUUCCUUCACUUUUUUUUUUUUUAAUGUAAAAUAUAAGAGAGGCAAUGAUACAAUCAAAGAGUUCAAAACACCAUUAAUAAAUUUUCAUAUUAAUAUAUAUUUCAAGAAAACUUUAUUUACCAUCACCCAUUCAAAAUGCUUUAGAAUUUGAGAUGUUGGUCCUGUUGAAUCUAAUUGAUGCUGGAUAAUAUAUUAUUUAAGAUUAAUUUGGUAUUGAGAGCUCUCUAAACUUAUUACGUAGAAACAAAUUUGAGUGAACGGAUAUAAUAAUAUGUGACCGUAAAUAUAUAGAUAUCUCUAUUGAAUUAUGAUAUAUACAAUAUAAUAUUGGCCACUUUGCAAAAAAAAUCACUAAUUUUAGGCUUUUGUAAAAGUGGGUCACCUUUUUCGUUUUUGCAGAUUUCAUCCGAAUUUUUAACAAACUGACCAAAAUACCCUUAUUACUUUUUCUCUCUCCUCUUCUUUUCUCUCGUUCAUUUUUUUUCUCUCGCCGAAAAAAGCAACGGAGGCAGAGGCGGAGGCGAAAACGGUCCGCCUCGCCUCUCACCCUCAUGCUCUCGCCCUCGCCCUUGCCCUCGCCCGCGCACCCCCCAUCUUCCUCGCCUCCGACCCCACCGAGGCCGGCUGCGACUCUUUUUUUUUUUUNCUCUCCUCUUCUUUUCUCUCGUUCAUUUUUUUUCUCUCGCCGAAAAAAGCAACGGAGGCAGAGGCGGAGGCGAAAACGGUCCGCCUCGCCUCUCACCCUCAUGCUCUCGCCCUCGCCCUUGCCCUCGCCCGCGCACCCCCCAUCUUCCUCGCCUCCGACCCCACCGAGGCCGGCUGCCGACUCUUUUUUAAUUUUUUUUCCCUCUCCGACUCUCCUCCACCAUCUCUGACAUCGACGCCUCUCUUGCCCUUCCCCGCCUUUCUUGUCCUCUCCCUCUCCCUUCUCCUCUGCCGCCUCCGAUAACGACGCUUCUUCGCCGACGCCGACACCGACACCGUGGAGGUUGCUGCGGCACUGCAACCUCGAAGCGGGGGGUCCUUAGCGGCGGCGUCGCCGGCGCCGUGACCGUUGGCAGAAAUGGGUGACCAAAAAAAAUUAUAGAAGAAACAAGAAAAAAAAAUAAAGAUAAAAAAUUAUAGAAAAAGAAAGUUGAAGAUGGAAUUGCACAGUUAAAAUAAAAUUGUACUGUUUUAAAAGAACGUUGCACUAUUAUGGACAUAUAUUGUACUACUUAAGAUAUAAACUACAGUUUUAAGAUAAAAAUUACACUUUUUAAACAAAAAUUGCACUCAUUGGGAGAUAUUUACACUAUUUUUUCUAUUAUUGCACUCUUUAGAUGUAAAUUGCAUCCAUUAAGAUGAAAGUUAUACUUUUUAAACGAAAGUUGAACUCUUUGAGAGAUAUUUAUAUUGUUCCUCCUCUUAUUGCACUCUUUGAGAUGUAAACUGCACCCCAUUGAGAGAUAUUUAUACUGUUUCUCCUCUUGUUGCACUGUUUCUUUUCUUGUUUUACUAUUUUUUCUUUUGUUACACUAUUUUUUCUCUUAAACUGUACCCUUUAAGAGGAGAAACAGUGUAAUAAGAGGAGAAAUAGUGCAACAAGAGGAGAAACAGUAUAAAUAUCUCUUACAGGGAUGUAGUUUACAUCUCAAAGGGUGCAAGAAGAGGAAAAACAGUGUAAAUAUCUCUCAAAGAGUGCAACUUUCGUUUAAAGAGUGUAACUUUCAUCUUAAUGGAUUCAGUUUACAUCUGAAAAAGUGCAAUAAUAGGAGAAACAAUAUAAAUAUCUCCCAAAGAGUGUAAUUUUCGUUUAAAGAAUGUAAUUUUCAUCUUAUAAUUGUAAUUUACAUCUUAAUAGUGCAACGUUCUUUUAAAACAGUGUAAUUUUAUUUUAAUGGUGCAAUUUCAUCUCCAUCUUUCUUUUUCUAUAAUCUUUUAUCUUUAUUUUUUUCUUACUUCAUCUAUAUUUUUUUUUAUCACCCGUCUCUUUCAGCGCCGGCGACAACGCCCUAAGAACCCCCCGCUCCGAGGCUGCAGCGCCAUAGCGACCUCCACGGUGUCGGCAUCGGCGAAGAUGUGCCAUCGGCAAAGAAGCGUCGUCGUCGAAGGCGGCAAAGGAGGAGGGAGAGGGAGAGGACAAGAAGGACGGGGAAGGGCGAGAGAGGCGUCAUUGUCGGAGACGAUGGAGGAGAGUCAGAGAGGAAAAAAAAAAAAAAGUUGCAGCGCGGCCUCGGCGGGGUCGGAGGCGAGGAAGGUAGGGGGUGCGCGUGGUGAGGGCGAGGGCGAGGGCGAGGGCGAGGGCGAGGGCGAGAGCAUGAGGGUGAGAAGCAAGGUAGGCCAUUUCUGCUUAACCGCCUCUGCCUUCGCCUCUUCGGCGAGAGGAAAAAAAAAUGAACGAGAGAAAAAAAAAAAAGGAGAGAAAAAGAGGAGAGAGAAAAAGCAAUAAAAAUAUUUUGGUCAGUUUGCUGAAAAUCCAGUCCGAAUCUACAAAAUCGAAAAAAUUGGCCCACUUUUACAAAAGCGCAAAACUAGUGGAUUUUUUAUGGAAAUUGGCCUAUAAUAUUACUUGGUAUCUAAAUAUUGUAGGUUGGUUGGUUUAUCUUGUUUGAUAAUGCCCAAUUUCUUUUGUUAAUAAAUAUAUGAGUUGUACUCAUAGAUUUAAUUAUUUUCGUUGAAAGAAAAAAAAAAAUGCUAAAUUACAUAAAACCUUCGAGUUGAGCUAAAAUACUCUCAAAAGCACAAAGGGAGUGGUGCUUUUGAGUUUUUAACGAUUGGAUGGAGAGAUGUAGGAUUGAGAUGAUGGUGGUAGGUGGAAUAGUGUUUGAUCCAAAGGCUAUUAGUAACGAAGGAGUAGAUCCAAGGGUUAGAAAUCUAAAAGCAACAAGGGGUUUGUGCUUCCAAAAGUAUUCUAGCUCAAUUCGAACACCUCCUUAUAAAUAUUUUUUUUUUUACUUUUUCUUUAUAAUUUUUAAAAAUCUAUAUUUUACUCACUCAGCAUUUCCAGUUGCUACAUUUAGUCCCCCUCCAUCAAGGUUUCAUUACUAUUCCGUCUAUUUAUUAUAAUUUGUACUAAAAAUGCCCUUCAAAAUAACAUAAAUAUAUUAAAAAAUUUAUUUUUUCUUAUAGAAGAAGGAUAAUUUGAUUGUUUUUUCCUCUUCAUUAACGCCAUACCCUCCUGAAAAUAUUUUUGAAAUUUUAAUUGGGCAAAAUAUAUGUUUUUUAAAGUUCGGGAGGAAAAGUAAAAAAAUAGGUAUUUACAAGAGAGUUUUCUGUAUUUUAGCCUCUAAUUCAAGAUAAUAAGUUUUAGCGAAUCAAUUUCAUUUAAAUACUUAAAUAAAUAAAGGGCAGAAUCCAAUAAUUUUAACAAAGCGAAACUGAGGGAAUUAAUUAACAAGGAUAAGCCGGAUGAAUUUGACUUAACUUACAUAUAUGAUUACAUGUGAAAAGCACCAUAACAUAAAAAUAUUAGGGUAAACUUUAAAUGCCAUCCCUGUAGUUUCGUACUUUCUUAUUUUAAAACUCUAUAAUUUAAUAUGUAUGAAUUUAGUACCAUAUAGUUUUAUUUUUCUCUUUUCGUCACUCCCUUCAUUAACUUUUUGUUAAAUCAUAUACAAAAAAUUUUAAAUACUCCACCUAUAGUUUAUCGAAUAUAUACUUUAGUAUCUUUUAGUUAUAAUUUUGUCACUGAUUUAACAAAAAAAAUUAGUAAAGAGGAUAACAAAAGGAGAAAAAUAAAAUCACAGGAUACGAAAGCGAUAUAUUUUAAACCACAGGGUACUAAAGUGAGAAAGUGCGAAACUACAAUGGUGGUAUUUGAAGAUUUUCCAAAAUAUUAAGAACAUAAGAACUAGGUUAGAAUGCUAUUAAUAGCAUUAAGUCAUUGGUGCGAUUAGGUUUUCGACCGUUGAAUGAAGCGAUGUACGAUUAGGAUAAUAGCGAUCCUCUAGGGUUAGAAUCGUUAGUUGGUUAAAUAGUAUGAUCUAACGGAUGAAAAUAAUUAAAAUGGUAAAUUUAACGGUAGAAAAUUUGAUAACACAAAGUGCUUGGUAUUGCAGACAGCAUUGUAGCCGGACUCAAGAGCAAAAAUCUAGAUAGUUAUAUUGACCGGCAUCCCCCAUUUCUUUAAUUGGUAAAUAUAAAAUUUAUAAAAUUUAGGUGGCUAUUUGUAAACUGCACGCCUAAGAAUCAGACUAGAAUUAAAUUGAAGGAUUUGACUAAAUAAGAACUGCAAAGUUUUACUAUUAUGUAGCGUAUAAAUAAAUGCAGUACGAUCGUGUGAGAAUAUAAUAAAACACAAAUGAGAAGAGGAUAAAAUCAAUUUGAAACAUGGAUAGAAUUAAGCAAGGUGCCAACCAAGUUUUAGAAUAGGGUAAAACAUGGCCAGUUGUAUUACGUACGGUGAGAAAGUUUAUUGGAAAAAUACUAUAUUUAUUUUCGUACGUAAUAUUGCAUCCCGCAUAUCGCGAUGAAUCGAUUAUGAUAUAUUUUCUGCGAUCCGACCGAGAAUGCAGAAGCUCACCCCUAUAUGCUUUUACCUCAACUCUAUUUUAUCUAAUAGUGUUAGAUGAGUCUUAAUACCAAACUAAGCCUUAGUUUGGUAUUGAAUACUAUUUAACGCUAUUAGAUAAAAUAGACUUAGGGUAAAAGUAUAUAGGGAUAUAGUUUUGCGUUCUCGUGUGGGACCGCAGAAAAUAUAUCGUAACCGGUUCAUCUCAAUAUGCGGAACAUAAUAUUAUACGAAAAUAAACAGAAUAUUUUUUCAUCGUACUUUCUCACCGCACAUAACACAAUCUUUCCGCAAUCCCAAAUGAUGUCAAGCUAUUUUAACUCCUUAAUUUAAAUAGGACAUUUUAUUUUACUUUUUAAACUAACCUUUAAAAUAUUUUAAAAGUUAAUAUAUAAUUUUUUUAGCCUAAAAGAACGUUUUGGCUCAUUUAAUCAGUUUUAUUCAGUCGGCUUAGAUUUCGAAUAUAAAAAAUUAAAAUUUUAAAUAAAUUUUUUUUAAAAAUAAUUAAAUCGAACUUUACGUACCGAAUUAGUUUCGAUUGAAUUUGAUAAUUUGGUUUUAGCCGAACAGUGCUCACCGCCACUCACAGCUCAGAUGUGGGGAACAAAAGUGAGGCUGCAGGUUAAGCAGCAAAACGCGUGCAAAAGGCUGCUAUGCACUUGAACUUCCGCACAGGAUUCCACCCACGCGAAAUCAGUGACAACUACAAAGGUGCUGCUUUAGGGACGUCAACAGAUCGGAUUUGUGGCUGAUUUUUACAAAAUUUGAAUUCGAAUUCGACUAUUAAAUUUAAAAUUUAAAUUCGAAUGAGAAUUCGACAGCUUUUAAAAAUUCAUUAUCCAAAUCCGAAUCCGAUAAAAAAUUUGAAACCCGAACCCCAGCUAAAAAAUUCGAAUCCGAAAUAAUUAUUUUUCUUUACAAUAUUUCAAAAUAUAUUACAUUGAAUCUAAAAUUUUAAAAUACAAAUUCAAAUACAAUAUUAAACUUAUAUAUAUAUAUAUAUAUAUGCUAGUACUAUACUCUUAUGAGUAUAGAACUCUUUGUACUAAGAAGUUUUCGGUCGUUGAAUGAGGAGAUGUGCGGUUAUGAUGACAGUGAUCCCCGAUUAAAAUGAUAAUGGUCUCUUAGAAUUGAGUAGGUGGUUGGUUGUAUAGUACGAUCUAACGGAUAAAAAUGAUCAAAAAAAUAGAUCUAACGGUCGGAAACCUAUUUGUACAAAAGGGUUUAUACUUAUAAAAGUAUAAUAGCCGAACUCUAUAUAUAUAUAUAUAUAUAUAUAGAGAGAGAGAGAGAGAGAGAGAGAGAGAGAGAGAGAAUUCGGCUACGGUGCUUGUAAGUUUUUAACCGUUAGAUCUACGUUUUUUUUAUCAUUUUCAACCAUUAGAUUAUACAAUUCAACCAACAACCCACUCAACCCUACGGGGCCCACAUUAUCCUAUCCGCACAUCUCUUAAUUCAAUGGUAAAAAAUUUACAAGCACAAAAAACUCGGUACUUUUAAAAGCAUAGGAGUACAUAUAUUAUUUAUUUAUAUAAUUACCAUAGUAUAUAUAUUAACAUAUAUUUAUAAAUAAAUACAUCAAAAUUAUAUUAUAUGUUAAAUUAAUAAGUAUGUAAUAUAAUAUCUAUAUUAGUAUUUAUGUAAUACUAUAUAAUAAGAAGAGUUAAUUGUAUAUAUAGGUCCCAACAAACAUAACAAAUUGUAAAUAUAUCCUUACAAAUUUUAAUUUUCAUAUUUUGUCUUUGUAAAAGUUCUAAUGUUUUUAAAUAUGUCCUUGCUGUUAGAACGCGUUAGAAAAGUUUAGUUAAUCAUAAGUUAAAUACUUAACUUUGGUUAGCUUAUGAGAUAACUUGACAUUUUUAUCUCUUUUAUAUUAUACUAUUGUGGCUUUUGGAGAGAGACAUAUUUGUAAUGACAAAAUUAAAAAUAUAAACAGUUCUCUAACGGUAACAAAUCAGAGGGAUAUAUUUGAAAAUAUUAGGACUUUUAUAUGGACAACAUAUGAAAGUUAAAAUUUGUAGGGAUAUAUUUGUAAUGCACUAUAUUUCUUGUAUACAUUUAACCCUAAUAAAAAAAAAAAAUAAUAUAUAAUAUACUUAUUAGAGUAGGGCUACUAUACUCUUUAAUAUAGAGCUCUUUAUUCUUGUAAGUUGUUUUCAAUGGCAGAGCUUCAAAAUUGAUAAUCUAUAUUGUUAAAUAUGAUUCAGAACAUUUGAAACUUAUAAAAAAUAAAUUUUAAAAUUUUUCGCGAUUAUAAUAAAGUCCACCAAGAAUGUAUAAAAUGAAUGAUCAAAACUAAACGACAUUCUAAAAAUGGAUGAUCAAAUCUUUCAAUUUAAGAUCGAAAUUAUUGAUCUUUUAUCUAAAUAGUGAAUAGAAUUUUAAAUCAAAAUUUUAAUCUUUUUUUGAUUCUUUUACAAUGUUAAACUAACAAGUAUUCCACACCGGCCAUUAAAAGUUAUCAAUUUUUAGAUUUUUUAAUUGUACGAUAAAUGAUAUAGAAAAAUUAUAAAAUUUAAUUUCUAAAUGUUUCAAUGCUCUAAAUUACAUUUCUAAAGUUUUAUAAUAAAAAAUGACUAAUGAAUAUAAAGAUGAUCAUAUUUAUAAGAGUAUAGUAAUCGGACUCAUAGAUAUUACCGGUCAUAUAUAUUAAUUUUUAUAAAAAAUGAUUGAUUGUAGUAGCAUUGUAUGUGUGUGUGUGUGUGUGUGUGUGUGUGUGUGUGUGUGUAUAUAUAUAUAUAUAUAUAUAUAUAUAUAGAAUUAUGCUACUAUACUAUCAAUAGUACCAAGCCCUUGGUACUAUUGAGUUUUCGACCGUUGGAUGAAAAGAUAUGCGGUUAGGAUGAUAGUGGUCCCCGGUUAAAUUGAUAGUGGUCCCUUAGGGUUGAGUGGGUGGUUGGUUUAAUAGUAUAAUCUAACGGGUGGAAAUGAUCAAAUGGUAGAUCUAACGGUAGAAAACUUCAAUAGGUACUAAGGGCUUGGUAACAUCGAUCAGUAUAAUAGCCGGAUCAUAAGACUGCUAUAUGAUAUAUAUAUAUAUACGCGUAUAUAGUACUAUAUACUAGUAUAUACUAUAUCAUAUAUAUAUAUAAGUAUAUAAUAUAUAUAUAUAAUAUAUAGAAUUAUUUUUUUAUGCUCCUAACUAUCAAUAGUACCAAGGCCUUGAUACUAUUGAUGUUUUUUGGCCAGUUGGAUGAAAGAUGUGGGUCCUUAGAUGAUAGUGGUCCCUAGGGUGAGUGGGUGGCUUCGUGUUAAUAGUAUAAUCUAACGGAUGAAAUGAUGCACAGGGUGAGAUCCUAACGUUAGAAAACCUCUAUAUACCACAAGGCUUGGUACUCAAUCAAUAGUAUAGAAGUCGAGCUCGUAUAUAUAUAUAUAUAGAUAUAUACUUAGAAUUAUGCUACUAUACUAUCAAUAGUACCAAGCCCUUGAUACUAUAGUUGGUGGCCGUUGGAUGGAAGGAUGUGCGGUUAGGAUGAUAGUAGUCCCGGUUAAAUUGAAUAGUGAUCCCCUAGGUUGAGUGGUGUUUGGUUUAAUAGUAUAAUCUAACGGGUGGAAAAUAAUCAAAGGGUAGAUCUAACAGUAAAAAACUCACAAUAGUACCAAGGGCGGUUGAUACUAUCAAUGUAUAGUAGCGGACUAUAUGUAUAUAUAUAUAUAUAUAUAUAUAUAUAUAUAUAUAUUAUAUAUAUAUAAUAUAUAUAUAUAUAAUAUAGAGGUCCGCUAUGGUGCUUGUAAAAGCACAAAACACUUGGUGCUUGAAAUUUUUACCGUUAGAUCUCUCCCUUUAAUCAUUUUUAUUCGUUGAUUAUACUUUCAACCAACCACUCACUCAACCCUAGAGAGGCCCACAUCAUCCUAACCGCACAUCCCUUAACCAAGGGCCGCAAACUUACAAGCACCAAUGACUUGGUACUUUUAAAAGCAUAGGAGCUCAAUUAUAUAUAUAUAUAGUUGGGCUGCUGUGCUCUUAAGAGCACAGCAGCCCCCGUGUGUAUAAGGCAUCCUACCAUCCAUCUAUCUAGAUGGAUGGUUGAGAUGGAUUUCCCUUUUAACAAAAAAAUCCAUUGUUAGAUGGGUUAAAAGUUAACAGAACUUUUUCUCUUCUCUUUUUUGUCUUUUCUUUUUCCUUUCCUUGUCUCCUCCCAGACUCUUCCCCCCCUUCUUCUCUCUCUCUCUCUAUCCACAGUAAAAUGCGCAUCUCUUCUUUUCUCCGCCCAAUCUCUCUCCCCUCCCUUCCUGUAGAAUCGUGGAACUUCUCCGUUCCUUUGAACGUCGCCACCGGAGAAGACCGAUUAGCGUUCGCAAAGAGGUAAGCACUCCCUCCCCAAACCGCCUUUCCUAGAAUACCCUCUCACCGUGACCCCAUGCCCUCCCCUGCCACCCGCAUGCGAACCCCGCGGCGGCGCGACCUGCCCGACGACCCCAGCCCGAUGCCGCGCCCUCUCACGCGCCGUUGCUAACCCGCGCGGGCGACCCCUGCCGCAGUGACCACCCAUUCGCCCCCACACGCCCUGCCGCGGCCCCUGCAGGACCAUCCCAUCGCCAGCCCGAGCCCCUUGCAGGACCGCCUCCCAAGCCGCGCGACCACCUCCUCCCACAACGGCGCUCCGCGCAGGGGCGACCCUCUGCUACCACUCUCGGACCCCUGGCCUCUGCCCACCGCCUAAAGCCCCCUCCUCGCCCUCGCCCUGCCGCCCGAAGGCCGCGCUGUAAAGAAAAAAAAAGCUGAAGCCCCCACAAGCGCCCCACCAACACAAAAUUUUUUUAAAAAAAGUCCUCUCUGUUCAUGAGGAUAGUAGAAGGAAAAAAAAACUAAUUAAUUAUAAUAUACUAAUAUUAUAAUUACGAAGGAACUUUGGAUAGAUCGUCCUCAUAUUGUAAUUUUGAGGAAACCUUGGUCCACGUAUUGUAAUUCUGAGGGAACCAUGGAUAUAUGUAGUAACUCAUGCCCUAGCCUCUUUGUCGUUUGUUAGAAUUUGAAAAACAGACAUAUAUAAUGUAGUUUGUUUUUUUCUUUUUUCUACACAUUUUCCUUCCAUUUAAUGUGAUUACUUAAGUUUAUCAAAAUUUGUCUUGCAUUGAUCAUCAUAGAAAUUCGUUGUUUCAUUAUUAUUUAUUGGUUGGUUAAUUUAUAUGCAAUAUAUAUAUUGUAGAUGAAAAUUGGCAAUUCACUAGAGUCGGAUAAUCAGUUGGAGAUUAUGCUCGCUGAAGGCGCCUCUAAAAUUGGUUCGACAUCUACCAUCUUUGGUACUGAUAAUACUCAAACCACUAUUGAUACUUUUGACAAUGAAUAGACAAACUUGUAAAGAGGCUUCCAAUAUAUUUGGUGAUAAUCUUCCACACUCCGAUGAAGAAAGAAGUGAAAGUCAUGAAGACAAUGAAGAUAGUGAAGAAUGAAAGUAUUAAUAUUAGUACUUUAUUUGAUGUUUAAUGUACCUUGAAUGUUUAAUGCAUUUGGAUGUUCAAAUGUAAUAUUUUACAUGUUUAAUGUACUUUAGAUGUUUGGAAUGCUAUUUGUAAUGCACUUUGGAAUGCUAUUUGUAUUAAAUGUGUAAUGCACUUUGGAAUACUAUUUGGAAUGCACUUUGGAAUGCUAUUUGUUUGUAUUGUUGAUGUUCCAUACCAUAUUUCAUACCAAGUCAACUAAUAGGCCUACUAUUUUGUAGAACAUCAAGAAAGUCAAAUAAAAAAAAAAAAACACUUAUCUAUUUCAAGUUUAGUAUCGUUUAUUUCAUUAAAAAAAAAAUGAAACUUAUAAUGCAUUCAUAUGUAGAAGUUACAUAUGAUAUUUAGAAAUUAAAUAAAGUCUUAACAAAUAACAAAGAAAGUAGGAACAAAAUAAAAUACAUCUUCUUCUCAUAAUCCCCUUUAUUUGCAUUAACUCUUGCCGACAGUUCUUCGAAUUUGACUUUCAAAAUUUGAAUCUCUUCAUGCAUUUUGUUUACUUUCUCUAACAUUUGUUACUUCAAAGAUAUCUCAGAUAUAACUUUUGAUGCGUGAUCUAAAAACUUAUCGGUCCUCGAAUAAUUUGAACUAUCAAUUUCGGAGAUAUCUAUAGCUUUUAGAUCACGCCACAUAAAAAAAAUCACAGUAAUUUUUCGAGAUCUUUCCAUAGUUCAGACAUCCAAAAAAUCCUUUUCCUUUGCUCUUAGGUUGUUGUGAAACUCGAAUAAUAGCAGCUUUAUUAUAAUUGCAACGAACAACUCCACUUUCAUAACAGUUUUUUUUGAACCAGCCCAUCGCAUAGAGCACCUACUCUAUGCUAUUAAUUUAUCUGAUAACCUGCAUUCACAUUGCUGUUAAUUAGUACAUUAAACUAAAAAAACUUACUAAUAUUAAGUUAUUUAGUAAAUUUAUUUAGUUUUUUUUUUCUUCUUCUUUCUCAUAACAGGGGAGACUUUUUUUUUUUAUUUUUUUUUGUUGUGAAAGGCUUCAGGUUCUUUUUUUCUUUUUUUUUCUUUUAUUUUUCAGGUGUGGCCUUCGGGCGGAGGCGGGGGCGAGGAGGGGCCUUUAGGCGGGUGGCAGAGGCAGGGGUCGCGGGGGGUGGUGGCAGAGUGUCGCGCCCACCGGGUGGGGGGGAGGUGCGUCACGCGCUUGGGGAGCGGUCCCGCAGGCGGCGGGGGGUGGGGUGGGGGGGGGGGGGGGGGGCAUGGUGGCGUCGCGGUAGUGGCGCACGCCUAGGGUUCGCGGCGGGGAGGGAGGGGGAGGGGCACGGGUGUGCGGCGGCAGUGGAUUAAUUGUCUUCUUCGAUGGCGGUGUUCAAAGGAACGGAGAAGUUCCACGAUUCCACAAGGGAGGGAGAGAGAGAGAGAUUGGGGGAGAAAAGAAGAGAAGGAGCAUUUUACUGUGGAGAGAGAAGAGAAAGGGGGAGAGAGAGCCUGGGAGGCGACAAAGGAAAGACAAAGGAGAGAGAAAAAGUUCUGUUAACUUUUAACCAUUAACAGUGAAUUUUCUGUUAAAAGAAAAAUCCAUCUCAACCAUCCAUCUAGAUAGAUGGAUGGUGGAUGCCUUAAUAGCACAGGGACUAAGCACAGCAGCCCAACUCUCUCUCUCUCUCUCUCUCUCUCUCUUCUCUCUCUCUCUCUCUCUCUCUCUCUAUAUAUAUAUAUAAUAUAUAUAUAUAAGGCUAGGGCUACUAUCCUAUUAAUAAGAUAGGAGCACUUGUCCUAUCAAAUUGUUCUUGAUGAUAGAAAUUCCGAAUCGAUGAUCGGAGCCGUUGAAGUUGAUCUAGAGUAUUUGAAAUAUCUAAAAACUAAAUUUCUAAAUUUUAAAAAUUAUUUACAUGGUGAUCAAAGAGUGUCGUAAAUCGACAGUUUUUGACGGCCUAUAUGAGCCGUUUGCUUGUUUAACGGUAUAUAAUAAUCCAAAUUGCUUGAUUUUUGAUAGAAAUUUUUUAUAGUAUUUAGUAAUGUUUGAUAACUCUGAUUAUGAAUUUGAAAAAAGUCUAACCUUUUUUAAGGAAGAUUAUUCAUUUAUGACCGUUCUUUUUCAACUCUUAAGAUGAAACUUGAUAAUUAUUUUAAAAUAUUACAAAAUUUGGUUUCUAAACAUUUCUAAUUGUGUAAGAUAAUUUCAACGGUGCCGAUUAUCAAUUUGGAGUGUCGAUUAUUCAAAACGAUUUGAAUAGACAAUGGUCUCAUCCUAUUAAUAAGAUAGUAGCCGGACUACAUAAUAUAUAUUUUAUUUAUACUAUAUGUAUAUAUAUAUAUCAUAUAGUUAUAUAUAUAUAUUUCUAACUCAUUUUUCUCUAACAGUGUUAGAUUGAUUUGGGUACCAAACGAGUCCUACAUAGAAUUUAGAUUUUAUGAUAAUAUAUUUUCCACCAUUUAGAUUCUAUAUGCAGAAAAAAUUAAUAUCAAAUGCGGCUAAAAGUAACUAGUGUUCGAUGACUUUAUAUACAGUAAUGCUUUCAAUCACUUAGAAAUAUGAAACAACUAAAAUUUGAACUUAAAAUUUCGAAUAUCAAUAAUUAAAUCUUUUAAAGCCAACUAUGCUACGUACAAUCAGUAUUUCUUUUGUUCUUUGAUAAUAUAAAAAUGAUUAUAUUUGCCACCGUAUUACCAAAUUAGGUAUUAGCUCGAUCGAUCCAGCUAAAUAAGCCCAGAAGAGCCCACAAACAGUUAAAAUCAGGCCCAUUCAAUCCAUUACUAUCCAUUCGGGCCCAUUAAUUUAUUACCAAACAUACUCUUAAAAUAAUUUUGCACGAAUCUCAAAGCACCUGCUUGAAUUUCAUAAUUUGUCACACCGCAUGGAUCUUGAGGCACGAUGAACGGUGGAGAUAGAAAUGUAUCAAGGAAAUUACUUUGUGACACCUCGAUUAAUAUUUUGUACAAGCCACUGAAUAGUAAAUUUAUCAAUAGAAUAAAAUGCACGGGAAAUAAAAUAUUUUUUAUUUCUGAAAUAUAUUUCGCUAUAUGAAAAAGAUGCUGAAUGUACUACCAUAUUAUAAAAGAGAUUUUUUUUUUUUCUUUCUAUUACCUCAAGCUUUUAAAUUGGAUUCAAAUCCUAUAAUAGAAUAGUAUACUCUGUUCAUAUUUCUCUUACAAUCCGAUAUUUUUUUUGUUAUUUUUCAUUCAACCAUGUUUCAACCACAUUCAGUUCUCAACUACUUUCAUCCAAACAUUUCAGUCCGAUUUUAUCUAAUUUCGAAUCCAUUAUUUUCAGUUUUAUUGGAGCCAUGACACAUACUUGGCCAAAAUUUUAUUCGAACUCAAAUUCUACGGGACAUAUAUAUCCGAUACGGAAAGAAUAUGAUUUUUAAUAUAAAUAUAAAAAAUAAAAAUUCGACGGAUUUGGAUUCAUGAUGAAUUUUGUCCCAACUGCUAACUCAAAUUGAUUUUACGUUAAAUAAUAUAAACGAAUAUUAACUUGAUAGUGUAUUUUAACUUAUAUUUUGAUAAUUUAGAUUUUAAUAUAGGUUAAAUUAUAGAAAACUCUCCUAUCAAUAUCUGCUUUUUUUUACUUUCCUCCCCGUCAUUCAAAAAUCUAUAUUUUGUUCCCUUAUAAAAUAAAAAAUGUUUACUUUGAUCCCACCGUCAGUGUUCUGAUAGAGUUUAGUUUAUAUCAUAUUUUUUAUACUCAAAAUAUCUCUGAAACCUUCAUCCUUCCGCAUCGACCUCGGUCGCGCCGCCUCGCCUUCCGUCGCCUCGUCCUCGCCCACCUCUCUGUCCAUGCCCACACACACGCCCUUGUCCGCCUCUGCCACCUCACCCUCCUCCUUGCCCAUCUCUCCGUCCACGCCCACCCCGAAAAAAAUGAGGGCAAUUUAAUUAUUUUGUCACAGAAUAUUUCCUGUAAAUAUUUUUUAUUUUAUAAAAGAGUAAAGUGUAGAUUUUUUUAUGAUAUGAGAGGAAAGUGAAAAAAUAGGUAUUGACAGAAAUUUUUUUUAUAAUUUAACUUUAAAUAUAAUAUAUUUUGAAAAAAAUAAUUUUUUCAGAUUCGAAUUUGAAUUUUAGAUUCGAAUUCGGGUUUAAAAAAAAAAUUUGCUUGGAAUCCAACCAAUCGACACACCUACGCUCGGAAGAGCUAAAAAAAACAAAAAGGCUGCAGUGUAUAGUACGUGGCAGCAACGCACCAGGUGCACGCAAGACACAGCACCAGCCACGCAGGACCCGCUCCCUCUCGAAGCAGUCGAACGUUCCCCGUGCACCUUCCGCGGCCCCACCAUGCAACGUGGCGCCCAUGCACGGCCCCCUUUCUCCACGUCGCUUCUCCCCAUCGCGUUAUUAUAACCCCCUCACACACUACUCAUCCCCCCGCACACUACACUACCGUAGAAGAAGAAGAAGAAGAAGAAGAAGAAGAAGAAGGUCCAAUGGUGGCGAAGAAAGCGCUUCUUGGGGCCGCAGUGGUGCUGCUGCUGUGGGCGUUCUGCUCCGCUGCUGCUGCCGGUGGGGAAAAGCGCUUCGCCUCGAGAUUCCGGCCGCUUGUGACGAAGGAGAGCAGGACGAGGGUGGUGGAGACGGAGUCCGGGACGAUCACUGCCGUCGAUGUGCGUGAUGGCUGCGCGGGAGCUUACCAUCUCCAGUUCAUCACCUUGGAGCCCAGCUCACUCUUCCUCCCUGUGCUUCUGCACAGCGACAUGGUGUUCUACGUCCACACAGGUAUUGUGUAAAACGAUUCCUUGAGCACCAUAUAUAGUCGGACUCUACAUGUGUGUACAACUAUUAUGCUUUCGAAAGUAUAAAAGAGUUGUGUUUCUGACUUUUUGAUCCGUGGAUCAAGAAUUAUAGUGUUUCCUAAAAUUUAGUGGUUCUCCUGAAAAAUAAAUUCUAUAUAUAUAUAUAUAUAUAUAUAUAUAUAUAUAUAUAUAUCUAUAUAAAGAGGUAAUUGUAGUGGCGUGUUCCUUUUUUUUUUCCAAGUAAUUUCAUGGGUUGCUGUUCAAUAUUUUAUAUGUAAAUUUUUGUACUUUUCCAUUGUACUUUAGGUAAAAAUUAUAUUUAGAUAAAUGCAUGUGGUGCAGAGUAAGUAACUGAUCAGAACAAAAAUUUAAUGUGGAGAUGUUCUUCAUGCAAUUUGAUGAUGGAAUCAAAUGAUUUUCCUCCUCUUUUUUUUUUGAAAUGUUGAAAGUUUCAUGGUUAUUGAUAUUGUAAUGAUAAAAUUCUCAAUUUGUGGUUGUUUAGGGCGAGGGAGGGUGAGUUAUUUACAAGAAGAUUACAAACAUGGCACCCAAUCCAUUGACGUGAAGCACGGCGAUGUUUAUAGGCUCGAGCAGGGAAGUGUUUUCUAUGUGGAAAGCAACCCUUCUCCGACAAGGGAGAAGCUGAGGAUCCAUGCCGUUUUUAACGCCAUGAACAUCGAAAACACUGCGGUUUGACCUUCUGAUCUGUCUUGAACAUGCAUGCAUGCUUGAUGUUUACAUGUACCUUUGCUUUCCCAAAUUGUUUCCUAGCAUUGAAUUUUUUAAAAAAUUGUGGAACUUAUCUGAACUACGAUGAAUUUUGAAAGAACUAUUUAUCUCUUUUGAUUCAACUAAAUAAUGUUUCAAUGAUUCGAUUAAAAGAAAUAAACGAAGCGGGUAGGUAGCGUGCUACCUUUCUUUAAAAGAAAAAAAGAAAAGAGAUAUGCCAAGUGCAUGGCACAACACUUGAUUGUGUAACCUACAAAGCAUGUUUAAUUCAUGCAGGAGCCAUUUUUUGGAGCUUACUCAAAUAUAUGUGACUUAGUUCGAGGCUUUGAUGAACAAGUCUUGGAGAUGGGUUUUGGGGUAUGUAACAUGCUAGAACGACUCCUCAAACCACAUAAAUUGAUUUUUCAAACAUGUUUAUUUACUGAUAUUAAUUUUGUAUAAUCCCUUGCAUGUUUGAUGAAUAUAUUAGGUUUCGAAAGAAGUCAUACAGGGCAUCAUAUCGGCCGAGAGGCCUCCUUCUAUUGUUCCCUACAGUCAGAAUGAGACGGAGAAGCCGAGUUGGAAGGAAGGGAUAAUUGAAGCUCUCCUCGGAGUUAGAGGUCCGAGAGAUCUCCCGAACAAGAAGAAAACCAAGACAUUCAACUUCUUUUCUGGCAAGCCGGACGUCGAGAACUGUUACGGAUGGAGCACUGCCGUGACCAAUAAAGGCCUUAAAGCUUUGAAGGGCUCAAACCUUGGCGCAUUCAUGGUGAACCUAACAACGGUUAGUCCGCGCAAUCUUAUUACUUUUGUGGCUCAAUACCUGCAGUUAUUUUGCAUAUUAAGUCUAUUUUUGAGUUGUUCUCAAUUAGAUUAAGAUUAAUCAUCGGGGUGAUCGAUAUAGCAUCAUAGCUUUGUAUUAGAGUUUACUAGAGUUUGAGUUCACACACAUACAUUAAACCCUUAAACCUAAACUCUCGAAUUAACAGGGAAAAAUUAAUUUCAUUUGAAUUUUCUUGUGCUAAAACUUACGAGGCAUUCACAAUUUUAGGGUGCUAUGAUGGGGCCUCAUUGGAAUCCUAAGGCGACGGAGAUUGCUAUAGUGAUCCACGGGCACGGAAUGGUGCAAGUUGUUUGCCCUUCAAACCCAUCUGGUCAGAGUAACAAGUCUUGCGAGUGUAAGAACACAGCCUUUAGGGUGAAAGAAGGGGAUGUGUUCAUUGUGCCGAGGUUCCAUCCCAUGACUCAGAUAUCCUUCAACAAUGAUUCAUUCGUCUUCGUGGGUUUCAGCACCAACGUAGGGCAGAACCAUCCGCAGUUCUUGGCGGGGAAGAGGUCGGCUCUUCAAGUCAUCAACAAGGAGAUCUUGGCAAUGUCGUUCAAUGCUCCGAAUUCGACCUUAGUCGAGGAGCUACUGGCUUCUCAGCGUGAGUCCAUCAUUUUGAGUUGUACGUCGUGCGCGGAGGAUUUGGCGAAGCGAACGGAAUCGGAGGAGGCGAGGGAGAGGGAGGAAGAGGAGGCUAGGAAGCGCAAGGAAGAGGAGGCGAGGAAGCGAGAGGAAGAGGAGGCGAGGAAGCGCGAGGAAGAGGAGGCUAGGAGGAGAGAGGAAGAGGAGGCGAGGAAGCGCGAGGAAGAGGAGGCUAGGAGGAGAGAGGAAGAAGCAGCUCGACGAAGAGAGGAGGAAGAGGAGGCAAAGAGGAGGGAGGAAGAGGAGGCGAAGAGGCGGGAGGAGGAAGAAGCACGGCGGAGGGAGGAAGAGGAGGCGGCGAGGAGGAGAGAGGAGGAAGAGGAGGAGGCGCGAGGAAGGGAAGAGGGGCAAAGUGAGAGGGAGAGAGAGGGCGAAGAAGAACCUCGUCGACGGAGGCGAGAGGAAGAGGAAGGAGGAGGUGGAGAAGCUCCAUGGGAGGAGGGAGGGGAGGGGGAAGUGGUGAGACGCAGCAAAGUUGCAGCAAAGAAACUGUACAAGGGUUGAGCAGUAAAAAGCGUUUGCUGGAACGAGAAUAAUGGCUUUUCUAAUAUGUUCUUGGGGGCCAACUUUGUGAAAAAUUUGUGGCUUUUGUUCUUGUCUGAGUUGUUCGAGUAUUUUUGUGGUUUUUGUUCUACUUUAUGUUGAGUACUUUUUACGUUGGAGUUUAAAAUUUACUAGUGUACUAGUUUUGUUGUUUGAGCAAUAGAUUUCAUGCAUAGUAGUUGUUAGAUUAAAGUUACUGAAGUACUGCUAUUAAAAAAAAAAAAAAAAAAAAAACCCGAUAAAAGGGUUAUGAAAAUAUUGAUAUAUUCUUUUUUUACGUGUACGUAUUUUUAGCUUGGCACAAUUAAACAUAGUUUUGGGGAGAAAUAUAAGAGUGGUGCAGCCCCAAUAAAUAAAUAUAGAUGGAAAAACCACUUGGAAAAUUCUCAAAACUAAAUAGAGAUGUAAAAUAUUAGAGAAAGAAUAAGAAAAGUGAUAUUUUUUAUUAAGAGUCCGAUUUAUAAUGAAAAUUAUUAUAAAAGUCCUAUUUAUGAAGGCCUAAGUUUUACUCUGUCUCGCAUGGACUAAAUUCUAAAAUCUAAAAUGUUACUCCGAUUUUAGGAGCCCGUUCUCUCAUUGUACGGAAAACCAGUCCUACAAUAUCAUCAUCUCUGAAAAAAAAAAAAUAUCAAAAAUAUAUAUUAAAUUUGAUUAUAAGACAAUUUUAAUUCUUACGUCAAAAUUUUUAUAAAUAUAAAGUCAAAUUUUGACUAUGAUUUUGAAAGCUUAAAUGAACUCAAAAACCUCUUGAAAUUUGUAUAGAACUUGGUUCAUACUAAGCAUAAGACAAUUUUAAUUUUUACGCUAAACUUUUUAUAAAUAGAAAGUCAAACUUUGGUUGAGCGAACUCAAAACCUCUUGAAAUUCGUAUAGAACUUGGGUUAGAACUUUUUUAUAAACAGAAGUAUCUUUCUCAUUCUUGUCUUUGAUGAUGAGAAUUCUUUUUGCUCAUGUAAUUAAAUGGGUUUGAAGAUGGGCCAAAUUUCAUUUCUGGCCCGUUUACUUGUAGGCCCACCCUUCGUAAACCCACUAGUUGUCAAGGUCCAAAUUUUUUUUUUUUUUUUUUUUUUUUUUUUGGAGAGAGAUAGGUAGCACACUACCCGCUUCGUUUAUUUCAUUUAGAAAUAAACUUAGGUAGAAAUGUGAAUCAACUAGGAUUCGAACUUGGGUCUCGGGUACCAACCAUUAAGCCUUUUGCCACUUGCUCUAGGGACGGUCAGUAAGGUCUAAAAUAAUUGUUCUAUGUUUUAAUUCAACAAAUACAGUUUCUAGUUUGCAUGGAAUUAAUAAUCUCAUAAAGCUGGAAUUGAAAAAUUAUUGGGGCUUCUUGUAUGGUCAAGUUUGACUUUUGGAAUAGAGUAAAACCAGUUAAUUAAUUCCUCAUCGCUUUGCCUACACAAGAUUCUGAUGUUAAAAACAAAAUAAAAAUAAAAAAUAAAAGAAAAUAAAAGAAAAGAAGAAGAAACUUCUAAGCAACUUGUCUCGGUAGUUCUUAUACAAAAAAAUAAAUUUCCACUGCCAAAAAAUUAAUAUUUAAGUAUGCUUUUUUUAUAUACCUAAUGGUGCUUAAAAGCAUCCCAAUAUAAUUUAGCGUCAUAUUUGAAAGUUUUCAUUUAAGGGCAUGCAAAUAAAGAGUCGCCAUGUAUAUAAUGACACUUCAAAGUGUUGGUAAAAUAUAAUAAAACUUAUCAUUUAAUAAUUUGGCUUGAAAUGAUAGAGGGUUUAUUUGAUGACGUUUUUUGAAGCGUCAUUAUUUGUUAUAUUGUAGGGAUGCUUCUCCCAACUGUCGUCUAAAAAUGUCUUUAUAUUGAAAUUUUUUUGUAGUGUUCAAAACAAAAGUUUAAAGAAAUGUCACUUAAAAUGAUAGGUGUGGGAUAGUUGCUAGUUUAACAGUGUAAAAGAAUCGGAAUCGGUUGAAUUUUUUAUUAAAAUAUUUUAUUUACUAUAUAGAUAAAAUUCAAUAACUAUAAUUUUAAAUUGAAAAAUCUGAUUCUGUUUUUGGUUGUUCAAUUUUGAUUGUUCAUUUUAUAUCACUUGAUGAAUUUUUUUAUAAUUUCAAAAAAGUUUGAAAUUCAUUUUUAGAUAUUUUAAAUUCUUUAUAUCAUAUUUAACGUUAUAAAUCAUUGAUUCGAAAAUUAAUUCUAUCAUUCAAUGGUUAGAAAUAAUGAAAAGAGUUGAUCCAAAGGCUAAAAAACUGGUAGCAAUAAUGGCAUUUUGCUACUAAUAGUAGCCCAGUCCAACUCAUAUAGAAUUAGACUGGAAUACUAUUAAUAGUAAAACUCUCUUCUUGCUAUCAAGUUUUUAACCCUUGGAUGACAAAUUGUAGGGUUAGGAUGAUAUUAGUCAGUUAGAGUUGAGUGGUCCCCCUAGGGUUGAGUGGUCCCCACUGGGUUAUAGUAUUUAAUCCAAUGGUUAGAAAUAAUGAAAAGAGUUGAUCCAAAGGCUAAAAAACUGGUAGCAAUAAUGGGAUUUUGCUACUAAUAGUAGCCCAGUCCAACUCAUAUAGAAUUAGACUGGAAUACUAUUAAUAGUAAAACUCUCUUCUUGCUAUCAAGUUUUUAACUCUUGGAUGAAAAAUUGUAGGGUUAGGAUGAUAUUAGUCAGUUAGAGUUGAGUGGUCCCCCUAGGGUUGAGUGGUCCCCACUGGAUUAUAGUAUUUAAUCCAAUGGUUAGAAAUAAUGAAAAGAGUUGAUCCAAAGGCUAAAAAACUGGUAGCAAUAAUAAAAUUUUGCUAGUAAUAGUAGCCCAGUCCAACUCUAACUGACUAAUAUCAUCCUAACCCUACAAUUUUUCAUCCAAGGAUUAAAAACUUGAUAGCAAAAAGAGAGUUUUACUAUUAAUAGUAUUCCAGUCUAAUUAUAUAUAUAAAGUUGGGACUCUUAUCUACCAAAUGGGUAGCUGUUGCUUCUACAAGUGAAUAAGCUAUUAAUGCAGGAAAGCCAUAAAGCACAGAAACCUGCAUAAGUGAUAAGGUUUUGAGAAAUUUGACCCUAUUUAAUGACUGAAUAUGAAAGAAUUAAUAAAUAUAUAAAAGUUAUUAGAUACCUUGUUUGCGAAUUCUUGAUUUAUUUAGCAAAUUGUUUAUAUCACUAACUUCAUGUACAUUAAUCAUAUAGUUUAAGUAGUUGAGUUUUAUACUACUAUGUAUUUGUUUCCUCCUUUACAUUAAGAAAGAAUUAGAAAUAUGUUUAUAUACCAAUUUUGAAAGCUAUAAAGCAUCUAAAGGUGAAAAUUUUCUACUUUUAAUGUAAUUUGAAGGGAAAGCUUGAUAGAUUUUUUAAAUUAAUUUUUCAAAAAAAUUAUUUUUUAUUUGAAUUAUAUAUUUUUGCUAGAAUAGAUUUACGCGAAUUACAUGAGAUACUCAAAUCAAUUUUUGAGGAGCAAAGUCUAAAUUCUGUUUCACAAGAGGCAUUUGCAACUCAAAUUAAAUGGAAAGAUAAGAUAGUAAAAUUAAAACUUCUAAAUAAAUGAGAAUUAAUUCCGUAUGGUUUUAUCUAAUUGUAUUUCAAAUUUUAUUAUCAUGAUAAGCUUAGCAACAAACUUUGUGCAACAGAGAUUAAUUUACAGCUAUUAAAAGAAGCGUCUCAGAAAUAUUAUUUGAGUAGAGCAACUUCCCAACUUAUGAAGCCACUAGAAGAAGAUUCCCGAAAACGCUUGGAGCUUCUUCGAAAUAUUUUAUCAUAAAAUAAUUUUUAUUUCAUUUUAUUUUAAUUUUCAAGUAUAAUUUAAGACUUUUUGUUUCUCUGUAAACCAAUCGCUAAGAAUUGUAAAAUUUGUAAAGAAUUUUUUUGUCCGAAAACAAUUAGAAUUAAUGCGUCCUUAUGAUACAGUUAAUGUUUUUGUUUGUAUAUUAUAUUAGAGGAUAUAUUGAUUGGUCUAUAUACGCAAUCCGCGGUGCUGAGUAGAAUUGUUAAUAUGUCAACAAUCACUAAAACAUAAUUUUUGUAGAUGGAACAUGGAGCUCCAAACACGCCUUUGUGGGAAAGGCAGUGUAAUUUUUAGUACUCUUUAAAUAUAUGGUCUUGUGAAAACUAGUUUUAUUUCAUUUACUAUACUAGAUCGAUUUUUUAGGUAAUAUUAUAUCACAAUCAACAAUCAAUUCUAAAUAUCUUAUGUUUGAAAAUAUUAAUAAUACCAAGUACAUGAUAUUAUAAGAUUUUCGACCCUAAUAAGAUGAAUGAAUGUGUGAUUAGGAUGAUAGUAAUUUUCUAAGGAUGAGUGGGUGGAUGGUUCGUUGAAUAGUAUAAAUGGAUGAAAUGAUUAAAUUAAAGAGUAGAUCUAACGGUGAAAAAUUCGAUAGCACUAAGUAUUUAAUACUAUCGAUAUUAUUAUAGUCGGACUCUUUCUCUCUCUAUAUAUUUAUAUAUGCAGUACCAUAGCUCUAUUACUAUAGUCAAAAAAAAAAAAAAAAAAAAAAAAAAAAAAAAAAAAAAAAAAAAAAGCAGCAUGCUCAUAAAGCGACUAAUUCUGAACCAUUUUCUAUAAUUUCAUUCCACCGCUUAAAUCGUCGACACAAUCGGACGGCGGAGAGCGGAUGAUCAUCCACCGUUCAUGGGUCUAUCAUCGUGGCAUUCAGUGCCUCGCACGGCAUUCCGUAACGCCCCUGCAUUUCCCACCCCUUCAUUAUUAACUCGUCUUAUCUACACCUCAUUAAAUAAGCUCGAGAAAUCAAACACACGGCCCCACUAUUUAAUGCUCCUUGCUCGAAUUUUAGAGGUGAAAAUAUGUGAACACCCCCUCAACUAUACGUUAUUCGGAAUCAAACUCCUCAACUCUUUAAGUUUUUAACUGAUAUUUAAUGCAUGGUUGUAAUUUAUCUAAUUAAAAUUUCUUAGAAAUUAACUUAAACAACUAAAUAAAAUAUAAUGAUUAAUCGAUUUGAUAGAAUUUUAUAAUUCAAAGGACUGUUUGAGAGUGUUCGAUAGUUGAGAGGGUCUCCGUACAUUUGUGCCUUAUUCAUUUAUGUAAGUGUAAAGGUAAAUUAAUCAAUGCGUUCAUUUUUGGUUUUGGCUCCUUUGACCAGUGGUCUACGCAGAGAGGGGCUUAAUUAAUUAAUUUACUGCAAUGAGUUUUGCAUGGAUAGCGUGGAUCCUGCCACGUGGCAGCGUGUCGCCACUGCUUCCAACAUGACGUGUCCGGGCCCACAGGGGUUAGAUGUGGGUCCCAUGUGUAUUAAAUGGCCAUUUCUCCUUUUAUUUUAUUUUAUUUUAUUUUUUUUUAGCUUUUAUCAGAUGGGUUGUUGCAAAUUUAAUUAAACAGUGAAAAAAACAAUAUUUUAUGUGGUUGACAAAUUAUGGAAUAAUAUGCAUUACACUUAUUAUUAUUAUACCAUAUAAUCAAUAAUAAGUUAAUUAUAUUUUUUAUUUUGAAUAAAAAAUAUAAUAAAAAUAAUUUUCUAUUAAUCAUUAUAGAAUGAGUAAAUUCAAAAAAAUUGUAAUUUGUUGAGGACGCUAUAUCAGCAAUAUAAAUAAUGUAUUCUAAAUUUUUUUCAGAUUGAUUCGGUAAUAAAACGGAAAUAACGAAACGUUAUCUCCACCAUUCUACCAAAUAAAAUAUUUUUGUACCAAAAUAAAUAUUUUUUAAAUUUUGUUAUUUUUAAUUAUUUCAGAAUAAUUUGAAGUAUCCUAUUCCACCCUUCCACCCUUUUAAUAUAAUAUAAUAAUAUAAUAAUAUUAUUCUAAGCUUAAUUAUUAAAGAUUAUAAAAUUGUUAUUAAAAUUAAAUUAUGUAGACGUCACAUGUUACAUAUUUUAAUAAAUUUUGUUUUUAUUAUAAAAAUUAUUAUUAUAUAUUAUUUGUAUUUAAAUAUUAUAAUAAAUUAUAUUUAAAUAUUAUAAUAGACAAUUUUUAGUCAAUUUAAGUUUAGGUAGAAUUUUUAAAAAUAGUACUAUAUUUCAAAUGCGAUUUAUUUUUAUAUCAAAUUUAUUGUGAAAUAUUAAUUAUAUUUUAUAUCAAGUUCUAUUAUUAUUUUUUUCACUACUCUCUACUAUUCAAUAAAAUUAACCAAACGUAAUUUUAAUUAUCCUAAAUACAACAAUAUUACAUGCCAAGUAUAAUUUUACUUUAUUCCUAAUUAUUCAAAAAUAGUAAACUACUAUUCAUCAUCCCUUAAUCAAACUGUGUCUAAUGGUAUUAACCUCAGGUUGAAUAGAAAUUAGAAGUUCUAAUCAGUAUAUAAUGUUAGCAGUUUCUUCGUCUAAUUUCAUGAUUAACUUUUCAAUUAUUUUAAUUAUUAUUGCUUUUAUACCUUUGGAAAGUUUCAAACUUUCUUAUUACCUCUUUUAGAAAGUUAAUACAAAAAAUAUUCUGUUAACAUUCAAAACUCUUUCAAAUAUAUUUUUGUAUUUAAAUUCUAUUAGGUAACCAAUAGAAACAGCCGCCAUCUCUAUGAAUAAUUAUCAUUUUGCAAUAUCAAAUAAUCCUUCUACUGUCACUAGCUUUUUUUAUUUGUUCUCAAGUUAGAGACAAAGGAGGUAUUUUGACUUCUAUUUUACACUAGUAGAAUUUAGGAAAAACUUCGAAAAACCCUCCUGUGGUUUCACACUUUUUUAUUUUAGUACCCUGUGAUUUAAAGUGUAUCAAGUUAGUACCCUGUGGUUUAUCAUUUUAUCACUUUAGUAUACUGUGGUUUAAAAUGUAUUAAGUCAGUACCCUUUGGUUUUUCACUUCAUCACUUUAGUACCCUAUGGUUUCACACGUUAUCACUGUAGUAGCCUGUAAUUUAACAGACCACAGGGUACUAACUCAAUACAAAAUUAAAACCACAGGGUACUAAAGUGAUAACGUGCAAAACUACAGGGUACUAACUUGAUACACUUUAAACCACAGGGUACUAAAGUGAUAAAGUGAGAAACCACAUGGUACUAACUUGAUACAUUUUAAAUCAUAGGGUACUAAAGUGAAAAAAAUUGAAACCACAAGGGGAGUUUUUGAAGUUUUCUCUAGAAUUUAAUACAAGUUUAGUCCGCAACGAAUUAAAGAGUACUAAUAGCUGGAUUAUUUUUGAAUAACGGAAAAAUAUACAAGGACUAUAUUUGAAACAAUAUAUAUAUAGACAUAGGCUGGAAUACUGUCAAUAGCACCAAGCUAUUGGUGCUAUUAGAUUUUCAACCCUUGCAUGAAAAAAAUAUACGGUUAAGAUGAUGUGGGCCUUCUAGAGUUGAGUGAGUUAUUGGUUUAAUAGUAUAAUCUAACGGGUGAAAAUAGUUAAAGAGUUAAAUCUUACGGUAGAAAACUUGACAGGACCAAACGAUUGGUGCUAUCGAUAGUAUUCCAGCCGGAUUCUAUAUAUAUAUAUAUAUAUAUAAUUUUUCAAAAAUUUUAAGGGGUAUAUAAGUAACUAUCCCUUAAUUUUAAUAUGGUACCUGACUUGCAUCUCCCUUUAUAGCAGUUUCUUUCAAUUUAGCUCUAUUUUAAUGUAGUCUUUAUUUGGUUCUCAUCCGAUUUAAUAUUGAUCUGAUUUUGUUCUGUUCUUGUGCAAACCACACUGAAUCCCUAUACUAGUAGGGACCUGCAAAUGUUAUGUUGUAUGAGGAAUUUACCUUAACUAUAUAUUAACUCUAACUUUUGAAUUAGAUCAGAAGCUUUAACAAUUAUAGUUAUUAUUUGCUUUGUGAAUUAUAUUGCUCUGCCUUGUGAAUUAGAUCAAUUAGUCAAUUAAAAUCUUUAAAAGCCAAUUUUUCUAUUUCUGCAACGGUUCUUUGAAGACUACAUAUUUAGAUGGGAUGCUCGUUAACUUUAUAGUAUCAGAAUUGAAGAUUCUAAAUUUGAAUCUCGCAAAGGCAGAUAUGAUGGAGAAUGUUAAAUAUAAAAAUAUAACAAAUAUCAUUCUCUAUUAUCUUAAAUUUUGAAGAACAACGAUUGUUUCUUAUAAUUUCAUACUUGUGAGAUGUUAUACUUAGUGAUUGCUUUUGUCUUUAGUUUCUCUAAAGUGUUUUUUUUUAAGAAAACUUCAAAAACCUCCUUUGUGGUUUCACUCUUUCUCAUUUUAGUACGCUAUGGUUUAAAGUGUAUCAAGUUAGUAUCUUGUGGUUUUGCACUUUCUCACUUUAGUACACUGUGGUUUACAGUGUAUCAAGUUAGUACCCUGUAGUUUUGCACUUUCUCACUUUAGUACCUUGUGGUUUAAUAUUUUAUUAAGAGAAAAAUAAAACCACAGGGUAUUGACUUGAUACAAAAAUAAAACCACAGGAUACUAACUUGAUACAAAAAUAAAACCACAGAGUACUGACUUGAUACACUUUAAACCACAUAGUACUAAAAUGAGAAAGUGCAAAACCACAGGAUACUAACUUGAUACACUUUAAACCAUAGGGUACUAAAAUGAAAAAGUGCGAAACUACAUUGGGUUUUUUGAUGUUUUCCCUUUUUUUUUUUAUUUCUUUCAUGUUUAUGAGCUAGAUUAUUUUAUAAACUUUAGAUUUGCGUUCGAUUUUUAUACUUUCUCCUUUUCUUUUUUUUUUCUAAUCUAAUUAGAUUAAUAAACCAUGUAUUAUAUUUGUCCUUUAAGUUUUGAUGUUUUAUUUGUUUUUACUUUUUUAUAUCUUAAUGGGUUUGCUUUGUAAGCAAUUACUCCUCUAUUUAUACAUAACAGGAGUGCUCUAUUUUUUACAGAUCCUAAGUGCAGAGUUUAGAUGACUAAUAUAGGGGUGGCUAUUAUUACAACAAUAUCAUUUGAAUUAACACUAUUAUUUAUGAGGACUUAAUUAAUUAUAGCUAUAUCUCGCAAUGUUUACAAAAUUAAACCAAACUGGCCGAUCUGAUUGAGUUAAAUAAUCGAGAAAUAUGAAAUUAAUUCCUCCUAGUCUAUAUCACUACAACAAAAAUGGCGCAAAGCGACACUUUUAAAUAUCGGUACAGUUCAAAAAAGUACUGCUGGCUAAAUUACCGAUACUUUUUAAAAGUGUUGUUAUACGUGGGAUCGCUAUAGAUAAGACCGACUUGAUAUUUGGCACCCACUCCUCCAACGACUUGUAGCAGAGGGAUACGUGACGAUCGUAGUCUUCUAUGGUCCCUACGAGAUCCUCGCGGCCAAACUUCAGCCGUCGGAACCCUACCUCGUUGGCUGUGACGGCGGCGGCUCGAGGAGAAGGGGAGAUUGUGAUUUUUUGUUUUUUCUUUUUUAUUUGUUACCGGGUCGAGUAGGUUGAGUAUGGUUGGUUGCGUAGAGAAACUUUUGUUUUUGAUUGGAUUGAGUUUUAUAUUUAGGCAUUAGUAGAUUUUUAAAAAAAGUUUUGGUAUAAAUAAGACACUUAUAUAAAAGUGUCUUAAAAAUGUGUCUCUAUAAUCUAAUUCUGUUAUUGUAUGUAAAAUAUAUAUCUGUCUUUUUUCAUCAAAUCGAUAUUUUGAAUAAUAUAAUAUCAAAUUCUAUCGAAAGCUUCAUCAUAUUCGGAUGUUAUAUGUUGGAUUCCUUCUUUCUGAAGGGUUAAAUUUCACAUUUUUACACUAGUGGUCACAAAACAUUUCGUGGAGGGUUUUUUUUUUUUUUUUUUUUUUUUUUUUUUUUUUUUUUUUUUUUCAGGGUAUUGAACUUUAAUUACUUGAUGUUGAGUUACUGAGCUUUAACUUGUUAAAUUGAGCUCCUAAGAUUACUAACUAUCAAAUCAUCUAUAAAUUUAGCAAAAUUUGGCACAGCUUACAGUCAAGUGAUCUAAUCGUUAUAAAUUGAAGUUCAGCUUUCUAAAUGAAACUCCAAAAAAAAUUCAGUGACAUGGAAAUAUAACAAAAUAAAAAUCAAGAGAAAGAUAGUACGCUAUACGUUUAAUUCAUGUAGAAAAUGAAUUCAGCUAUAGGCGUUAAGGUAACUCGGUAUCAAAAAAGUUAAUAAGCAACCGCACCAAAAAAUAAAAAUAAAAAUAAAAAUAAAAAUAGAAUAAUGAAAAAGGAGUUUACUUAGAGCCACAAAAUUCAGCACAUGCAUUCCCUUUCAUAAUCUCACGUUUGUCUAACAAAGAUAAGUAGACGACCUUGAUGAGAUCUUUCGCUGAUUUUCUUUGGGAGCAUUGUUAAUAAUUUUAGUUUCUUGAUACUAAGAUCUAACAAUAUAAUUUUUUAUUUACAUUGUUAACAAUUUUAACUUCUUGAUCAUAAGAUCUAAUGAUAUAAUUUUUCAUUUACAUUGUAAGCAAUUAAUCAUCUAAGCCAAAUUAUAUACUUAACAAGACAAAGGCUCAUCUGACUAUCGAAAUAAAUUAUCUAAUGAUUCCUUAUUCCGUAUUAAAAUUUUCUUUACGAUUGAUAGUAAUGAGUUUGAUUUUUUCUCGUUGAAAGAUCUUAGCAUCCAUUACUUGAUAAGAUAGUGCAAGAAGAUUUAUCUUAUUCCAAAAACAUAACUUAUAAUAUUGCAUUUCAUAUAUCUGAUCAUACUUCUUUUCUAGAAAAUAAGUAAGUUUAUUAAAUAAAUUAAUGAGAUUAUUGAAUAAGAUAUUUUCGUCUCCAAAUAUAAGAAAAUUUUAAAAAAAAUAAAAAUGAGAGAGAGAUAAUAUCCAAAAUUAUUAGUGUAGGUCCCAACAUUUUUUUUUCUCCAUUAAACCCUAUCAACCAACCGACCAUAAAUUCAUGGAUCAAUGUAGUACAACAUCACCAAGAAAAGAAAGAAGGGGGAGAGAACUAUAUAUUCUCUCCUUUCAUUAAUUAUCUUUGGGACAAUUUUUUCUUAUUUAGGAUAAGUGUACGUAGUUCGUAACUAAAAUCACGUUUUAAAUGAGUUAUAAUUAAAAUUAAAAUGAUUAAUUAAUUCUAUUUAUUUAUUUGGGUCAUAAUCAGAAUCCAAAUCGAAAUGAAUGAUUCGAUGACGUGAACUAUAUCUUAUAGUGAGGCUUACUCCCUAUUGAAAUGGGAUUCAUAGUAAGAGAUUACGGCAAAGUUCAAUACAAAUUUCUAAAUUUUAAUGUAGUUCUCAAAUUUUUAAAUUCAACAUUCAAGAUUCUUAACUUUUAACAAAAUUUUACUUAGAGUCACUAAACUUUGAAUAAUUACAUUAACAUGUAGAUGCUCUUGAUGUAGUCAACAUUUAUCCAUUAAUAACAGGCAAACUUCAAUUUGUUCCCCUGCGGUUUAGUGGAUUUUCACUUAAUUUGCUACCCUGGUUCAAAAAAUUAUUCUUUAUUCUAUAAUUUUAUUUUUAUUUAUAAAAAAAAAAAACAAACCUGCCGCAAAUAGAAUAGUAAAGUAAAUUUUUUGAAAACCGUAAAGUGAUAACUUAUUUAACCAUAGAUUUUUAUAGUAAAAUAAAAAUUAAAAUACAUAAUACUUUAAACUUUUUGAGCUGUAAGGUGGUAAGCAAAAACACACCAAAUCAUAGGAUAAUUAAGUAUAAUUUUUUACACUAUAGAACGACAAAAUAAAAAUAUAUUAAAACGCAAUAAUUUAAAUAGAUCGAAGUGGAACUGGGCGCAGGAAUACUUCUAAAAGUACCAAGGUUCUGAUACUUAUAAAUUUUUUGACUGAUCAAAAGUCAAUAAUGAUGAUUACAUAUGAGGCUCACCAUAAUGCAGGAUCUGAAAAUCUCUAUGAUUGAUUCAAUGAUCAAAACGACUAUAGUAUCAAUAUUUUGAUACUUCUAAAAGCAUAUUAGCAGGACUCAGACUAAAGUAAAAUAUUUUUACAGACUUAAAAUAUGUAAUAUUGAAUUAAAAAGCAUAAGGAACAAAAUAGAACUUUGCCGAAAGUUUAGAAACUAGUGGUGCAAUAUUUCCCCAAAAAAGAUUCUAUCCUACCAAAAUGGUACGAAUUGGAGACAAUUAUCCUUUGUCCCUUUCAAGUCCCAAACUUUCCCAAACUGUAUAGAUCAGUUCCGUGAGUUCCUUGUGGAUUUCUACAAAUGAAAAGAGACUUUUGAUACCCACAAAAAAAAAAAUUCCUCAGUUGCUUAACAACUCUACAAUGCAAUGUCGUUUUGCUUUAAAUUUGUGAUCCUUAUUGAAAGGAAGAGUCAAAGGAUGGCCUUUCCAAGUCCAAUGUGAAUUGGCUUUUUUGUUUUUUGUUUUUAGUUUUUUUUUUUUUUCCAAAGUGGGAAGAUUUUUCAGUUGAAUAUUCAUAUUAACAUAUAUUCCUAGAUCAGUAUUAAACCGAUAUUUCACGUAUACCAUGAUAUUAAGCCAAUGAUAAACAUCUGAGAUCGUAAGUUUGAUACCUGUGCACAUCUGUUAUUUAGGAUAUAUUUGUUUUACCGAAAGUAGAGAGAAAUGAAGUGGUAUUUGAUUAUAAAUGCCAACUUCGGUUGCUUGGUUCUCUGUAGUUUCACUUUUGAUUGAAAUUGAAACUCUUGGUAAUAUUGUUAGUGACUUUGAUCUAACCUAGGUUCAAAUCGAUUGCUGAAAAAUGUGAGAAAAUUAAUAAAAUAUUAAUUCAUCUCUCACACAUUCAGUUUUUAUAUCGUUUACUUUCUAUCAAACAAACAAUAGAACUAGAAAAAUUUUAGCUCCUCAACAUUACAAACAAACGGUGAAAAAUGUAUAUUUGUUGGGUUAAAGUAGAGCUCAGAUAAAAAUUAUUUUUUUUCCAUUGUUUGUUUUCAUAACUAUGCAAGUGAAGUUUCUCAAAUUACGAUACUUGUUUGGCAAACAAUAAAUGGCCUAAAAAGUAUAAUUUAUAUAUAAAUAAUUAAUAACUUGAUAAUAAUAAAUUAUAAUAUAAUAAUUAAAAAAUAAUAUAAUUGUACUUCUAUAAAAUAAAAAAUAUAAUAUAAAACAACUAAAUUAAUUUUUGUAUACAUGGCUCAUCAUAAUCAUAAUAAAACAAUAAAAUCAUAGAGUAAAAGAAAUAUUAAUACCCAACUAAUCAAUCUUUACCGUAUUUAAUUUAAAUGAAGUAAAUGAAAGAAAUACUAAAAUUUAAUUAAUCAUUUUCUAUCACAUUUUAAACAUAAGAGAGUAAUUAGUGUCACAAUCAAACAUACUUAAAUAUAGCUAGUAUUACUGAUGGUCUUAUUAUUAUUAUUAUUAUUAUUUUCAUUUGAGUUUCCACUGUUUCUUUAUUAUGACGAACCAAAUAGCAGAAGUCGUCAUUUACGGCCGAAAAUAAUUUUACCCUCUCUACUUUCAUCCAAAUAAAUAGGCCCUUAUAUAAACUCAGGUUUAUUUGAAAGUCUACUUCAAUUUAAACCUCAUUUUUAAUAAAAUAAAAAAGUAUUUAAUAGGCUAAUCAUUCUAUUUGGCACGACUUGGUUGAGUGGCUUAUGAUUCCAUCUAAAUUUUAAGGAAACGACUCUAAUACAAUACCGAACUACAAUUCAAUCACUCAAUUGAUUACCGCAAACAACAUGAACAUAAAUAAGCAGGUACAAAAGAGACUUUUGAGAAACACUUGAUACACUUCUCAAUGUGUUUUUUUUUUUUUUUUUUUUUUUUUUUUUUUUUUUUUUUUGAGGUUUAUACAUUCUCUAUGCUAAAAAGGUAACAUGUAAUAGGAAUCCCUCUAUAUUUAGUCAAGUAUCAUGUUUUGCCCUCCAAUUUGAGUUGAAUAAUCAAACUUUCAAAAUGUUCAAUUUUUAAAGCUUGAAAUUGCAAAUGCCAAAUCCAAAAGUACUUUUGGGAUCAGAGUAAAAUUUGACCAAAAGUUUGGAGGAUAGAGGUGGAAUUUAUUCUUUACUAUCCGUUGACAUCUAAUUUUAACGCCAAGAUAUAGAUGAGCUCAAGAGAGAGGCAUAUAUAUAGGGGAAAAAAAGGGCGCCGAAAUAGGCUUCAGUGCAAGAUAUAAGCCUCGAAGGCUAUAUCGAAGGAGGCUUUGGUACCCAGCACGAGCUUCUCAAUCUUUUAAAAUUUUAAUUUUACUAUUCAAUCUUUCAAUUUGUUUGAUUUGAACUAAGCAACGGAAUUUCAAAAAAAUUGGACGGUAAAAUUAAAAUUUAAAAAGCUGAUAGUCAAGUCAAAAUAGUCUAUAUAUCAAGAAAUCUUUGUUUAUUUUUAUUUUUAUUUUGAGAACCCUAGCUAUUUUGUAAGAGUUAAAAAUGUGAAAAGGAAAAUGAUCAAUAACAGGGCAGUUUGCGGCCCUGCCGAAGAGAGCUAUAAGUGAACUCUAAUUCACAGGACGUCCGAUUCCGUAUAGAUCCUUAAAAAAAAAAAAAAAGGAUUAAUUUUAUACAGUUUUAUAUAAACAUUUCGAAUAAUAAAUAUAUUUUAAUAAAAUUUAAUUUUUCAUAUUUAUUCAUAUAAAAGUUCAGUGAUAUUCAUAUUUAUUCUUUUAAUUUGGUAGAGCACGGUUUUUUUUUUAAUAAAAAAAUAUAUAAAAUGAUAUUUUUGUCAUCAUAAAUAUAUCCUUUCAAAAAUCUUAACUGUUAGAAUUAUACAGAGAUAUCAUUUCCAAAAUUUUCAAACGAUCAUUUUUUUUUUUGUACCAUCACAAAUAAUAUAAGAGGGAUAGAAAAGUCAAUUAUCCUAUUCAUUAGCUAGAGUUAAGUAUUUUAUCUAUGAUUAACUAUAUUUUUCUAACGGAUUAUAACAGCAGGAAUAUAUUUGAAAACAUUAGACCUUUUGUAGAGAUAAAUAUGAAAAUUUAAAUUUUGUAAGAAUGUAUCUACUAUUCGAUAUAUUAAUAAAUUAAAAUUUUUGCCAAAUUAAUUAAUGAUUUUAUCAAUUUGAAUAAUUUAAACUGUUUUGUAAUAAAUAAAAUUACCUCCAUUAAAUAUUGUUACAAGAAAAUUUUAAAAGUCAAAGAAAUGUCAAUAAAAAAAAAAAAUCAAAAUUCAGGGGCCUAAUACACAAUAGCAAAUUGGUUGAGGGGGUCUCUGUGCACUUUUGACCAAACAACAACAGCAAUGGGUCAACAACAUCAAUAGGUCAUUAAUACAUUGUCACAUAGUGGAUCGAAAACUCAAAUCAUAUAAAUGCGAAAAAAUAUAUAUAUAUAUAUAAAAUAUAUAAUGAACGAAAUGAGCCGGCCCCAGAUAAAACACUGUAUUUACCUGUUCACCGAACUAUAUAUACUACAUUAUUAUUUAAUGUAAUAAAAAGAGCCUAUAUAAGAUUACAAAACAACAAGGAUUAAAAGGUAAAAAAAGGAAAACAACCGAAAAAAAGAGAGAAAAUUAAACAAAAGCUAGCUAGAAAUGAACGAGUCUAUCCUCUGCCCUUUACCUUCCUACAAACAAAAUGCAAAAGCUUUGCAAGAAACAUGAAAAAAGAGCCAAAAAUGAAACAAAAUUAAAAGAAACAUGGAGCUAUGUUCGCGUCUGCAUCUUCUUCUUCUUCUUCUUCUGCUACUAAUAAACCCUCACCGCCGCGAACUCCGUGGCCGCGCCAAAACUAAGCUCACCGGACUCCGCCCGAAUCGGCGAAAAGGGCCACUACAGCAUUGCCGGGCUAUUGGACUUGCGCUCCGCCGCGCCCUCCCACGGCUUGCCACCGUAAGGCGCGGCGGCGUUCGAGCGCUGCACUCCGCCGGCCCCCAUAUCGAGCCCGCCGCCAAUUGAGGUGAUGAGUGCAGAGAGACCGCCUGCGGUGGCGGCGGAACCGCCGAUCGGUCCCAUCGCCAAUCCGAGCAGAUCCAGCGUCGUCGGCUUCGGCCCCACCAGCGGGGACGGGCCCAUCAUCAGCUCCGGAAGCCCCGGAGCGGCGCCGUCGUAGGGGAGGCCGAGGCCGAGCCCCGCGGAGAGCAUCGGCCCUGGCUCUGGGUGAUCCAAAUUGUGGUGCCAUUGGUCCUGCUGGGGCUGGGGAUUGGAUACGGAGGUGGCGAGGCCGAGGCCGCGGAGGAAGGACGAGCCCGACGCGGCGGCGCCCAUCUGGGCGGCCUUCUGCAGCAGGGCGGUGGCCGACAUGUGCGGCGAGGGCGGCGGCGGAGGAUGCAAGGCGAAGGGGCUGCACUGAUCGGACGACGCCGAAUUCGGGAACAGCGCAGCGGCGGCGGCGGCGGCGGCUGCUGCGGCGGCGGCGGGAGAAUUGGUGGACAGGCAAAGGGCGGGCGGCGGCUCGGCGCGGCCCAUGGCUCCCACCAGGUCGGAGAACGCGGUGGUGCUCUGCGCCGAAGCCACGGAGGGCGCCACCGAGGCGAAUAAGCUCGCAAACAAGCUCGUCGUCGACGUCGCAGCGCCGCCACCGCCACCGCCACCGCCGCUGCCGCCACUGCUAUUGCUUCCACUCGUAGUAGCAGCACUAAUCCCAAUCGUCGUCGUCGACGGCGGCGGCAUAUACUGGAAAAUCCCCGGUGGAUUCUCCGGCUCUGCAAGAAUAAAGUUAUUUAUUGGGUUUGCAAGUUUAGUACAAUUAUUGGAGUCACGAGAAAAAGAAGAGGGGCAAAAAGAUGAGCAAUGAUGCGUUAUGAUUUUGGGAAAGAAAAUGGGGUUUAGACUUUUAAAAAGGGCGGAAGAGAUCGACCACCACCAUAUCUUUUGCUUCAUCCCCUUCAUCCCUUAUAUUCUUUUUAUAAUAAUAAUAAUAAUAAUAAUAAUAAUAGUCAUCAUCGAUCUGCUUCGAGGUUGCAGAGAGAUGGGAAAGCUCCGUCCGGAAAAUGAAAGCAGGCGUAAAGUUUUAAUCAGAGACGCCCCUUUUCGCACAUCAUCUUAUUAUUAUUAUGGGAAAUUAUUAUUAUUAUUAUUAUUAUACAAACACAUAAAAAAUAGUCAUAUUAAGAGAUUUAUUUAUUGAAAUAAAAAAGAGAGAAUCCACUCCACUGCACAGCACACCGCCCCGAAAACACACCCACUUUCCCUUUCUUUCUCGCUCUGCGAGACUCUUUCAUUAAUCACGUUCCCCACGCACCAACUCCCCUUCCCUCUCUCUCUCUCUCUCUCUCUCUCUCUCUCUCUUUCUUCUGUUUUGUUGCAUGUGAAUGGAGAGAGAGGGUACUCAGGGAUUAGGCCGUUACGGGACAAAAAACACGAUCACCCACCCCGAUAUCACAAUCGCAGUUGCUUCCUUUUUUUUAUUAUUAUUAUUAAUUUUAUAUUUACUUUUAAAAUUUAAAUUGUAUUGAGAGUCCCAGAUCCGACAAAACCCUACGGAAGCUCCCCCUUUUCUUCGCCUCCCCCUUCUAAACAAUUCGAUUAUCUCCGAACGAGUCCAAAAGAGAAUCAUCAACAUAAUAUAAUCCAUCCAUCCGAAAAGUAAGAUAACAUUUUUACCCAAAAACAAGCACAUAAAAACAAACACACACACACACACACACAAAAUAAAAACUAAUCAAGUACCAAAAACACCGACCUUGCUGCUCCGGUGGCGUCACCACCUGCCUCAGCGGCGGCACUUCCUCCUCCGGCGCCGGAGCAGGAGCAGGCGGCGGCGGCGGCGGCGCCGGCGACGGGUGCGUCUUCGCGCUCUCCUCGGCGAGCGCGUCGCAGAACGCGCGGUGCGUGAUGAAGCUAUCCCUCCUAUAAAACAAAAAAGCACCCGAUCAAAAGUGAAUGUUGAGUGUUGAAUUCAUGGGGGAUAUAUACAUAUAGCGUGUAGUGUGUAGGUACCGAGAGAAGAGAGUGCCGCAGUCGCAGCGGUACUCGCGGGUGCCGCAGGUCUUGGCGUGGGCCUUCCAGUCGGACUGGACGGCGUACUUCUUGGAGCACUUGUCGCACUUCCACUUCUUCUCGCCGUGCUUCCUGCAGAAGUGCUUCUUGAUGCCGGUGAGGUCGCCGAGCGCCCGCGCCGGGUCGUGGUGCACGCACGUCGCCUCCGGGCACACGUACACCCGCUUCCGCGCCUCCUUCCCCGUCCGCUGCCGCAGCUUCCACGGCAGGUUGUGGCCCCUCCUGUGCAGCUGCAGGUUCUGGUCCCGCUGGAACCCCUUGUUGCAGAUCUCGCACACGAACCGGUUCGUCGCCAUCAGCGUCUUCGGCGACAGCGCUAUCACCUCCGCCUCCGGAUCUUCAAUUUCAUUUCAAUUCAAACCACCACCCGCAUCAUUUCUUUUAGAUUAUAUUACCUAAAACCUUCCGUAAAGAAAGAAAAUUCAUCCAUCUUAUUUUUCAGCGCUUCUUCGAUAUUUACCUGGCAUUCCGGGGAGGUUCCUCUUCUUCUUCGCCGGCGGAGGCAUCGGAUGCGGCGGCGGCAGCGGCAGCAGCUGCUGCGGGCCCGAUGAGGACACGCUCGCCUCUCCGGAAGCCGAGUUCGACGCCGUCAUCACCGACGAAUUCUCCUGCUGCUCCGUCGGCAUCGAUCGCCGGACCCUCCUCUUUUUCAAUUUGUACCGCCCCAAAAACACAAAAAUUACCAAAUCAAAACAAGAAAGCAGCAGGCAGCUACCAGUCAAGUCAGUCUCCCACCACCACCGAUCACUGACUUCCUCCUCGAUAAUCGCAAUCGCCGAUUACGGAGAUUUUCGCUUCGCUUUGAUGCCACGCCAAAUUAAACGCCCCGCUCGCGAAACGCGGACCGUGGGACGAUCUCAGCCGUCCAUCUCGCGGCGGCUACGGUCCUGGGGGCGACGGGGGGGCGGCUACAAAGAAAUUUCUUUAGAGAGGGUCAGAGAGAGAGAGAGAGAGGGGGGAGACAAGGGGGAACCGGGGAAGGGGGGGAGGGUGAGGUUACCGCGGGAGAGGGCGGCCGACGUGGAACGAUCAGCGCCGUCCACGUGUCGGCAGGAGCGGGGCUGUGGGGCGCUCGGCAUCUGUUCCGGGGCUGAGUCAGGCUGAGUGGCGACCCCCCUCUUUUGUCGUUUAGUGCAGGGCUCUAUGUUGACUGAAUUUACAAAAUGGCAAUUUUUAAUUAUUAAAAUUGAGAGGGGCGUAAAAUGUCAUUUCCUAUUCCAGAGGCAGCGUAGUGAAAGUUAUAGAACAGCGCACAGCGGAUCUGGCGAAUAGAAACUUGACACGUAGUCAUAACUAGCUUUUAAGUAUUCACCAUUGUUUUAUAAUAAAGCAAUCAACCACCGUAUUGGCGUACUAGUUCGAUGGCAUUUUAGCAGGAAUUUGGUAUAAAAAGGAAAGCGGGUUCGUUGCAUUAUAGGACUCAACUUUUUACCAAAUUUUAAUUUAAUUUGUGUUUUUUUUAAAAAAAUAAAUUUCAUAUUUUUAUGAAUUUUAUAAAUAUAUUAUAUUAGUCUAUUACAUUAUCUGUUAUUAAUCUUAAUUAUCGACUAAAAAUGUUGUUUGUGUGGAUAAUAGAUAAGCAUUUAUGACCAGAUAUUUAUUAGAGUCAAGAGGGAUUUUGUUUUUCUUCUAUGGGACAAAAUGGAUGGUUAAGAAAAGUUUUACAAUGAUAGUUAAGUUCCAAUUUGUAUUUUGCGAAACACGACUUCUACAUUUUAAAAGGAGAAUGUAUAAUUUACGCAUUUCAUUCUAAAAUUUAAAUUCUUUAAAACUUUUUAGUAUUAAAAACAAAUUAACAAAAUGAUGGCUCAAUAAAAACAGCGAGAUGAAGGGGUGUAAAAUUUAUGCUCUCUUUUCAAGUAUACAACUAGCACUGCUCAUUGUAUUUCUGGUACAUAUAUUAGUUUAAAGAGUUAAUUUCAUACAGUUCUCUAUAACUAUAGUGAAUGAUAAAUAUAUCCCUACAAAGUUCAGCUUUUAUAUGUUGUCCCUCCAAAAAUUUUAAUGUUUUCAAAUAUAUCUCUUUGAUUUGUUACCAUUAGAUAAUCGUUCAUAUUUUCAAUUUUGCCAUCACAAAUAUAUCUCUUCAAAAGCCAUAACAGUGUAAUAUAAGAUGAGUAAAAAUGUCAAAAACAAGCCAAGGUUAAGUAUUUAAUCUCUGGUUAACUAAAUUUUUCUAACAGAUUCUAAUGACAAGGACAUAUUUGAAAACACUAGAAUUUUUGUAAGGACAACAUAUAUAUAAAAGUUGAACGUUGUAGAGAUAUAUUUGUCAUUUAUUAUACUUGUAGGGACCUGCAUGAAAUUAACCCUAGUUUAAAAAAUAUCUAGAAAAUAUUUAAGUUAUUAUUUUGGUGAGAUAAUUUAGUAGAUAUUUUUCUUAAAAUCAUAAUUUUAUUAAUGUUUCUUUAAACUUCAAAAUAUUACCACUAUUUUUGUAAAUAUAAGAAGAUAUUCUUCAAUGCUCUUAUUCAGUAAUAAUCAAUCCAUAUAUGAACGAUUAUAUCUAAAUUUUUUUUUUCCUCUAAUAAGCAAAGAAUUUAGUGCACUUAUAAAAACAAGAAAAAAAAAAAAACAAUACAAUUUUUAAGUAAAAAAUAAUAAAAUAAAGUUAGACAUCACACUUAAAUGUUUUAAAAACUAUAUUGGUAAAAAUUAAAAACAACAUUUGCUAAUAUAAGCUAAAAAUUAAAAACAACAUUUGCUAAUAAUAGAAAAUGUUUUAAAAAAAUCAACUAUAAGCUAAAAAUUAAAAACUAUAUUCUAAAUAAGAAAUUAAAAACAACAUUUGCUAAUAUAUUGUCCUACAUGGAUUGUUGAGGGUAAAAUCAUAAAUUUUUUAACUUAACUACUGUUUAACUCUAUUGUAAUGGAUAUAUAUAUAUAUAUAUAUAUAUAUAUAGUAUUGGUGAUAAAUUCAUAUAUAGAGAGAAAUGUACACCAUGUUAUAGAUUUUGAAGGAAUAUUUAUACAUUUUAAAAUUUUACUAGGGUAAGUUUGAGAUUAUCUCUAUUUUAAGAAAUUUAGUAACGAUUGGCAAAAUGGAUAAUUUGAUACAUUUAUCAAAGUUCAAAAUAUUUAAAAAAAUCUUUUAAAAGUACAUGGCGCAAAUAAAAAUAUUAAUUGCAUCCAGUUUUUCGCUGAAAUAAUUAAGAAAUAUGCUACUUGUACACCUACAAGUAGGCAUGAAUCUUAUAUCCCACUCAUCUUAUAAUUUAUAAAUCAUCAGUGAUGGAAAAAUAAAUGAUAAAACUAGUAAAAAAAUAAUACGCCUUCGAGACGAGGUGUGUAAGAGUAAUACACUAUAAAUAAUCACCGACCGUCCCUAGAGCAAGUGGCAAAGGGCUUGGUGAUUGGUACCCGAGGGUCCCAAGUUCGAAUCCUAGUUGAUUCACAUUUUCAGCUAAGUUUAUUUCUAAAUGAAAUAAACGAAGCGGGUAGCGUGCUACCUAUCUCUCUCAAAAAAUAAUAAUCUGGUUAGUAUUUCUUUUGGAAUAGAAAUCUGCGAAAGUUUAUAAGGGCUAAUUAUAAUGAAAAGAUUUAUUAGACGAUAACAAAAAUUUUUAGCAAAGUUUGUGAGGCAUCUUAAUUUUAGCAUUCUACAAUUCAUUCAAGUGAAAUUAAGAUUUGGGACUGUUCAAAUUAGCAAAAAAAAAAAAAAAACAAAAAAAACAUGGUUAACAAAUUUGUUAAGAAUCAUAAUAACAUUAUUAUAUUGAAUACAAAAUAAAAGUUUAACUUAUGGAUGCGUUUGGUUCGCAUUAUGAAAGAUUACUAGGAAUAAAAGAUAUUCAAGAAUCUUAUUCCUAUUCAUUCUGUUACUAAGAAUGUAAAAUUUCUGUGUUUGGUUCGCACGGUAACAUUAAUUAGCCAUGUUAUUUAAUAUUAUAAAAAAUAUAUAAUUAAUUAAUUUAUUUAUUUAUUUAAUUUUAGAUAAUGUUACCAAAAGUUUCAACAUUUAUUUAGAAAAAAGGGAGAGAGAGAGUAUAAGUUAGAGAGAGAGCAUAAUUAAAAAAAUAAAAAGAAAAAUAUAGUCGAAAUUAGAGGGAGUGAGAGAGUUGAAAUUUUAGAAAGAGAGCGAGAGAAAAAGCUUAGUUUAGAGAGAGAAAAAAAAGUUGAAUUUUAGAGAGAAAAAUAAGUUUAGAGAGAGAUAUACGGUUAGAGUGUAAAGAAAAAUAAUAUCAAUUAGCCGGCGGGUAGGAAGAAAGAAAAAGAUUAGACAGAUUACCCCAAUCCAUUAAUAUGAGGAUACCCACCAUCCCUCAAGGAAAUGAGAUUAGUAUUUUGGGAUAAAUCUUAUUCCCAAGUGAAUUCAGUAUUACCAACUAGAUUACUUAGUGCGUUUAGCCAAACACCGUCAUAUUUUUUUAUUCCCAUUGAAUUAUUAGGAAUUUUUAAAAGAUAGCGCAAACCAAACGCACCCUAUAUGUAAUCCAAAGGUAUCUCCUUGAAACUUUUGGAUCGUAUGAUUCAUAUCUGAACCUCCUUAACGCGAUGCUAUAGUUCGAAUAAUCCCCUCCUUAGCCUCCAUGUUAUUUGGCCGAAUGUAUAAUAUAAUGUGGGUGAUAUUUUUACCUAUUAAUUAACUUAAAUAUUUGAACAAAAAAUUACAUCUUUACGACAAAAUUAUCAAUUUUUUUAUAAUUAUUUUAAGUUUUCAUCAAUGUUAGAAGGAGAAUAAAUGUUUGUUUUGAAAAAAAAUAUAGCAAGUUAUCUGCUUCAUUUAUAAAGUGGUAUGAACUUGACAAUAUAGGUGAGAUUACUAAGGCGUCAAAAAAAGAGAAAAUCAAAAAUCAAAAAAUAAAGAGAGAUAUAGAGGGGGAGAAAGGUUAAGCUACAAGUAUAUAAUUAACGGUAUUGUUCUAACUAAUCCUGCGCAAAUAAAUGCAUACAGCGAAGAACUUGAGUUGGAUUUGAGUCUCGUCCCCUAAAGAUAAUACUAUUUCUGUGAGACCCCAGAUAGUCCUAUAUAUAAGAUAUAAUAGGACUAAAACUCUUAGCCCGGUUUAAACAUUUUGGGCGGUGGUUAGGUGCAAAAAGUUAAGAGAGUUAAGCGUGCCUGGACGAGAGUAGUCCUAGAAUAGGUAACCCCUGGGAAGUUGGGGCAUUACAAUUUCUUUCUAGCCAGAUUGCCCACCAUGUAGCUGAAAGUUUGGUAAAUUUAUUUAUUCAGCUGUGGCUGUCAAUCUUACUGCAACGUUCCUCCCAAAGCCCUGUUAUACCGUACUAAGGCGACGUGGUAAGCAAGUCAUUUGUUGAGUAAACAAACAAAUACUGAAAGUAAAGACAUCUUGAAAAUAGGUGAUUGCAGGUUUCAACUUCAUUGGCAGAAAGCACACAUAGCUAUUCUGCUGUCCAACCCCGCUUAAAAAGAUUGUCUGCAGUGAGUACCCUUCUUUUGAAUGCUAAUCAGAUAAAAAUCGUGACCGUCAUUGAAAUUUUAAGCUUCCAAAUAUGAUUACUCUAUGGAUCUCUCAGUCCGCCACUUGAAAGAAAGUUUUAAAAAAUUUGACAGAAAAGUUGCUGUCCAAGUUAGUAACUAUUAAAUUUUUUAAAGUUUUAAAAUUGCUAUCUCAUUAUUUAAAAAUUUAUUUUAUUUAAACUAUCUAGUAAUAUUUUUAUCUAAAAAUUUAAAUGUGUUAUUUAUUGUGUGGAUUUGAUUAGUAUGUUUUAAGUAAAAACGCACAUAACUUACAUAAACUAUGGACUAUUUGAAUCGGCUAUCCAAUCUUUCAAAAUUUUGAUUUGAAUAUCAAACUUCCAAUUUGUUUAAUUUAAAUUAGUCAACGACAUAUCGAUUUCAAAAUUUACACAUUAUUUAUUUAUUUUUAUGAAUUUAUAGUUACGAGAACUGCAUCUAGUAUACUAAUUAAACUUGUAAAGAUAAAUGACAAAUUCAAAAUUUGAAAUCAAGACGUCGUUGACUGAUUCAAAUCAAACACUUGAAAAAUUGGAUAUUAAUGUCAAAAUUUUGAACGAUGGAAUAGCUGACUCAAAAUAGUUCAUAGUUGAAAUAAAUUCUGCAUGUUUUUUUACUUAUAUUUUAUGUAAGUUGUGUAGUUAUAAAUUUACUAUAAUUAAAUGAUAAAUUUAUAUUUAUAUCAAAAUAAUCAUCAAAUAAUUUAAAGUAAAUAAAUUUAAAAAUUAAAUAAUAAAAUUAAAAUUGUAAAAAUAUAAGAUAGUUAAAUCAAAACUAAUUAUAGUUCAGAUAAUUUCAAUAUAUUUUUACCUAUAUAUAUUCAGAAUUUUGGCUUGGUUUAGCUGAAAAAAACCAUAAAAUGAAAAUAUAAACUAUUGAAAAGCUCAAUUUCCUGGGAGGAGAGAAAAACAAAGAAAAGUUACAAAUAUUCUCGCUAAAAAUGAUAUUUGAAUAAAAUAGGUAGCUCUAAGGCCCCGAUUGUGUUAGAGUUUGAACCAACUCAAAAUAUUAAGUUCAUAGAUACUAAUAUUUUUGUAUAUUUUUUAUAGACUAUGGUGUUGUUUCCAUCAUUAUUAUUUUUAAUAAAAUGUAGAAUUAAUAGAGUUUCUAAUUUUCUAUUUUUCACUCUUAUUGAAUUUUCUCAUUCUUAUUAUAUAUUAUCUACUUUUCUUAAUUACAACUCUAGUUAGGAAAUAAUAAAGUUUUUUAUCACAUUGGAUUAGCAAGCUUACUUAUCAAGCUUAAUUUAUUUCAAAUAAUUAAGAGCAAAAGUAAAAUGCCAAAUAAUUUAGUAAUUAAAUACAAGUUUCAGAUAAUAAUGGAACUUAUUAUAACUCUGAUACAAAUCUAGCUAAUCUGAAAAAUAUAAUCCUGUAAAGUUAGGGAAGUGCAAAACUUAAUCAGCUUUAUACGAAUUAUAUUUUGUUCUAAUGUGUAAGGAGAUCCACUUAGGCUACUGCUUUGUUGAUAAUCAAUAAUAAUUUAUAUUAGGUAGAGUAAUUAAUCCUCUGUACAAUAAUGUGUAAGGGGUCUCUUCUUAAAUUGUAUUAAUUCUUAGCUUAACUUUUAUGGUUUGUUGGAAUCUUUUACUAUUGGUAAGUUGAUAUAUGAAACUAACCUAAAUUUUGACUCACUUGAAAAUGAUUAUCCAACAUGAAAUUUAAUAAUUUUAUAUUUGAAAUGAUAAAUUUAUUGCUAACUAACCAUGUUUACUGCUAACUAAUCAUACCACCUGGCUUGGGAGGUUAAUUAUAGAGGCAAAUAUUUUUGUUAAUAGCCUCUAUUAUAUGAUUUUCAUUAUGUAUAGAAAUGACAAAAUUUUUAGUUUAUAUACUUUAAUGUGCUUAGACUCUACUCGGGAUUGCAUAGAGAGAUUGCAUUACGUGCAAUAAAAAAGUACAAUAAAAAAUUUCUUGCUUGUUUUCAUACGUAUUCUCACGUUGUGUAUAUCACAGUGAGUUUAUUAUGUUAUAAUAUAUAUUUUUCUUUGCUUCCACAAAUAAAUAGAAAAGUAUAUUUUUAUAUGCUUUCGAUCUAACUUUGUUUUGUUAUUAGAUGAACCUUAAUAGCCGAGGAGCUAGCCCCUAAUAAGAAACUACCAUAUUUCACAACUUUACCGAUACCUCGUGCAACUUUCUAAUUUAUGUUACGUGACAAUUGUUUAAAUAUUUUGAAUAAAAAAUAUAAUUUUAUUGGAGAAAUACAAACCUUGAACGGAAAAUCUCGUUAAAGUAUUAUAAUUUUAUACCAUUUUUAACUUAUUUAGUAUGCCAAUAUAUUAGGGGCAUAAGUGUUCGGCUGAGCCAAAAAAAAUAGUUUUGUUUUUUGUUAUAGUAAUUCCACAUUAAAAAAAAAGACAUUAUAUCAAAUACCUUCACAAUAUUGCAUAAAAAAAUAAAUAUUUUUUACAAUAUUUUAUAUAUAGAGCUUUGUUGAGCUAUUAUUGGUAGUAAAUGACUCAGCUUAGUUUACGUAUCAUAUAUGAAGUCGAGAGAAUCGACACUCCGAUGCAUAGUUAGAAUCGGGGGUGAUCAGCCCUUUCAAUACACACGAGAGAGUCAAAGAUAGUUUGCACUUCCUGGUGACACUUCUGAAAAGUCAUAACAAAACUCAUUAUUAAACAUAAGUUCAAAUGACUUUCAGAUUUAUCAACCAUGUCCAAUACACAAAACUUUUUCUCUACUUCAAAUUAAUUAGCAUAGAGUUUGCAUGUAAGAAGCUCUCACUUUAGCUAGGUUUUGACUUAACUAAUUAAAUAAUACACAUGUUUAAUUUUUAUCAUUGGUUCACUUUAUUUGUACAUGCACAUAAUCGAUUAUCCCAAUUUCAUAUAAGAGGGUCAAAAUCUUAACUUUUUCUAGCAUACAAUUAAAAUCAUAUUUAGUUCCAUAAUUACUAUUCAAUAUGCUAAUAAUCCGAGAAAUAAUAGAUAAAGAGGUGAUCUCAUCCUUUUUGGUGAUAUUUUUCGCCUUUAUUAGAUUUUGCAUAAGGAGAUGGACUUUAUCUCGGGUUGAGCGUCCGAUUGCAGUACUCGGCGCCCACAAUAGACCAGCUGAAAGUUGUAUCGGGUGCCCGUGGGGCAACUCAGCUUCCAAACCUUCCGCGCAAUGAAACCUAUCAUCGGGUUAAAAGUCCGAAAGUUAUCCGGUCACUCGCAACUUGCGUCCAAAUCAAUAUCUGGGCAUCCGAAUCCCAAAGUCCCGCAAAUUAGAUCUCCGAAUAAACAUCCGAAUGAUCCGGGCACUCCAAUAGCCCCUAAACUCAUGUUCCGGCGUCCAAAUUAGUUUGAAAUUCAGAUUUCCAACUUUUGAAGUACCGUUUUGAUCCGAAUUAAUUUCAAUUUGGUUCAGAUCAGUUUUAACCCUAGCUCUUAAAACCCACGUUAAUCUCGUCUAGUAUCAUUUAAUCCGGGCUUUGUCCACUUAACCAAAGUCCGGUAUAUUCCAAUGUGAGUCGAUGCAUGUCGAACUUAGUAGGCUAGGGCUUAAUGACCGGACGGUACUGGUGCGGUGUGGCGUGUAGUAAUUAAAUCAAAAUAAUUCACAAUUCCGAUAAAAUUAUAUAUUAUCUUUAUUUAUAAUAAUAUAAUAAAAUUUAUUCGAAGUGUAUCUGCAGGUGCGGUGUGGCCUGUAAUAACGAAGGCUUUUUGAAAAAGUUGGCACCCUUUUAACAUUUCGGCAAAAGGCCGGGGUCGGUCGAAAGGCAAGAUCUGAAAGGCUCAACUCUCGACUCCAGGGGCAAUUUCGUCUUUUCGCAUGACCAAGAUUCUCCAGUGAAGCGUGGGCCCAAAUUACGUGUCAAAUGGGACCCGCUUUGUAGCAUCGGAUCCUCCGCAACACCGGCGGUACAAGUAGGCUACGCACUAUUUUUAUUUUUUCGUGUACCAUAAAAUGACAACUAAGUUAAGUCGGAUUCAACAAAAAUUUAGUACGAAUAAAAUUUGUAUUUUAAUUUUUAAAUUCGUUGAAAAAUACGGUUUAAAAAAAUAAAUUCGUCAAUUAUUAGGAUAUGCGAUUUAUACGAAAAUUAUACGUUCAUCAAUUAAAAAUUCGAAAUGACAAAUUUGACUAUUAAAUUAAACUUUUUUCUAGAUUUAUUCUAUUAGCAUAAAUAAUUAUACUUUUUUAAAAAUAUAAAAAUAAAGAGCUACAAAAUAAAGUAGACUAAGUAAAAAAAAGUAAUAGCAAAGUUCAAAGUCAUCUCCAUUUUCAUCUUUUUUAUGAUUUAUGUAUUCCGAAAGUUUAUAUAAUUUUUCAAUAAGUCGCGAAUAGUUCAUGAAUAAUUCGACAAUAAUUCGCGAAUAAUGUAGAAAGAGAUUUUAUCCAAAAAUUAUGCGCAUUGUUUUGACCGAAUAGGUUGGCACACGCGCGCGAAUUAUUCGCGAAUAAUAAAUCUAACACAAAAAUUCACAGCUUACAUUGAUUUUUUGGAAAUAAAUCGCAUAUUGACUGUUUUAUUCUGGUUUUCAAAAGUUCGCGAAUAUUUCGUGAACAAUUCGCGAAUUAACUAAUUCGGGUUGAAAUAGAGAAAAAUUUUUGAUAAAUAUUUUUUUAAUUUUUUCUUUUGACUUUUAAAAUUUUAUAUUUUUUCUUUUCAAAAUUUUAAUUGAUAAAUUGUAUCUCUCUCUGUCAGAAUUUCGUUGCUAUUUCGUCUAUUUUUUUAAUUUAUACUGAAAAUACUUUUAAAAAUGAUAGGAAUAUAUUUAAAAAUUAAUUUUCAUAUAUAAUUAUAAGUAAAAAAUAAUUUGGUCAUUUUGUCCUCUUCAUUAAUCCUGUAUUCGCUGAAAAUAUUUGUAAAAUUUAAAAGAGACAAAACACAGAUUUUUGAAAGUCAGACAGAGUGAUAAACGGAUAUUUUCUAAAAAAAUCCUGUAAAUUAACCUUUCUAAAUAUAAUCAAAUAAAUAUAACUACUAUUUUUUUGUGAAAAAAAUAGUAAUGGGGAUUAGAACAUCGAUCGGUUAAAAGAUCAAUUUAUUAUAACAUUUUAUAGCUACUUAAUAGCUUAUGGCCACCACUUGUAUUUUGCAUUAGAUCAAUGUAUUCAUAGAGUAAGAAAAAUAAUAAUAAUAUAAGUAUUUUAAUACUCUACAAAAUUUUUCUACGGCCUAUCCUAUUUCGAAAUAUGCUCCAAUAAUAUUAUUGAUUUUACAAACUUGAAUAAAUUUGCCCGAUAUUUAUUCUUUUACAACAAGAUUAUUUUGUCUAUUUUAUUGAGUUAGUUCAUACCUUCAAAACAAAAUGCUCAAACAAGAAAAUUAAAAAAACUCCGAGUUUGGUCGAAUUAUUGGUCUUUUUUAAUAUCUUUUAAUUAAUUACUAAGUUAUCUUGUCGUUUCUAACUAUUCUAUAUUGUAUUCGAUUUAAAAGUAGAUGUAACAUGUUUAAAUUGCGUCCGAUCGAGUACAAAGCAAAUAUAAUUCAACAAAAAAUAGCGUAUCGCAGCACAUCGUUACUCGUCUAUAUCUAUAUCUAUAUUCUAUAUUUUCUAUAUAUUAAUUCCUAGAUGACUUGCCAUGUGGUCGCAUUUUUUUACUAUUGAGUGUGGGCUCCACCUAACAAUAAUUUCUGCAUUUUGCCGAACUGGCCUAUUUGGUUCUCUAUUUUUUUCUUUAACCGCUCCACACUCGAUCUUUUCUUUCCUUGAAACUAAUCAGGGCACACCCGCCGACCUGCCAAUUCACUCUAUCUUAAACUUGAUUCUUUUCUUUAUCACAUUAAUUUAUUGAACCGGAUUUUUUUUCUUUCUAAAACUGAUUCGUUGAUCAUUUUUUUUCUUCCUUGAGCCGUUUUCUUUCUUUCGUCGAAUUGAAGUGUCCUCAAUCCUAAAAGAAAUUAGGGCACGAUGCACUGUCGUUCUCCCUCUCCUUAGCACCGCUUCUUCCAUCGUCGUUUCCUCUUCUUUCAUAAUUGUCUCCUGUGCUAAAUUAAUCCAUUUUAUGAAUCUCGAUGUUCUCUGAUUUACACUCGAUAGCCAAAGCAUUUUGCAUCACCGUUUUCUAUAUCCUGCUCGUCAUUUCCAUUUGUUGUAUUCACGCGUACCAUAUGUUUCCAGUUUCUUACACAACUGUCCAUUCGCUUUCAUCUUGGUGGUAAUAUAAUAACUAAUAUCCUUUUUCUCCGCUAUGAUAUCCUAAUUCUUUUUCGCUAUUUUUCGCUUUCAAUCUUCUCUCCCAAAGGUCUAAACUUUUUAAAUCUAGAUUUACUUGCUACACUGUUUGAUCGCAUUCCGCAUAUUAAUAAUUUUUUCUUUUAAUUAACACUAUUUUUUGUCUCAGAAAACUGAUGAUUUAGUGUGGUUGUUCUACAUCUGUUUGUUGUUGCCUUACUUCCGUACCAUUGUAAAUUUUAAUAAUUUUUUCUUUUAAUUAACACUAUUUUUUGUCUCAGAAAACUGAUGAUUUAGUGUGGGUGUUCUACAUCUGUUUGUUGUUGCCUUACUUCCGUACCAUAUGUUUCCAGUUUCUUACACGACUGUCCAUUCGCUUUCAUUUUGGUGGUAAUAUAAUAACUAAUAUCCUUUUUCUCCGCAUAUGAUAUCCUAAUUCUUUUUCGCUAUUUUUCGCUUUCAAUCUUCUCUCCCAAAAGUCUAAACUUUUUAAAUCUAGAUUUACUUGCUACACUGUUUGAUCGCAUUCCGCAUAUUAAUAAUUUUUUCUUUUAAUUAACACUAUUUUUUGUCUCAGAAAACUGAUGAUUUAGUGUGGUUGUUCUGCAUCUGUUUGUUGUUGCCUUACUUCUGUACCACUGUAAAUUUUAAUGUAUUUCUGUGCUUCUGUAAGCUAUUAAUUUUAGUUAUUUUCUGCUUACAUAAAAAUAUUGAAUGUAUAACCGAUUGUUACACUAUUUUUGCUUUGGAUAUCCGAAUUAUUUUUCUUAAAUUAAUAUUGUUAUGUUUGUCACAAAAAUUGACAGCGAUUUAGUGCAAUUGUUCUACAUUUGUUUGAUGUUGCCUUACUUUCGUGCUACUGUAAGUUCUAAUAUAAUUCUAUACUUCUGAAAGAUUGAAUGUAUUGUCUAUUUUUAAACUGUUCUUCUUUAAACGCGCUCUAGUAAGAAUUUUAUUGUCUAUUAAGAUGUUUCUAAUCACAUAUAUUUUUUGUCUUAGAAAACUGACAACGGUUAGUAGGAUUAUUCUACGUCUGUUUGUUGUUCCCUUACUUCCGUACUAUACUGUAAGUCCUAAUGCAGUUUUGUACUCCCAUAAACUCUUAAUUUUAGUCAUUUUUUAUUUAUAUGAAAAGGUUGAAUGUAUUGGUUAUUUUUACACUUUCAUUAUGUAUUUAUUUAAAAAUUUGUAAAAAUAUAACUUAUUAAUAUUUUUUUAUUUUUGCCCUUAUUAUUUACCGGUCGUACCGUAUAGAUCACUACACUUUUAUCAUAUAUAAGUCCUUUUUUUUUUUUUUUUUUUAAGAAAUGAACCGAAGAAUAACUGAACAAAGUUUUAUCAAAUAGAAAGACGGCACGUGUCCGAGUUGUACCGAGCGACUCGUGCGACCCAAUUUGUAGUUGAUACAAAACGUGAUUUUCCAAAAAUGACCUUCGAGGAAUUAAAUAAUAAUAUUAUUAAAGAAAAAGAAAAAGAAAAAAAAAAGAAAAAAAAAAAAAGAUGAUGGAGAUAGCAAACGCCGUAGUAAGCUGGAUACAACCAAAAAGCCGGCAAGGUUUCGUCCACCCUUCCCCAUCGUCGCCCCCUCCCCAAUUGACUAAUGCUUUGGCUUUAUCCACCCCUUUCCACUCUUUUUUUUCCUUUUUUCCUUUUUUUUUUUAAAAAAAAUAAAAAUCUUUUUGAGAUUCUAUAUUUUAUUAAUUACUUUCUCAAAAUUUUUAAAUAUAUAUAUAGAGAGAGAGUGAGUGUGUGUGUGUGUGUUUUACUAGCAUAUUAUCGGUAGUAAAUAGCUCGAUUUACUACUGAUUUUUUUUUCGAUGAUAGAACUCCCAAAUUGGUAAUCGGCAUAGUUAAAUAUGAUCUAAACUAUUUAAAUUACCUAGAAAUCAAAUUUCACAUAUUUUUGAUAUUAUUCUCAUGUUCAUCAAGUGAACAGAAANGUCCAUCAAAUAAACAGAAAAAUAAAUGACUGAAAAUAAAUAUUCUUCAAAAAGUGAUGAUACAAUUUCUGUAUUUAAGAUAUAAAGUCUAAAUCUUGUUUUAAAUAGUUUAAAAACUUUCUAACAAAGAAAAUAGUUUAUUUGAACUCUUCUAUAUCAUAGCAAUCGCAUUAUAUUGGUCAUUAAAAUUACAGAUUUUGUGACUUUUUGAUUGUUCAGUUAAUGAUAUCAAAAAAUCAUGAAAUAUGAUUUCUAGAUAAUUUAAACGGUCUGGAUCAUAUUCAAUGGUGUUGAUCGUUAAUUUGAAAGCUCUAUCAUCAAAAACAAAUCAGUAGUAAACCGAGUCGUACACUNCUAUAUAUAUAUAUAUAUAUAUAUAGUUUGGUUACUAUACUUAAUUUUAUGAUACAAUCGCUUUCGUACUCAUAGGUCGUUUUCGAUGAUAGAGCUUCUGAAUCGAUCCAUACUAUUAAACGUUAUCUAGAGUAUUUCAAACUUUUAGAAAUCAAAUUUUAUAAUUUUUGACAUCAUUUACCUUACGAUAAAAAGAUUUCAAAAUUGAUAAUUUUUAACGGUCGGUAUAAAAUACUUGUUAGUUUAGCGGUGUAAAAGAAUCGAAAUCGGUUGAAUUUUUUUAUAAAAAGUUCUAUUCACUACCCAGAUAGAGUUCAAUAACUCCGAUCUUUAAAUUGAAUGAUCCGAUCAUCUAGUUUUAGAACAUCAUUUGAUUUUGACUAUUCAUUUUAUACUCGCUUGAUGAAUUUUAUUAUUAUUUUGAAAAAUUACGAAAAUUAUUUUUUUUAAGUUUCAAAUACUUUAGAUUAUAUUUAACAAAGUGGAUCGUCGAUGCGGAAGCUUCAUCAUCGAAAACAACUUAUGAGUACGGAAGACUCUAUACUCAUAAGAGUAUAAUAGCCCAACUCUAUAUUUACAUAUUUGCAGUUAAUAACUUGCAUAUUAUAUAAUACCAUCCCUAGCACAAGUGGUAAAGGACUUGGUGGUUGGUACUGGUGUCCCAAGUUUGAAAUUUAGUUGCUUCAUAUUUUCAAAUAUGUUUAUUUUAAAAUAAAAUAAACGAAGGAUAUAUCAUAUUACCUUUCUCUUAAAAAAAAAUAUUAUUAUUAUUUUUAAAUUAAAAAAAUUUUGUUUACAAACAAAUUUUAUAAGAUUUAGAAACUAUACAACUCAAUGAAUGGAUUUCAAUCUUGAUGAUAUAAUAUUUUUCAAAACAUUUACUUUUUCAAAUUUAACUUCUAAAAUAAUUUUCGAAAUUUAAUAAGUAAAAUUAAAUAUUUCUCGAGUAGAACAUAUAUAAAUGGAUAUCAAGUAACAUAAAAAUAAAAAUUAACGUUAUAGGGGAGAAAAAAUCUAAAUUGUAUAUAAAAUUGAUGACAAAAAUGUAUGGAUCAUAUUAUAAGUAACUUUUAAAUAAUGUACGGAGCAAUUCUACUAUGGCUUAUUUUUCAAAACUUACUGAUUAAGAUAUUACUUAAUUUUUAUACUUUUUGAUGUAAUUUGUAACACUUAGAAAGCGCCAUACCAAAAUCAUGAUAGUGAUAAACUUUUUUGGUCUAAAUUUAUUGGUAUUAGGUAGAUGAUGAUCUGUGAUAGACCGAUUUAGGCAAUAGAGAGUUGGGGAAAGAGUGAAUAUGAAAUUACUAAAAUGCCCACCUGUGUGACGGUGGAGAAGAAGUAAGAGGAUAUUUUCAUCAUUUAACAUUUUUGAGGUGCGACCGACCGUCCUUAGAGCAAGUGGCGAAGGACUUGAUAGUUGGUACUUGCGACCCAAGUUCGAAUUCUAGUUGAUUUAUAUUUAUAACUAAGUUUAUUUCUAAAUGAAAUAAACGAAGCAGGUAAUGUGCUACCUAUCGCUAAAAAAAAAAGAAAAAAAAAGAAAUAAGUUUUAGUACUAACAAGUGCACCUCAAAAAUAUAUAUAUAUUUUUUUUGAGAGAUAGGUAACACGCUAUCCGCUUCGUUUAUUUCAUUUAGAAAUAAACUUAGCUGAAAAUGUGAAUCAACUAGGAUUCGAACUUGGGUCUCGGAUACCAACAACCAAGCCCUUUGCAACUUGCUCUAGGGAUGAUCGGUUACUAAAACUUAUUUCACGGUACUUAAGUAUAUAAGAAAUAGGAGUUGAGCUAAAAUGCUAUCGUUAGUAAACGGGAUUCAUUGCUACUUAUUUAUUUUUAAUGAUAAAACUUUCAAAUCGACAACCGACACCGUUGAACGUGAUCUAUAUUAUUUGAAGUGUUUAGAAAUUAAGUCGCAUUCAUUUUCGAUAUUGUUUUCUUAUCCAUCGAGUGGACAAAAAAAUAAACGGCUGAAAAUGAAUAAUAUUUAAAAAGUGAUGAUAGAAAUCUUAUAAUCAAGAUAAAGAGUAUAGAAUUUGUUUUAAAUAGUUUAAAGAAUUUCUAACAAAAAUUCAAUUGAUUUGGAUAUCUUUACACCGUUAAAUGAAAAAACACAUCAUAUCGAUCAUUAAAAUUAUAAAUUUUGAAACCCGUUGAUCAUUAGGCAAAUGAUAUAAAAAAGAUUUGAAAUUUGAUUUCUAAACACUUCAAGUAGAAUAUAUCAUAUUCAACGGAGCUGAUCAUCAAUUUGGUGGAUCCAUCAUAAAAAACAAAAAAAUGGCAACGAAGCCCGUUUACUACCGAUAACAUUCCAGUUCAACUCUAAGUAAUAGAUAGGAAUAAUUUAAUCAUAAGGGUCCCUUCUAGGAGACAAUAAUUUUAUGAAUGUCCCUCUAAAUUUAAAAAUAUCAUUAAUAUCCAUCUAAAAAUAAAAAAAAUUCAUAGAUAACUUUAUUAAAAGUUAACAUUCCAUCAAAAAAAUCAUCCAAUAUUCUAUAAAUAUUAUUUUUACCCCUAGCACUAAUUUAACUAAGUGUAAUAUUUAAGGUUAAUUAUAUGAUUAAUUUUUAACAUUUGAAUCACAUGAUAAUUUAAAAUUCUCUUUAAAAUCUUACAAUUAAAGAUCUUCAGUCUAUUAAGUAUAAUAAUUAAAUCUCUUUACUUUUAAAUUAUACAUAAUUGUAAUGCAAUUAUCCAUAGUAGUAUUCAACAUUAAUUAUUUUAAGAUUUAUUUUUUUUAUUUUAUUUAAAUAACUCGCAUAUCUCACACUAAAAAUAUUUUGAUAUCAAAAUUCUUGAUAUUAGACUAGCUAUUUCUUAUAUGACACACACAUACACACACACCCUGUCAACCUAAGGGUUUUUUAAAAAAAUUUUAGCAAUUGAGUGUAUAUUUUCCCAACUAAAUUAAAAAUUUUAUCAAAUUCAUGUGUGAGGUAUCUCAAUUAAAAAUUUUUUUUAACUUAGUAAAGCCCAAAUAAAAAAAGAAAAUACUAAAAGUUCAAGGGCUUUUACCGUUAAAAAAUUAAAGUUAAAGGGAUCUGUUUCAAAAUAACGUAUAGGUAAGGGGUUUCCACAUAUUUUUACUGUUAAUUGAAAAUUUAUUAUCAAUAAUAAUAAAGUAAAAAUAUAUGAAGACACUCUCAACCUGCAGUUCCCUUCAACGCGGUCCUAACUUGAAAUUAUAUAUAUAUACACCAUCUCAUCUAAAAGUUUUUUAAAAAAUUUUAGCAAUUGAGUGUUUUUUCCUAACUAAAUUAAAAAUUUUAUCAAAUACAUGUGUGAGGGAUCUCAAUUGAACAAAAUUUAACUUAGUAAAACCCAAAUAAAAAAAAAAAAUACUAAAAGUUCAAGGGCUCUUACUCUUAAAAAAUUGAAGUUAAAAGUGUCUAUUUCAAAAUGACCUAUAGGUGUGGGGUUUCCACAUAUUUUUAUUCUCUAAUAAUUAGUACUAAAAAUAUUAUUUUUAAAAUUUAGAAGAGUACUCGAAAAAUUAUCCCUUAAUUAUUUGUUGCCAAAAUAACACUCCAGCUUUUCUGGGAUUUGUUAUUUUAUAAUUUAACUUUUAUUUAACUAAACCUUAAUCAUGUUAAAGUAACGGUUCGUCACGAAAAAGUAUAAUUAUGAUAAUUUUCUAUAUUUAAAGAGAUAUAUGUGAUAUUUUUAAUUUUGUGGAGAUAAUUAUGAUAUUUAUAUAGUAGAGAGCAUGGCUGUGAAAUUACUUGUAACAGAUAGAUAAUAGCUGUGUGGAUUGUCCUUUUAUUAUUACUAGUGAAGGAGCCCGCGCUUCUCAGUGAGUAAAAAUUAUAAGAGAAAUUAAUAAUAAGAGAAUAUCAAAUAUUCUCUUGUAUACCUCACUUAUCAUAGUCACAAAAGAUCCCUCACUAUUUGUAGCGGGGAAGGAACCGACGACGCCUUCUCCAGCAACAGUGAUAAUGAAAAUGACGACGAUCUCUUCAGCCAUGGCGGAGGGGGGAAAUGGGCCCGCAUUAGUGAGAUAAAGAGGGAGGGAGGUGAUGGUGUAUAGAAAAAGAUGAGGGAGAGAGGAAUGAUAAAUUAAUUGGAGAUGAAAAAUCUAGUGGAGGAAAAGUUUGACAAUGUAAAUAUUUAGAUGUAUUAAUUAAAUGUAUUAAUUGAAAGUUUGAUGAAGGAAAAGGGAAGAGUUAAAUGCCGGUGAGGGUGAAGGACAACUUGACAUUGGAAGUUUGGUAAUGGAUGUCGGAUCGUUGGCAUCGUUGGCGUUAACCAUUAAUCCUAAAAGCUCGAGCUGUUAGAAAUAUGCAACCAAUUCACUUAAAGCGUACAGAUACAGUGCCCACGGAUCUCGAUUGUGACUCGGCCAAUCUAGCCUCACGUCACUUCGAACAUGACUCGGCCCACCUAGCCUCAUGCCAUUUCGAACAUGACUCGGCCCAACAUAGCUUCUCACCACAAGGUAAAAUGUUGGUCCAUUUAAGCCAACAAUAAAAAUAUUUAGAUGUAUUAAUUAAAUAUAUUAAUUAAAAAUUUGAUAAAGAAAAUGAAAAUAGUCAAAUAAUGGUGAGAGUAAAGAACAACUUGUCACGUGGCAAAAAAUAUUAAAAAUUCAUAUAAGUUAAUAGAUGACAUGGCAAAUUGCAUACGUCUCACGGGGGUGAGAGUAGUAUCAAACUCAUCCAAAAAAUAAAGCAUUUGUAGAUGAUCUAAUCGUUUGAACAGUUUAUUUGUUGUAAUGAUCCUCCCAACUCUUAUUUUUACUAACUUAUUUAUAUAUUUUUUAUAUAGUUUUAUAAGAGCAAAAUGAUACAAAUGUCUUAGUUGAUCUAUAUAUUCAAAAUAAGAUCUAGGGGCCUGAGUUGAACAUUGUUGAAUUAUAUGAAAUAACCGUUGCAUUCUAAAAAAUUUUAAAGUCCAAUAAUUAUUUUAUAUAAUUUGACAUAGUAUCAAAGAAUGAAAUUCUGAGUUUGGGUCAUUUCAAACUCCCAUUGUUAGGAUUUGAUUAGAUUUGUAAUUAAUUUUCUAGUUGGAUAAAAAUUAAUAUUUGAAUAUAUUAAAGAUAAAUUAAAAUUUAAAUAUUAAUUAGAGUAUAAAUCUAAUUAGAUGAUGAUACAUAUUUAAAUCUAUUGGUGAUAAACUAAAUAUUAAUUUAAAUAUUAUUUGGAGUAGCAAUGCUAAUUAUUCUAGAAUUUGGGUAUAUCUUGGGUGAAGCCUUAUAUAUAUAGCCCAAUGUAUACAUACAAAUUGGUGAAUGCGCCUAGGUGGUGUAUCGGAUGAGAGAGUUUUUUAUUAUGGUGAUCGUACCGUGAAAAAGCCUAGACUCGGUUGUAUGCGGUGCAUGUGAGAGAGAAAAUGAGAGAGAAUGAUAGGAGAGAUUCAAAAAGAUUGCUCAGUUGUAGCUAUUCUAUUGUAGAAAAGAAGUCAGGUGUAAUCUUCUUUUAUUUAAUAAAUUUUAUUUUAUCCGCAUAUUUUUUAUUUGGUUGUUUUUCUCUAUUUUAUAAUUGUAUUAGUUUUUACUGAGAAAACGAGUUUUAUGCUAAAAAUCUGAUUCAACACCUCUAUUGCAAAAUUCCAACAUCCAGAACUGAAUCAACAGCAAUCGGUAUCGGAGCAGGUUGCGGAUUUUCAAAAUCCAAAACCAGGCGAGUACCAGAUUCCCAACACCCACUAUAUUUAUUUUUUUCCAUUUAAUUCAAAUACAUGUCAUGAGUCUAUCAAAAAGUCUAGAGUGUUAAAUAUUAAAAUAAUAAAAUAUUAUUCUUUAUCAGGUUUUAGAGAAUAACAUUUAUUUUUUAUUUUUAAUAAACAAUGAUUGCAAUGGCAAUAUUGUUCGGAUAGUUAAUGGGAAUUCGCAUAUGCAUGAAUAUUAUUCAAACAGAUCAAAUAGAAUUACUCCCGUUAUUAAACUAGUUUAGUUUCUAAAAUUUUCACAUAUAUUACACUUCUUGUUUUUAAUGUUAAUAAUUAACUUCUAUAGAAAUGAUCAUUUGUCCUCAUUCAUUAAAAUUCUAACACAUUCAUUUAAUCCAAUUAGCGUGACAAAAAAAAGCUAUUUAUAGCAAAAACUAUAUUACUUUCAUGUUCAGGGAGUAGAGUUCAUCAUUUACUAAAAUUCAGAGACUAAAAUGUGUAAGGAGAAAGUCCAAGGACUAAUUCGCUCUCUUACUGUGACGCCCCAACUUCCCAGGGGGUCACCCAUCCUAGGAUUACUCCCAUCCUAGCACGCUUAACUCUCUUAACCUCUUGGGUCUUGCCACCACCCAAAAUGCUUAAGCCGGGUUAAGAGUUUAGUCCUAUUAUAUCUUAUAUAUAGGACUAUCUGGGGUCUCACAAUCUCCCCUCCUUUAAGCCCUGACGUUCUCGUCAGGCUCAGACUCACAAGUACCAGGCGAUGUGAGACUCAUCUCGCUAGCCCGUCAUCCAGACCCUGGCUCAGCCGAGACUCAUCUCAUACUUCCGGCUGGUAAUUGGCUCUGAUGCUAUCUGUAACGCCCCAACUUCCCAGGGAGUCACCCAUCCUAGGACUACUCCCGUCCUAGCACGCUUAACUCUCUUAACCUCUUGGGCCUUGCCACCACUCAAAAUGCUUAAGCCGGGUUAAGAGUUUAGCCCUAUUAUAUCUUAUAUAUAGGACUAUCUGGGGUCUCACACUUACAAGAUAGAGUGACUAUCUUUUAGAGCAACACUAGUUGUGCACCCCAAAAGAAGAUAUAAAUUUUACAUUUUGGACUUUGUGUGGUUAAGAUUUAUCCACACUAGUGUUUUCAAAACUUUUUUCUUAACUAAAAAUUCAAAGAAAUUUUUUAAACCCUAGAAUCCUAAGAUAUAAGAUGUACACUCCUUACAGGGAUCGGCGUACAUAAAACAUUUUCCUUAUUUUGAUGGUUUAGUUCACUUAAUCUCUGGUCUAAUCAUAAUUUUAUCUUUUGUUGUCCCUUAAUUUAAUACUAGUUAUCCUUUUCACUGGCCUGUCGUAACUAAGUUUUUGUCCAAGUAUGUCUUUUUUAGUACUUAAAUGAUGGAAGCUUGUGGAUUUUUUUAUCAUGCAACAAGGAUUGGAAUUUUAUAUUGGAUAAGAAAAAAAAUGAGUUAAAAUAAAGUAGUCUAAAAUCAUGAAGGUACUAAGGUUCUAAUCAUUAUCAUUAGAUUACUACUUUGGCAUUAUGAUAAUAAUAGCAAUAAUAAUAAUUAAUAAUAACACUAAUGAUCAUAUUUGUUACCACUUCACUAUCGGGCUUGCUUCUAAAUUUGGAAAAGAUAUGGAAACUCUAAGCUGAUUUUGUAAAACAUUUAUAGAAAAGUGAUGUCAUUAACAGAGUUUAUUUUGAUAUUUGAUGAAUAGAAUUUAUUAAAUCUGAUUAUUAAUUGCUAAAUGAAUAUGAUCAGAUAUAAUGAAUCUAUUAUGCCUCUAAGUAAAAAUGAUGGUGUUUAUGUCACUUUACAAGAGUAUGGUACGUAAUGCAUCUAAGAAGGGUACCUCCUCCUUAUCCCCACUAGCUAUUAAAGGGCUUGAACUAAUUCAAAAGGUUAAGCCCAUCAAUGGAGAAACUCUUACACAUUAUCAAUAUAGAUAUUUAAGAUUUUUAUGUAAAUCUAAUGUGAAAUAAUUACUAUUCUUAAUACCCUUGUUGACGUGUGCAAAGUGUUAAUGAAUGGCACAUAGAGAUCUAUGGCAACCACACAAAAUUCACAUAAAAAUUAGUACAUGAUACAAACCUAGCUACAUGUUUAAUACUACGUACACUACAACAGAAUAUGUUUUAGACGACGUUUUUUAAUUAGACAUCACUUUAUUCUAGCGUUUUCAAUAUUUGGCAUGUGCCGACACUAUGAAGUGUCGUCAAUAAAUAUAUUUUUAUCAGAUACUGAUAAAAUUUUUCUAACGCUAGCUAUAUUAAAGCGUCGGUAUAUUUAUCUCGAUAUGUUUACUUAACGACUUUUUGCUCGAUACUUUUGCAAGCGUUGGAAUUAUUCUUACCGUUGUUUUAGAGCGUGCUUGUUAUUAUUUAAAAUAUCUUUAAGUGCAAGAUUUGUUGAGGAACAAUAUUGGAUGGUUUGUAAGGUAGCUUAAGCACAAAGGACCAACUCUUGCCUUUUAUCUUCUGUGGUACACUAGAUAUUUUUAAAAAAAAUCAAAUUUCAUAUAUGCAAUUGAAUUUGGUAGCAUACGGCAAAUCGGCUACAAUCUUAUACAUAUAUACAAUUUUGUUUGACAAUAAAAGAACUUUAGGAAUUGCCUUUUUUUAAUUUCCUUCUCUCUAUGUUUUUUUGUAUAGCUAACAGUGAUAGAUUAAAUCAUGUAAUGAUUGUUUUUUUUUAAAAAAAAGAUAUAGGUGUGGCCCUACAACAGAAUUAGAUUAUAGGGACACAUGUUUGAGACACUUUUGAGUAAGUGUCUCAUUUAUGCUAAAACUUAAAAACACAUCUACUAAUGCCUAAAUAUAAAGCCCAAUCCAAUCAAAAAGAAAAAAUUAUUCUACUCAACCCACCACACUUAGUCCAUUUGGCCCGGUUAUAAACAGAAAAGAAAAAAAAAAGAAAAAUUAAUUACCAUCUGUUUUUCUCUUUUCACUCAAUUCACUAAAAUUCUAGACGAAGAGCCUUUACUGUCGUCCUCCUCCGCCACCGCAGCCAACGAGAUAGAGUUUCGGCGGUUGCUAAAUGCUUAAAUAAGUGUUGGUAAAUUAGCAGCACUCUUUUAGGUUAUAGAGACACUCUUUAACUGUCACUAUAUACCUAGCGACCCCACAUAUAGCAACACUUUUUAAAAUUGUCGAUAAUUUUAGCCAGCAGUACUUUUUUGACAUGUACCUAUAUUUAAAAGUGUCGUUAUAGAUCGUUUUUGUUGUAGUGGAUCUACCAAAUGAGACCUAGAUAGAAGAGUUUUUUUUCCAAAUUUUUCCUAUUGAUUGACAUAAUUAUUUGAUAUUUGGGAUGCUUGUGAGUUUUCCUACUGAAGUUGAAAGUUCGAUAUGAGCGAGAGAUCAGAGUAUACAUGUCGUGAGUUCAAUGAUACAACAAUUGCCAGCACCAUUUACUUUCUCGAGAUCGCAAGUUCAAUCUUCAAGAUCUAUACGAAAAAUAAGGUCCUUUUCCGUGGCGAUUCGAUGCAACGUUUUCCUAUUCCUAAACAGUCCAUGAGUUUUUCUACAGGUUAUGAUGUACUUUGCCUUUUACUUUUGUAUACUUUCAACUUGUUUUUCUGAUAAGUAUGAGUGUUCAUGAGACAGGGUAGGGGCCUCAUCACCCUCUCACUUAUCUAUAUUCAUGAAAGGAUUUUUGGUCAAUGAAACAAUUAAUUAUCCCAUGCUUUUACUAAAAGAUGGUUGGAACCUAAUACAUUAUUUAUUAAGUGGUGCCUUUUGUACUAAUUUCAACAUGGUUACUGACAAAAAAAAGAAAAAAAAAAAAAAAAAGCCCUAGUGAGUUGCAAAGUAAAUGGAUGAUUUAUUGAGGAAUUGUCAGUGGGUCCUCAAGAAAUUUUUAAGGAUUCUUUGGAGUUGAAGUUGUAAUAUUCUUGAGCAGUUCCCUAUUAGAAAACUGGUUUAAAGGAAAUAGAAUUGUAAAAUUAAUUAGGUUAAUAGCAAAAAGAGUGAGGUGAAUCUUAUUUGUCAUUAGACAUCAAACUUCCGGUCUAGCAAAAUAACGAAAAUUUAGAAUUGACUCUGAUAAUAUAUUAUUUAAAUAUCAUUAACUUUUUCAGUAAAUACUGAUUCCAUAGGUCAAUAACAACGAACGAUGUGUAAAAAUGAAAAAUAAAGGGCAAAAGAUAUAGAUGCCCAUUCAGUGUAACAUUAUGUGCAGAAAAAUUCAUGAUACAAUUCCGCUCCUCAUCUUUGGGAGGGAAAGGGGUGGGAGAAAAAGAAAAAAUAUCUAAUUUAGUUGUUGGAUUUCAAUCAUUCUGAUACAUUUCACCAUUAAUGAGCGGUAACUUAUACUGUAGAGAAAUUGCGCCUGAAGAUAUUGUUUAUCUAAAAUCGCCAUAAUAAUUUAAGAUAGGAUUGUGAACUCUAGUGAGUUGCAAAGUUUAUAUGUUACUACUUAUAUAUUGAAGAAUAUGUAGGUUAAAUAUGCAAUUUAUGAUAUUUUUGGUUGAAUUGCACUUUUAUAUAUUGUAACUUUUAUUGAUCUUGUAAUUUUAUAUGCAUAAAUAGUUUAUUAUUGAAUGACAAUUAGCUAAAAUAUUAUUUAUAAUUUUUUAAUGCAUUAUCUAUUAUUCAAUAUUUAAAAAUUAGUAUAAUAUUUAGUGAUAUUUGAAUUUAGAUGUUGGAUAUUAAAUUAUAAAUAGCAAUAUUUAGUAAUGUUGGGAAUAGUUGCUUUAUACUAACAUUAGCAACAUUUAGUAAUGUUGGGAAUGGUUAAAUUAUACCAACAUUAGCAACAUUUACAAUUGUUGGGAAUGAUUAUAUUAUAAUAGGAUUAGCAACAUUUAGUAAUGUUGGGAAUAAUUAGUUAUGCCAACAUACAAUAAAAGUUGCAAAAUCUACUUAUAUAGCAACACUUGUUAUGUGCCUCUUUAUGCUUAAUAUUAGCAACAUUUUACUCAAAUGUUGGUAAAGGAUUCACCAACUAGGGCAUAGGCAACGUUAAAUACUAAAUGUUGCUAAUAAUUUUAGCAUCAAUUUUAUGUUUUUUAGCAACAAUAAUAGAUGCCACCAAAACAUAAAUUUUUUGUAGUGUCUCUGGCUUAUUAUCCUUCCUUCCUGGUGGAGUUUUGCUUGAACAUCACCCUAUAGUUUGCUAUUUCCUAGUUCUUAUUUUGUCGAGCCUAGUUAAACUUCUAUGUUAGUGUUAGGUGGAGGGAGAGUACCAAAGUACUAAUCCCCUCAAAUGUGCAGUAAUGUUUGUGGAGUGAUAGUCCAACAAAAGUACUAACUCUUUAAGCUGUGUACUGUGUCAUUAUUGUUGAUCUUUUCACCCUUGAAGCUUGCCAAAGUACUAAUCCCUUCAAUGUGUAGUAAUGUUAGUAGAGUUAUAUUCCAAAAGUACUUACUCUUUAAGCUUUGUACCAUGUUAUUCCCUUCAAAUGGGGUUUCAUAAAUUAGCUAGUAAACUGUUCACUAGUAAGCGACAGUAGCAAAUUAAAUAACAUGCAGUACUUAGCUGAAAAUGUGAAUCAACUAGGAUUCGAACUUGAAAUCUCAGAUGCCAACCAUCAAACUCUUUGCCACUUGCGUUAAGGACGGUUGGUCAAAAUAGGAUACAGUAGCAAAGAGGAAAAAAAGGAUUCAGUAAAUUUUAGAAUAUAUUUUUAGAAAAGGUUAGUACGCUGUUAGCUUCGUUCUUUUUUAAAAAAUAAAAUUAACUUAAAAAUAUGUAAUAACUAAGGUUUCAAACUUAGAACUUUGAAUGCCUACUAUCAAAUCCUAUACUAUCUAUAUGGUUUAAAUAUUAAAUUUGUUAAUGAAUUGAAAAAGUUACCACUACGAGGUUUACUAGUUUUCAUAAUGGUUUAAUAAUUAUUAUGACCGCUUCAUCCAAGUUUUCAUCGGACUGGAUUAAGAAUUGAUUUAUGAUCUAACUAGAAAAAUUUAUCUAAUAUUUAUUUGAGCAGAAAAAUAAAUAAUUAUGCGGAAAACAUAUGCUCCCAUCUAGAGGAAUAUUUUCGUGUACCACAACAUUAUUCUAAGGGUGCGUUUGGUUCGAGUUAUUCUGGCAGAAUUAUAGGCAAUCCUGCCAGGAUAACUGUGUUUGGUUAAUCCGUUAUGUAAUCUAGUCGUUAAUGCAGCAUUACAAAUCGAGCAGGAUUACAUCGAAAAUAUUAACGGGAGGGGGGUCGUGUAUCUUGCAUUACUGAAACCCGUUAAUACUACAUAUUAUGUAAAAUGACAAUUUUACCCUCCAACAACUCCAAAUCUAAUUAACAGCAUUAUUUUCAUCUCUCGACUUCCCCCCGGCCGUCUCUCUCGCACGCCGCUUUCUCUCGCUCUCUCUCUCUCAACGUCUCUCUCUCUCUCUCUCUCUCUCUUUCUCUCGCACGAACACCUAUCAUCUUCUAUUGCGUCGUCCUCCUAAGUAAUCAUCACGAUCUCCUUCCCUCUAUUCGUCAUUUUCGCAAAAAAUAAUAUUCAAAUGACCAAAACAAAGGCAAUUUUGGAAAAACUAUACUUUUAUGUCAUAAUUACUAAAUUUGAUAAACUGAACUAAACAUAUUAAUGCUAUAAACACUGUAAUCUACUAUUACAUUACUGUAUUAAACCAAACGCUCUAAUGCAGCAUCAGUAGUAAUCUCACGCCGAAAUCCAAAAUACCUGGAUAUGUCGAUAUACUUUGUAAUAUUACAUAACUCGAACCAAACGGGCCCUAAAGGGCAUUUGGUUUGGCAUAAAAUAAAAUAAAAAAUUAUUUUUGGUAUUAAAAAUAUUUUUCUAUUUGUUUGGUUCGACAUAAAACUAUUCUUUCGUAAAAUCAUUUUUACAAAUUUGGGGAAAAGUUUGAAGUUUUCUGUUAUUUUUUGACGAAAAACGAAAACUCAAGCCACUAAAAUUUUUGUUUAUUCUUUUUUUUUUCACCGAACCAAAUAAAUUUGAAUUUUUUUUUUUUCAACCAAACAAAUGUUGAUGAAAAAUUAUUUUUUCACCCUACAAAUCAAAUACUACAAAAUGUAAAGAAAAAAAGAAUUCCA